rnacentral:lncRNA from 1 species
GGUUGGCUUCCUAGCUCUAAAUCAAGGGAAGAAAGAAGCCGCGAACUCCUAAUUCUCUUGCUUUAGCGCGAAAGAACGGCAGGGGAGUCAAAAUAAGACUCAAUUGUCAAGUUUGCCAACUGAAGGGAGGAUUUAGAACAACAGGACGAGGGAAGAACCUUAGAGAACUGAAAAGGACUUAAGGAAGAUCAAGGGAAGUCCUAAAGGAAAGACAUUCUCUAUCAUAGCUUCAUGCGCCUAGCAGCAAGAUCGAAUCUAUUCUUAGGUGUCCUAUCUUGAUAUAGUGCAACAGGAUGAUAGAAUGAUAUUAACAUUACCAUUACUAGAAUCGUCCGGUAUAACCUUCAAAAGAACAACGGCAACUGAUUCCCCUAGAUAUGCAUUGACGAUGCAGAUGUUAGGUAUUGUAAUUCAAUAGUUUGGAAUCCUUACUAUUGAAUAUAGGGGAGAAAUCCAAGAGCAAGAAGGCUAACUCCUAGUAAUGCUAUAAGAGAAAGGACUGAAUCUUUGACCUCCUAAAGAAAGGAGGACGGGAAUGAACCAAAUGAUAAAUUUAUCUACUACCAACCUUGCUUCUUGCUUUCGAGCCGGAGUUUGCUUGUUUUAGUCCAUACAACGCCUUCCUGAGUCGACUAACUAGAUGUGAAGAAACUGAUCACCCUGGCGAAGGUGGCAUGUAAACCUCCUCAUGUAGUUUUCCAUUCAGAAAAGCAUUCCCCACAUCUCACUGGAACGAAGGCUACUUUAUCACUGUGGCAACUGCAAUCAAAGCCCGUACAAAAGUCACCUUUGGAUUCUUAAGUAGGGGGAGGCAAAAGUCUUCUCAGAAUCGAUACCAAUCUGAAUUCCCUCAAUAGUGGUCUUUCCGUCAGGAAGAGGUUUGGAACCCCUCUCUAUCUGAUAAGGUAAUGAACGACGUCUUCUGUAAGACUGGAAAUUCCUCAGACAUGGCCUACUGCCCCAUCCUAAUAAAACGUGUUUAUCAACCACCCCUGUCGACUUUGCACAAGCCAACACUGGCUCCUGCCCUAUAAUCUAAAUCCAUUAGGGAGGGGAGUCGAAACUCCCGGUAGAUCCUCCGCAUGAAUGGGCACGUUCUCCUUUUAUAUGUAAUAACCAAAGCUAUCGUGGCUACUAUGUUUGGGGCUAUCGUGCUGACUAUGAUGCUCUGUGAGGCCAGUUCCCUGCAGUAAGAUGGAAUAGAAAGAAAGGGGCUGUUGCAAGAAACGAAUACGAGCAUGGAGUGAGCAAAGGUGCGAUGUAUUCCACCAGUUCAAUGGGCAAUUAGGAAAGUGGUCUAGUAGGAGGGCAAGAAGAAUUUCUUGUUGUUGCUGACUCUUUUCUCCCGGUAAAUUCUCUAUAUCUUCUCAGGCUUUUUCCUAAGAAGUGCAGCUAUCUCCGCCUCACAGCAUCAGGGAAGUUUUCCACACAACAUUUUCUGUUAACUUCUAGGCACUCUCGAUCAAAAUAAAAAGGAUAUGGUUCAACCCCGGUCCACAGGCUCUCGAUCUUUAUCUACAGAGUGCUUUGGACUCUCCCUUUGCCUCUUUUGAAUGCCUGGGAUGGAAAAGCAAAGAUCAUAUCUUGAUGCGUGUACCGUACUGCUAUCCAAACAAAGAUGAAUUACCUACCAACCAUGUUCUCUGUCUUGGGCUAUAUUACGACGUUAUCGAUAGAGGAACUUGAUAUGCGAGAUGCGAUGCCACUGGUUGCAAAAGGAAGGGCCUGCUGAUAGAGCAGGGCCGGGGAGAACCAUUCAAGCGCAGAGAUGGAAAUGGCUCUGCUGCAAUAGAUGAUGAAGGAGAAUCCGUAGGCAACUGGUCGUUACUAUAAGAUGAUAAAGAUGUAGGCUGCUCUUUAUUAUUAGAAGAGGGAGGCUGGUUUCCAGCUGCUCAAUAGAGGGCUGCGACCCUGAUUCCCUUGGGAUUCUGACUCCCCUGAUGCACGGAAGGCGCAAGAAAAACCACUGGUGAAGAAAAUCCAGAAGAUGCUGAUCCAAUAGGCGUGCCUACUAAAAUAAGGGGGAGUAGAAGAACUCGUGCUCAUGGAAGGUAACAUGUUGGGCCGGCGAGAAGAAGAAGGAUCAAAAACAUCGAAAGCCUUUUUGAGCCAAGGCAUGCCCCUUUAAAAAAACAUCUGUUUGCACAAGGUGAAGCUUUGGAAUACAGAUCGUCGAGCCGCCGACAACUCCCAGGGUUCACUAAAACAGGGGUACUCCGCGAAAGACUAUUGAGUGACCCGUCGAGCUGGUCCGACACCAAGUGGGCCGCACCUCUGAGAACUCAAUAUGAAAGAGAAAGGUGUUCCUUUAACCCCGAAAGUCGUCCUGUAGAUAGGUUUCUCACCGGUCGCAGAAAGUCUUUUAAGAAAAAGGCUUCCCGAGACGCCUAAAGUCAACCAUCUGAUGGUCUGAGAAGUGUCGGUUCCAUAAAGUCUUUAUACUCCAGGACGCACGACACCUUUCCCAGCUCUAGGUUGUUAUAAACCACGAGCUGCUACCAAGUAUUCUGUACCAGAUGCACUACCAAGAUCUUUCAUGGCGAAGUGUGUACCCAGUCGCUGAAUGAAAGAUGCGGCUGCUUGAGAAGCUCUUGGGAGUUAGGAGGAAUGCGCUCUUAAAGAAAUGCCACUAGUAGUAAUAAAGAGGCUUAGCAAUCAUUCGAAAGUUGGGAUGGAGCGUGAACUAAUAGACAGAUGGGAUUGUUUGCUUCAAAGUGUCUAUAUACCAAGGGCUCUUGAAACUAUAUCGAAUAGAAUAGGGGAUGUAGACCCCAGAAACUCUUGUUUUAAUGCCCAAAGAUAGGCCUUAUCGAGCCUUUGAGCGAACAUCUAAGAAGAUGCAUAGAAUUAGGGAGAAGCCUGAAUAUGCAACAGCAAUCCAAGGGCGCAUACCCAGACGGAAACUAAGUUCCCACUCACGACCCAUGUAACAAGCUACACCAAGUAAGAAGUGUAGAACAAUUAGCUCAUAAGGACCACCAUUGUAUAACCAUUCAUCAACGGAUGCUGCUUCCCAUAUUGUUAAUUUUUUUUAUCAUUUAGGGAUAAUUUAUAUUUACAUGGUUUCAUAACCAAUUAUUCAUGAUUGGCUAGAUCAUUGAUACAAAUAAUAUCAAAUACCAAAAACGUCCCCUAUAUAAGCUUCGUGAAGUAGAAGAAACUCUUGGUAAGAUUAAAGAAAGAGCUUGUUCUUCCUCUGUAAGGAAUUCUUCCAAAAAUUCCGACCCUAAUCUUUUCAAAAAAGCAUGUACAGUACUUUUGUGUUUACGAGCCAAAGUUCGAGCACAAGAAAGUCGAAGUAUAUAUUUGAUUCGAUACAAAUUCUUUUUUUUUGAGGAUCCACUAUGAUAAUGAGAAAUAUUUCUACAUAUAUGCACAAAUCGGUCGAUAAUAUCAUAAUCUGAUGAAUCGGCCCAGGACGGCUUACUAAUGGGAUGCCCUAAGGCAUUACAAAAUCUCGCUUUAGCCAACGAUCCAAUCAUAGGAAUAAUUGGAACUAUAGUAUCGAACUUCUUAGUAGCAUUAUCUAUUAUAAAUGCAUUUUAUAGCAUUUGACUCCGUACCACUGAAGGAUUUAGUCGCACACUUGAAAGAUAGCCCAGAAAGUCGAGGGAAUGCUUGGAUAAUUGGUUUAUAUGGAUCCUUACUGGUUGAGACCACGGGUAUCAACGUCUAAGCCCACAGUAAACAUAUGAUGAGCCCAAACAAGAGAUCCAAGAACACCUGUACUGAUCAUGGCAUAAACCAUGCCUAGAUACCCGAAGACCGGUUUUCCCGAAAAAGUCGAAACGAUAUGACUUAUGAUACCAGAUCCAAGCAGAAUGGGAAUAUAAACCUCUGGAUGACCGAAGAACCGAAAGAGAUGCUGGUAUAAUAUGGGGUCUCCCCCUCCAGCGGGAUCAGAAAAGGUUGUAUUAAAGUUUCGAUCGGUUAAUAACAUGGUAAUUGCCCCUGCCAGUACCGGAAGUGAUAAUAAAAGUGGGAAUGCUGUCACUGGAACAGACCACACAAAAAGGGGUGAUCUAUGCAUAGUCAUUCCAGGUCCAACAUGCUGAUCCCUGAAAGGGAAUGAAUGGAAAAAACAGCAUGUCGUAUCAAUUAUCAAUGGAGAAUUCUGAGAAUAUAUCAUUGUUACCAGAUCAGCACAAAACCUUGUUUGAAUUGUUAGAGCAGAACAAAAAGAAUUCAAAGUUGGGUUGAGUGAAUAAAUGGAUAGAGCCUUAAUUUAAUGGCUCUAAUUAAAUUAUAGGGAAACAAAAAAAGCAACGAGCUUCUGUUCUUAAUGUGAAUGAUUACCCGAUCUAAUUAGACGUUAAAAAAAUAUUAGUGCCUGAUGCGGGAAAGGCUUCUCCCAUGAGUCAUUAUAGAUUUUUUUAUGAAUCCUAACUAUUAGCUAUAGCUAUUCUUCAUUAUGGAGUGGAGAUGAAUGUGUAGAAAAAGCAGUAUAUUGAUAAAGAUAAUUUUUUCCAAAAUCAAAAGAGCGAUUGGAUUAAAGAAAAGGACAAUCUUUCCCUUGGGAAAGAACAAACAAGUGGGUGAGACGUUGGAAACCUCACCAAGCUUGUUAUUGGUUUAUUAGGUCUAUGUUAUAGAGAAAUAAAAUAUGGCAUACUAUUCUUAUUGAUAAUGAUGGAUAUUUAUAUACAAAUACAUUUGAGUUCUACUAUAAUUCUAACUCUAUCUCCUAUUGUAAUUCAAACUAAUAGUAAACUUCUCUAUUUCAAAUUCUAUAUUCUAUUCUAAUUCAAACUAAUAUAUAAUAAAUAAAUAAAUACUAAUAUGUAAAUUAAGGAUAACAUUAACUUUCUCUAAUAUGCCCUCGCAAGAUGGAGUUCCGAUUGGAGGUUCCAAUCUUGGUCUUAAAAGAAAGAAAAUAAAUCCGCUUUGGUGGAAGGCAGUUAGGCAUUCUCCCUAUUUUUGUGGGGAGUCAAUCUCCCUGUUUCUGUGGGGAGUCAAUAUCCUUGUUUCUGUGGAGGGCGGUCUCCCUAGAUCCAAACGACAAGUAGAUUCGACUUGAUAACUAAAAGAUCAGGCAAGAGUAGUGGGAUCUUUCUAAGCCGAAUUUCCAAAAACUUUGAAGAACUUGUAGAAAGAAAGUUCGUUGAAGGAAUAAAAGGAUUAAGAGCCUUAUUUGGCAUCAAACUAAAGAAUAUUUUAGAAGCUAAUGUAGAUGAUAUAGAAGGUAAAUGAGAAGGUAGAGUAUAAGGCAGAUCUCAAGUAGAGGUAACAAAACAUGAGCAUGUUUGUUUUCCCAAAACAUACAAGAAAGCAAUCAAAUCUCUGUGAAAGCUUUUAGAGAAAGAAUAUAUAUAUAAAUUAAGGGAACUAAUAUUGGUAGGAAGCAAAGUACAAGAAAAUUAUGUUAGAUUUGAAUCAAGAAAAUUUGGAGCUCUUAGCUAUGAAGAGGUAUUGAAAUCAAGAUAUUGCAUUGAAGACCGUAAGAAAAAUGACAUUGAAACCAAGAUAUUACAUUGGAGACCAUAGGGAAGAAGGCAUUGUCAACACAUAGACAUAGUAAGGUCACUACCAUUUGCGGUAGGGUUAGGAGGAGACCUGUAGGGCCUAAGCUCUACAUUCUAAAUUUGAGACUAGGUUUUAGGAUUUGAAGACUCUGAUACCAUAUAGAGAAAUAAAAUAUGACAUACUAUUCUCAUUAAUAAUGAUGAAUAUUUAUAUAUAAAUACAUUUGUGUUCUACUAUUAUUUCCUACUAUAAUUCAAACUAAUAGUAAACUUCUCCAAUUCAAAUUCAAAUUCUAACUUAAACUAAUUCCAAUAUGUAAAUUAAGAAUAACAUUAACUUUCUCUAAUAUAUGUCAGGCAGUACGUGAUAGAUUUGUAGGAAUGUUCUCUGUUAAUGGGAUGAGUCCUAGCCUCAAAUUCAGCCCUCAGUAUAUGGUCAUAGGUAGAGAGACCCUUGGUAAUUGUGUCCCAUGAGUCUAGCAUCAUCUGAAUGCUUGCUGGAUAACUCUUGUUUGUCAAUCCAUCUGUGGAAUCUGCGACCACUUUGCUGUCCAAGAGUUAUCUUCCGGCACAGUUAAAAGCAUUCGGGCCAGACACAUACGACAAGCAUUUGAUCCGGAUGUAAAUGACACUGUUUGGGUUUGGGGGUCGGAUGUGCACGGCAAGCAUUUGGUCCAGAUGCAUAUGACACCGUUCGGGUAUGGGUACCUCCACAUUCUAUAAUUUUUGAAGCUAGGGUAACGUCAUUAUACAUAAUUGCAAGGGAAAAGAUGCAAAAUUGAGUACUGCGUUAUUUUCCUGUAUCAUCUCCAUGAUGUUGCAGGAGCAACUUCAUUGAGCCAAUUGAUGGAUGUGACCCAGUCCGAUAAGAAAAGUAAUCCAAUCUAGCAACUUAUAAUUAGCUUCUUAGAAGUUAAAUCCCCCCAAAAGAUCGCGUGACCUACCCGCUGCUGUCCACUGAUAUCAUGUUACUGCUACGGGGCCUAACUAAAAUUGUAGGUACACAUUUAAAAGUGAUGGAAAUUGAAGGUAAGUAGAAGUACGGCAUGGCAAUGCAAGAGCCAUUUCUGAACCCCUAAACCUAAAAAUGUUAGAUAUUCAUUGGACACUGUAAAUGAAGGUAAUUAUAAGUCUGGUAUAGCAAGCAAACUCCAUUCCUCAGGUUGGUUCAUACAGCUUUCUUACUGGUAACAUCAUGUUAAUGUAGGUUCUUUUUCUUUAGGUCUAUGCUAAUCUUUUAUUCACAUUGGAGGUUGUUGGGGUUGGACACGAAGGGAACUCCUGAAGCCGGCUAAUCUGGGAAGCCCUUAUCAUCAAAGCUUGAUGGUUUCGGAUCAUAAUUCUAUGUUUUCCGUCUUUGACCCAGAUGAUGGAUAUGGAGUACUGACUCAGGUUUGCAAGGUUCACAAGGUGAAAAGAAACCUAGAACUGCAGUUUUAAAGAACUGCCCCAACUGAUAAGGAGCAGCUGAACCUUGACUAGGUAGGUUUGUUGGCGGAAAUGAUAAGAAGCAUAGCAAAAAGAUGGCGGACUCUAAGCGGACAGGAUGACUGGAAGACCCUCCUGGACCCUCUUGAUAUUGAUCUCCGACAAUACAUUAUUCACUAUGGUGAAAUGGCUCAGGCAACCUACGACACUUUCAAUAGAGAGCCGAAGUCAAAAUUUGCUGGAAGUAGCAUAUAUUCAAGGCGGAACCUAUUCUCACAAGUUGGUUUAGCUAAACCCAACCCUUAUACAUACACGCCUACCAAGUAUUUAUAUGCCACAUCUGAAAUCAAGGUUCCAACAGCAUUUAUUUUGAAACCAAUUCCAAUUGACGCUUGGAGCAAGCAAUCGAACUGGAUAGGGUUCGUUGCGGUGGCCACAGAUGAGGGAAAGACUGCAUUAGGAAGGAGGGAUAUUGUGGUUGCAUGGAGAGGAUCCGUCCAGAUAGUGGAAUGGCUUAAAGAUUUUGAUUUCCCCUUGGCAUCAGCUUCCAUGAUAGUUGGGGAGAAGGGUAAUCCUUAUGCGCAUAGAUGUUGGGUUUCUAUCUACACUUCUCAUGAUCCCAAGUCACGGUUUAACAAACAAAGUGCGAGGGAUCAGGUAUAUAUAUAUAUUCCAACAGUCCUCAUUCCUAGUAUUUGUCAGGUAAAAUGAAUGGCAAUUUUGUUUGAAGAUGUAUAAUAAUCAAUUUCACCAGGUUAUUGUUGGAAUAUGUGCCCAUAAACAAAUGAGAUGUUUUUUAUUUUGCUGAUUAUUAAUAUUUUUUUAAGGAAUUAUUUCAAUAUUAUUGUUGCAUGCAUGUUAUAGAUGCUUUAUAAAUAUCAAAAACCCUAGAUUAUUUAAUUGAAACUUUAAAUAUUGUAUAUAAGUGUUAUAUACAAGAGGAUAAUAUUUAAAGUAAAAUAAUCUAAUAUGUUCGUAAUUAAAAAUUAAAGUUGGGAUCUUUAAUUUAAAAUUACUAGCGCGGUUCAUUACAUUCUGAAUGAAAUGAUCUUAUCCGGAUUGUUAAUAAUGAGAUUAUUGGAAUGAAAGCGCUUUAUAUAAUUUGAUUAUAUAGGACUGGAACACGAUUAAUUAUGAAUCUCUGAUAAAUUCCGUUAUAAUAUAGAGCAUUCAAUAUUAAUCAAUGAUGGUCAUAUAUGCAUUGAUCUUAAUUCUGAGUGAUUAAUAGACUCCUAUUUAUUCUAUUUGUAUUUUUUGACAUACCGGGUAAUGACACAAAUACAUAGUGUCAAAUUCUUGGUGUAUUGGAAGUAUAAUAAAAUAAAUAGCCGGGAAUAUUAAUAUACAAGAUGAAAUCCAUUCCUUCGUUAAGAAGUCAGAUGGACGGUUCCCAUAAGUAUUGGUUCGGGCCUUGAAUGAUAAGAGCGCUCAAUUUAUGAUUAGACCAUAAAUAUAUUAUUCAUUAGAGAACCAAUGGCACUUAAGGAGAAAGAUAUAAUUAAAGAGGUUAACGGAAAAACCUAGCUUUAAUUAUGAACCGUUUAUGGAGGAUUGACUCAUAUGUAGUGACUAUAUCAAUGGGCAAUUCAAAUCCUUUGAAUAUAUUUAAUUUUAUAAUUUUAAGAGUGCAAUUCCAAAUUUUUAGUGGAGUAAUUUUGGAAUUAAUAAUUUUGAUUUUUUAAUUAAGUUGUUAAUUAAUUGUCAAAAUUAUUGGAGCUUAAAAUUAUAAUGUCCAUAGUUCCUCUCAACGGCUCCAUUAAAAUUAUAUGAACAUUUUUUUUAUGUUGGGUUGAUUUUAUUAGUUUGGAAUUUUGAAUUCUAAAUUAAUUUCACACAAUCUUAAUUUGAUUUAUUUUAUAAUUUGAUUAUUUAAAAUAUUUUUUGAUACAAUGUGGUGAAGACCACACUUACUUGUAUUCCGUAAGAAACACUUUUUAAGUGGGGAUCAUGGGGAGAGAUAUUCUCUCCCAUGUUUUUCAAAAUUCAAAGAAACACUUUUUAAGUGGGGAUCAUGGAGAGAGAUAUUCUCUCCCAUGUUUUUCAAAAUUCAAAAUAUGUCAGUUAUUUUAUUCUUCGUGGUAUUAAAAAGUUUUUUUUCUCUCAAUGUUUUUCGGAUGAUGGGAUGAGAAUACAAGUUUUCAAUAUAUAUUAAGUUGUGUGAGAAAAAAACCGAAGGAUAAAAAAACGCCCACUCGUUUUGAGUUCAUCAUAAUUUGGAGAACGUUAGAGAAAGAUCCAUGGUGCUUUAGAGGAUUUGGAAUUCUAAGAUCUUUUUGGUGGAGUUCAAAUUUAUCAGCCUAAUAACAAGGUACAAUUCUAAUUUACCUAUAUUUUGUUAUUUCAUUAAAUUAAUACAAGUAUUGAUCAUUGAGAAAAAAUUUUGAGAAAAUUUUUCCGGCUUUCGUUUUUCUUUUAUUUAUAUGGUUUCAAAACCAACAGUUUUGUCCGAGGUGAAGCGGCUGGUGGACAAGUACAAGGAUGAAGAAAUCAGCAUAACUAUUACUGGACACAGCUUGGGUGCAGCGCUUGGAACACUAUGUGCAGCUGACAUUGUUGCAAACAAAUUUAACAAGCCCAAAAACAAGCCCCAAAAGUCCUGCCCGGUAACCGCCUUUCUGUUUGGCAGUCCCCGUGUUGGAGACUUGAACUUCCGAAAUAUGUUGUUGUCUCUGGAAAAUCUUCACCUUAUACGAGUGACCAAUGUGCCAGAUAUAGUUACUACCUUGCCACCGGAGGGAUAUUACUCAGAAGUUGGACAAGAGCUAGUCAUUGACACACGAUUUUCAAACUUCUUGAAGUUUCCUGGAUGUUAUGAUACCUGGCAUAGCUUAGAGGCCCAUCUGCAUGGAGUUGCAGGAACACAAGGGAGCAAAGGAGGAUUCCAUUUGGAAGUAGAUCGCAGUAUUGCACUUGUGAACAAAAUGUUAGAUGCUCUGAAGGAUGAAUAUCCAGUGCCUGCUUCUUGGUGGUGUAUGAGGAAUAAAGGGAUGAAAGGUUCUUGGGAGUUGAAGGAUCAUGAGAAAGAUGAUAAUAAGCCUUGAUCAUAACUCAUUUGGCUAAUUGGUUAAAUAAUACUCCCAAUUUUCUUUUUAGGUUGUUUCAGUCCAGUAUAAACUUCCAAGUAAAUGUUUUUCCCCUUGUUGCUUUGUGGUUAUUGCAAUAGCCCUAAAAUCCCCUCAGGAAUGUGAGGUCUAAGAAAAAUCCUAAUUAGUGCGAUCACUUCUUUCCAUUGGCAUAGUUCUUAUUUAAUUUUUUUAAUUAAAAAAAAAAAAGAAGAAGACCCAAUGAGAUAAGCCUAUUUGGUAACUGUUUUUUAAAACUGUUUUGUAAUGUUUUGUAAAACAAAAGUCUAUUUGAAAACUUAAAAUAUUUUUAACCUAUUUUUAAUAUUUUUAAAUAUAUUUUAAGAAUAAUUUUAUUUUUAAUCAUUCUACAUAUUUGUAUAAUUAUUUUUUAAAAUAACUAUAAAAAACAAGUAAAAACAACAUAAAACAACUAAAAGAUAUUUUCUAAAAAUAUAAUAUUUUUUGUUCUUAAAAACAUAAAACAGUUUUUGAUUGUUAAACAUGUUUUCUAGUUAAAAGCAACAAAGAGAAAAUAAUUUUUUGUUGUUAAAAAUGUUUUCCUUGGUUUUUUGUUCUAAAAAACAAAAUCUAUCCUCAAAAACAAUUACUAAAACAGAACUUAAUGAUAAGUAAAUUUUUUGUCAUGCUGAAUUGUUGACCUAUGCUUGAGAACAAAGUUCAACUAAAACCAAUUAAAAGUCAUCAUAUAUUCUACCAAUAAAAUAAUAUUAUGUGUAUCAUAGUCCUUGCAUAAAUAGAUGAUAAGUUGUCUUCCAUUUAAAUAAAAAUAUAUAUAAAUUUUGACAAUUACAAUAUAAUGAUUAGAUUAAACAAAAAUGGUAAAUUUUACAUUAAAAAAAAGCCAUUAUCAACUCUUACUAAAAAAAAUUAAUUGAAGAUUAUCAAAUAUAGUGUUCUAAAUCUUCUGCUAAAAGUACUAAAUAUAAUUUUUUAAAUUUCCUUAAAUAGGAAAAAUAUUUAUAAGGAAUUACAAAACUAUCCAUAUGAUGUUUUCAAUCCCUAUAAAUAAGGCUAAUUUCAAAGCUUUUAGAAUACAAAUCACAAGAAAAUUCAAAAGACAAGUAUUAGAAGCCAUGCCGAUUCUUCAAAGGAGAUCCAAUGGCAUCUUUAAAGUAUCUUUGAAUUGUUAAGAUUUUCAAAACUUCCAAGUUUCAAGCUUUAAAAUAAAAAUACACCAAAACCUUAUCGAUCUAAUACGACAUUCCUUAAACUCUUAAUUAAUAUUGUUCAAGUCAAGCGAAGGCCCAAGUCAUUCCAAGUCUCUAAGUCAUGCCAAGGUUGAAGUUACAUAGUUGAAACUCAAGUCACACCAUGACUCAAGUCAUAUCAAGGCCUAAGUUAAGGCAAGAUCCAAAUCAUGCUAAGAUCUAAGUUUAAAAGAGGCGUAAGUCAAGUAAAGACUUCAAACUCAAGUUAAAGUCCAAAUUAAACUCAAGUCAUUCAAGAUUAAACUUGCUCAAGCUCUCAAUGGACAACUAGAGAAGAAAAAAAUUAGAGGAUAAAAUAAAAAUUGUACCUACUUCAUUCUUUAAGUCAACAAAAAUCUAACUUAAUCGUUUGCCUUGUGAUUAGUUGUUUUACCUAGUGUUACUACCUCUUGAGACUUAUAAUAUUUAUACCUACACUUUGGUGGUGUUUUUUUUUUUUUUAAUUGUAAAUAGAAUUUUAAUGUUUAAUAAUAUUAGGAAUUAGACUGUUUGUUUUUUAAUAUUUUAUUUCUAUGAAAUAUUAAAAAGUAAAUAAAAAUCAAUAUGUUACUUUUUUCAUUUAGAAAAAAUAAAAUAUUUUAACUUUUUCUAUCUAGUAAAAAAUUUAUAAUAAGUAAUGAAAAAAUAAAAAACCAAACAACUUGAAGUCUGAAAGCAAAUCACUUUUAGAAAAAAAACUAAAAAAACAAACACCCUCUUACUCACAUUCACAACCUAGCACUUCUAAGCUAACUCCUUAAUAAACUCCUCAAUAUCUUGAGGGGAUGUGAUCCUCUACCACAAACUCAAUAAACAAUGAUGAAUUCCUUGUGAGAAUGUUAGGUUAAGUUGAGAGAGUGGCAAAGUAAAGAUUAGGCACAUAAAGAGUAAAUUGCACAAUAUUAGACAUAUAUAUAUAUAUAUAUAUAUAUAUAUAUAUAUAUAUAUAUGACCAACCCUAAUGGACCUGGACACAAUUUAAAAACAUUAUUUUACCCAAAAAAAAAUCAAUUUAAAAAUCUUAGAAGAACUUGGAAACUAGGCAAAUCCAUGUCGAACGCUCAAGCACCUUUUAAGGCUUCUUAAGAGCCAAGAGUGCUUGAGCAAUCCUAAAUGGAAAUCAAGCACUCUUAUAAAAAUUUCUAUUUUUUCAAAAAUUUCAACGCUUAGUUUCCUUUUUCCCAAGGUAUAUAAUUAAAAUUUGUUUCCAAAAUAAUUACAUUGAUGAUUUCUAAGUCCACUUUAUAUCAUUUAUGUCAUUAUUCAUAAUUAACUCUAUCACGCUUAUCUAUGUUAUUUUGAGUUGAUUCUAUAGCAACUUUAAGCCUUUAAAGAUAAUAUAAAUCACAAAAACAUACAUACGCAAAAUUCCAAAUCAUGAUGAAUGGGAUAAAAUUGUCAACUUAACUAAAUAAUCUAAUAAUUUCCAAUAUUACCGUUGUCAUACUCAUAGCACAAGUAUAUGAAAAAUAUUAUAUAAAUCCCAAAAUAACCGAUUAAAUUUUUUACAUUAGCAUGUAUACUAUAAUAUUUAAUAUCUUCUACUUUAGUCAAAUGGAAUUCAUCCAAUGACGGAUAGGUUAAUUAAUUAAAUUCAAAAAUAAAAUCAGUUGAACAAUAAAUGGGCCACCGAUCCUGUGAUUAUGCCCUGAUUUUAUUUAAGAAAAUGGUGGAGGUCAUUAAUCCAUGCACCAUGAUCACUUAUUAGAGGUUAAGAAUCACUUUCUUGGCAAUGAAAGCAUAUGCGGCCUCUGUUAAAUGGAUGCCAUAUCCCAAUUCACAUAUGUUGAAGGAUCAUCACAUGCAGGCUUUGGACCCAGGUUUCCCACACAUGGCAGAGAGAUUGAGAUUGUAUGCCUCACCUCCUCCACAGCAAGCUAAUAGCACAUGAUCCUUUAUAAAUCCUGCCAAUAAAUACAUGCUUCACAAUGUUAUAUAUAGAUCAUAGACUUUGAUGUUAGAUCCCCUAAUUAAAAAGGCAUUGUUUUGAAGUUAGAGAUAAGGAAAUUUCUAUAGUUUAUAUAUCUUUGGUACCAUACCCAAAUUUUAAUUAGGGAGAUACAAAUCAAGAAGUAAAAUAUCAAAAUAUAUAGAAAUAAGACCUAAAAGAAAAAAAAAUGUAACAUAGGAGUUGAGAAAAGGGAGACUAUAUUACUAACAUACAAAGAGAUGAAUAUGUGACCAGGUGGCCAUUUCCAAUGUGUUAAUAUGAGUUACCCAAGUUUUUUGGAACUCAGUUAAAUGAAAAUGUCAGUAAGAUCCAAUGGAGUACCACCAUUAAUGGAGAGCUCACCAAACUUUUCUGGAGAAUUGAAGAAAGGCAUUGCAAUAUUGUAAUAAUCCACAUAGAUGAUGUUGGCAUUGGCUCAGCUGUCUUUGCAUCUUGAUCCAUGUUUCUUUGAGACGGCGAUUGUGAUAUUGAGAGAAGUGGUUGUAAGCCACCAGACAUUUGUUAUGUGAGUCAUAGUCCUCUUUGUUUCUACUCUGAAACAAACUUUGAUAAACUGUUAAACAACCAACCGGAAAAUUCCCCGGUAUAACCAGAUUCACCGCGCCUUCCUUGAUCAGUGUCUUGCAUAGAAAAAAUGCCUAUUUUGUUAGUGUCCAGGAUACAACUAUACCUCACCAAUACGAAUUAAUAUGAUCGAAGAAAUCGGGUUGUAGUUCUGUUCAGCUGGCAUACCUUGGUAGCUUCAACAAUGGCUCUGACAACUCUGUGGACAAUUUUUUUCACAUCUUCUAUGGUUUGUCCCAUUAAGAAGGCGAAGUUAUAGUCAUUGCCUCCAAUCUCUCCCACGAGGAAAAGAGACUUUCUGAGAAAUUUGGUGCAAUCUGUUGAAGAAAGGAUGAAGAAACAAUUAGUUAUAAGAAAAACAUUUUCUUUAACAUUUUUUUUUUUUUCCUUUUUUAAAACUUCCCGAGAACCAAACAAGAGAAGAUCCACAGUUGAGCUGCAGUGGCAAAUUAAUGGGAUUAUAUACUAAACCUGUUGCUUGUUUGCAUAUAGAGGGUUUCAACUUCUUGAACCAACCAAGCUGAAUACUUAGUGAACUAUUUGUCCAUAGAAAUGCAUCAAGGCCCCGUUCAUAGAAGAAGGACGUAUCCAGCGCUGUGGCGCCUGCUACUGCAAAAUUUACCCCAUGCCUGAGAUUUUGCCCUUCUACAGUUGCCAGGUAUGGUGGCAAUUCAGGAACUCCAAAAGCCUCAGCUACGUACAAUGAAGUAACAGAAAUAAGCAGUCAUUUGAUUAUAUGAAUAAUGAAUGUAGGUCAUUCAAAAUUAUAAAAUGGGUUACCAAUGAAGUCAACAACCAAGCGGCCAUCGGAGCAUCGCCCUGUUGGUCUGUGAAAGUAGGUUAUACCAUAAGGAGACUUGUCAAUGGCCAAAAUGGCUUCCCUGCCAUACGUGAGAUGGUUCCCGGUAUCCGCUAGCGAGUCACCGAAACUGAAAAUAGUCUUGUAGUUAGAGGAGGUGGAGAUGUUCAUGAAGAUACAGAGGGUGGAAGGAAGAGAAAUGAGGAGGAAGAGAAGAUGAAUCCUCAUUGUAAUUGGAGUAAGAAAGAAUGGACAUUGCUUCGUUUGUGUGUUAUACUUCACUCAUUUAUGAGAGAAUAUAGAGGUACACGCGUGGCUGUGGAUAUGGCGGUCCACGGAUGAAAAUAAAUGACGACAUGACCAAAAGGAUGAAAAUAAUUCUCUUGGUAACUGAUGACACGACCUAAAGGAUGAAAAUAAUUCUCUUGGUUUGGACUUUGGAUAUGAAUUGGAAUUUAUAUCGUGCCGUAAACUAGCAAAUCAUAAAGAAAGUUAUCAUUGCUUUUAACCUAAAAUUGGUGAUGAGAUACACUAUGAGAAGAGCUAUUUUCCACUAUCCAAGUAAAGAAAGAGGUGUUUCUAAUGUCUGAAUUCACGACCGGAUACAAAAUUUAGGUUAUGUUUACUUCUUGGAAAGUAUUAAAGAAAGAAAAGAAAAUAUUGAAAAAAAUGAUUUUCUUAUAUUUGAUUGUGAAAAAUUUCAAUAUAUAUAUAUAUAUAUAUAUAUAUAUAUAUACAUAUAAUUAAAAUUAGUUAGAAACUUUUAAUUUUUAUAUUGAAGAAUUAAAAUAAAUAAUUUAAGUUUGAAAUAACAAAUAAAAAUAAUUUAUUAAUUUUAAUUCUAUUUUUUCUCUUUAUUUUCUUUCCCUUACAUUUUUCCUCAAAUUUUCAAAAACCAAACAUAACCUAAAGGGUAUUUGGUAAAUCAAUUUAAUCAAGUAAUAUGAUUUGAGAUUUAAAAGUAAUUAUAUUUGUAAAAUGAAUAAUGUCACAUAAAAUUGAAAUUAUUAAAAGCAAUCAUCUUUUUCAAAUCCAAAGUAGUUUCAUAUCCUACUUCUCUCGAUAGUCCCGAUUUAAUUGUCGUGAACUUUUAAUUAUAAGCAUCAACUCUUUCUCUACUUUUUCUUAUAAGGCUACAACUUGGAUAAUUUUGACCACCCAAGAUGUUCGAGUUGGCAUUAUGGACUAGCGCAAAUUGAAGGUCUCAGCAACCCAUUGAAGGCCCAAGCAAUCUACUUCAGUAUUUUCCUUUUUGUAAAGUAAAAGGUGAGCUCCUUUGUUUAAAUGCUAAUUUUACAAAAUGGUAGUCACCAUCUUGGGAUGCUUAGAUCCACACCAACUUGACAACUAUGAUGAGCAUCAAAAGCCAGCCCCCACGUUAAGCUGGAGGACAGGGAUGGUUCCUUAAGAGGUCUGGACGUAAAUAAAUAUGCCGAGCUGGAUGUUGUACCAGCCAUGAUUUUAAAAUUUGCAAUUAGUAUGCAGUACUAUCCUGUGAGUUCCAUGAUAACUUUUCAAAAUUGGUGAACCGCCACACAAUAAGUGCACCCCCAUGCCUACACGGAGUUGAUCUCCUUCAAGCCUCAAGGCUUCAUGUAUAUGUUAAUUUGAUCCACAAUUUCAAUCUUUAAGCCUCUGCUAAAAUGAAUAAAUAAAAUCCAGAAACCUCGUGACAGAGACGACGUACAGAAGGCUCUUUGCGGCAAGAGACUGUUGAGUUUUAACAUAUCAGACGAUGAAGUGGUUGUGGAAUUAUUGUUUUUCCUAUUUUUGGAUAAAAACAUCAAAAUAUAUAUAUAUAUAUAUAUGUAUGUUUGUAUGUAUGUAUUUUGGGCUGAUGGAUUGUUAAAUGAGAAGCAACGCAACUAUGCUCAAGGUGAGGAUCAACUCUGGCUGCUAUAAGGCCACUGGUUUUCUUCUGUCUUUUUCUUUCUGUACAUUUUUUUAUAGGAGACAAUAUCGGCCAAAAAGAACAAUUGUUGAAGAGGAACUUACACAUCUCUAGGUGUAAAAACAAUGGUAGAUGUAAAAUUGGUGUUCGAUUUAUGUAUUUACGUUACGCUUGGUUCUCGGAAAAUACGAGGAAAAAUGUGAGGGAAAAAAUAGAGAAGAAAAAUAGAAAGAAGAAAAAGUGAAGAAAAAUAAAAAAUAGAUUUAAAAUCAAUAAAUUAUUUUAUAUGCUAUUUCAAAUUUAUUUCACUUAUUUUUUUCUUUUUUAUGUAAAGUUUAAAUAAUUUAAAUAUAUAUAAAUUUUUGUCUAAUUUUAAUUAUAUUUGAUUUUCUUUCUUAUUUUCUAGAUUGAAACCAAACAUGAGAAAAUCAUUUUCCCCAAUUUUUUUUUUCUUUCCUUAGUAUUUUCCGAGAACCAAACAUAGCAUUAGUUGUGACAAAAAAUUAGAAAAAGAAUAUAACAAAAAUGAGAAACAUUUUAUGAUUCCUUUCUAGUGAAAAUGAGAACUCCAUACCAUUAAUUUAUUUGGCUAGGAUUUUUUCCAUGCUACUCAAUUUGUGGGUAGCUUUUUCAUUUUGGAAGGUAAAGUGGGAUCUUAAAUGCAUUUUCAAUAAAAAUAUCUAAUUGAAAAUGAAAAUAAAAAUGUCUAGUUGCAUGAAACCAUCUAGUUUCAUCAUAUAGAUGUUUUCAUCAAGAUAACCAUUCAAGAAAGCUAUGUCAACAUCCAUUUGUCAUAUCUCAUAAUCGAGAUGCACCACAAUGGAUAAGAGCACUCUAAUGAAUUUAAGCAUGACUACUAACAAGAAGGUUUCCUAUAGUUGACUAUUUAAAAAAAAAGGUUUUCAAAGUUGAAACCAAGUUUUGAUCGGUAAACCUUUAGCUACAAGCUUAGCUACAUAAGUCUCAAUCUUUCCAUGUACUCAUCUCUUCCUCUUAUAAACCUACUCACAUCCCAUAGGUUCUAUCCCUUCAUCUGCUUCUAUAAGAUCCCAAACUUUGUUAGAAUACUAAUAUUCUAACUUUCCCCAUAACUCCUUGUCAUAAAUAAGCAUCAAAGUCGCUCAUUACUUUAUUGUAAUAUGUGGGAUACAAUUCUCCCACUAUGACGAUGCUCUUGCGUGCUGGAAUUGUCAAAAAUAGUAUAUGCUAGUACCCCCGAAUCUACAGUAUCCUAUGCAAAUGUGAGACUAUUUUCCCAUGUCAUCCACUCUAUAUCACCCUUUGUUUUAUUACUUAUCAAAUAAUCUUUAUCUAAAAAUCUAGCAUUUGUAUUUACCUUCUAAUAAUCCUAACUAUUAAACUAAUAAACCCUAAGACUCUCUUGUAUAUCCUAAAAACUAAUAUACCUCUUAUCUUGCUUCCAUCUUGUCUAUUUUUGGUUUCAACAUGUAUACAAAAUACUCUCAUUGACAAAUAUGUCAUAAACUAAGUUUACAACCUAUACACAUCUUGAUGAGAGUUAAAAGGUAUUCACUUAGAAGUUAAGAUUUAAUUAUAUGUGUGCAUAAGGGCAUUUUGGUCAGAAGAUAAGGUUGCAAAGGAGCUUAGAACGGUCUUUUUGAAUUAGAAUAAUUAAUUAAUUGGAAUCUAAUAGAGUUAAUUAAUUAAUUUAUGGCCUAAGCCCAAAAUGAAUUUAAGCCACUUCAAUCCACAAGAAAGUCUUUAUAAAUCCCCUAAAGGUUUAAUGUUAGACAUUAAUUCAUUCAUUUCAUCUCCUAGAGAAAGAGAAACCUAGCCUCCAUCCACACCGAGAGAAUUCCAUCAUUCUCUAAUGUCAAGGUCAAGGAGAGAGCCAUCAAAUGAUAAAUUAUUUCCUAUAAAAAUUUUCAAUAUACUUAUUUUCCAAAUUGGAAACUCUAAUAUAAUAAGAAAACUUCUAAUUUAUGACUUAAUUUUGAUCUAUUUACUCAAAAUUGAAUUUUAAAUGAGUUAAAUAUGAAUUAAAUAAAUUAGAGUUAUAAUCAAGUUAAUUAACAUAAUUAUUAAAUAGGUUAAUUUAGGUCAAAUUUAUGUUAUGUAAUUGAUCCAAAAAUAUUCUAUUUAUUAACUGAACUAUGCAAGUUGACAGAAAUUUAACCCAAAUAUGAUUAUACUCAACCCAAAUCCUUGAAAAUAUAUUAAGUUUAAAAUAGAGUUAUAAUCAAGUUAAUUAACAUAAUUAUUAAAUAUGUCAAAUUUGUAUUAUGCAAAUUGACCCAAAAAUAACCUAUUUAUUAUAUGGACUAUGCAAGUUGAUAGAAAUUUAACUCAAACAUGAUUAUACUCAACCUAAAGCCUUGAAAAACAUGUUAAGUUUAAAUUGUGUUAAUAAAUUGUAUCAAACUUUGUUAUCCUUAGGCUUAAACUCCAAGCAAGGAACUCAAGUGACACAGCGAGAGACCAAAAAUAUGGCAAAUGAUAUCACUAGUUACAUUAGAUAGCUUAACAAAAUAAUGAAUUGGUUUAACAAAACUUCUAACAAUUUCCUUAAUAUUUAGGAAGCUAACAAUAAUAGUUAUAACCAUUAUUAAUCUUCAAGUAGCUUAACUGUUAAAGAUUGAUAUUAGCUCUAAGAACACAUGGCAAUUGAGGUGGAAACCUGCUAUCUAUCAUCCUCCUACAAGAUCAUAGGUCUUGGGACAAUGGAAAGCUUAGUUUGAAAACCUAAGGACCGAAAGCUUGGCAAAUGCUUGGUGAUGAUAUCUAUGAUCCGGUCAACAAAUAGAACUUAGUGAAUAAUAAGAUCUUUCUUUAAGACUAUCUCAAAUGAAGUGAAGAUCAAACUCUAUAUGAUUUGAUUGAGUAUGAAACAUAGGUUUAUCUGCUAAAUAAGUAACACUUUUAUCAUCAAACCAAACAAGGGAGAGCAAAUUGAGGAAUGCAGAGUUUCUUGAGAACUGAUUGAAUAUACACAAUCUUAAUUGUAACAAAGGCUAAUCCACGAUACUUAGAAUCAACACUACUCCAAGAGACCAUACCUUGUUUUGUAGAUGUCUGAGAGGCUAAGUUAGAUCCAAAAAACACACAAUAACCACCCUUGCUCUUACAAUCUUUAGGGUAAAAAACCCAAUCAACAUCAAUAUAGUCUUGAAGAUUAAGAGAGAAAGAUGAUUGCAAUUGGAAGCCAUGAGACAAAAUCUAGAUUUGGCUCAUAUAUUGUAUCACCAUGGAAGGAUAGAUCUUCAAUCCUUCAAUAUGCUCUUCAAAGCCAUUGGCAAAGAUCACAUUCUCUAUCUAUGUGCACCAAAGAGUAUAUAUGCUUCUAUCGAGCAUGAUCAUGAGAGCAUGAUUGAACAUCUACAAUGGCUAAAUCAAAUCAAAGGAUAGGAAAGAAGUGAAGUUUGUAGUGGCUUGAGAGGAUUGCAAGCUAGAAGAUUGAACUGAAGUUGCCAUAUAAAUAGCAAAAGUGUUUGGAAAAAGAGAAAAUGUAAGGAAACUCAAGAAAACUUAAAAAGAAAAUCAUAGAAUUGAGAGUCUUUAGCGAGAGGUGCUCUCAUACCAAUAAAGUUUAUGAAAAAACUUGAAAACAAAAUUUAGAAAUCAGUCGCUUAGUCACUUUUUGAGGUAAGAUUUACUAUAUUUAUAAAAGAGUUACAUUAGAUAGCUUAACAAAAUUAUUAACUAAUUUAACAAAACUUUUAAUAAUUUCACGAACUUUUAGGAAGCUAACAAUAAUAGUUAUCUUCAUCACGUAGCUUGGCUAUGGAAGAUUGAUAAUGGCUGUGAGAACACAUGGUAGCUUCUUGUCUAUCACAUUCAUAUGUCUAAGCUUAGAGUUUGUAUUGGACAUGAUCAAAGGAAACUUGUUUCAAAGUUUUGCCCCAAAUGGAUCGGGCUUGUAUACCAACUCAGCCCAAUAAACUGGAGUAGGCCUGACCCAAUCGGCCUGUUUAUAUCCCUAACUUUAUAUAACAAGGCUGUCCUCAAAAUCAAUACGCAGAAUCCAUCUAGGACAACUUGACCGCAAAAGAAGAGGAUAAUUAUAAUAAUCACUGCAAGAUAAAACUUAUUUCUUAAUUAGAAAAUUUAUUAUUAUAUUAUUUUUUUUAAUUAAAUUUUUUUUCAAGUAUUAAAAAUAUUAAAAACACUUUUUAAAAUCACUACUAAAUAGACUCUUAGAGCACGUUUGGUAGUAAUUUUAGGAAGAGUUUUUAGUAUUUCUAAUAUUUGAAAAAUUUUAUCAUUUAAGUAUUAAAAAUGUUAAAAACGUUUUCUAGAAUUGUUUGACAAUGAUUUUAAGAAACGUACCCAAUAUUUUUAAUACUUGAAAAUUUUUAUCAUUCAAAUGUUAAUUAGAAAAUUUAUUAUUAUAUUAAUUUUUUUAAUUAAUUUUUUUUCAAGUAUUAAAAAUAUUGAAAACCUUUUCUAAAAUCACCACUAAAUAAACUCUUAAAAUCCGUUUGACAGUGAUUUUAUAAAACACUUCUAAUAUUUUUAACACUUGAAAACUUUUAUCAUUCAAGUGUUAAAAAAAUUAAAAACGUUUUCUAAAAUCGCAUCAUAUUAUCCAAGUUCCUUUAAUUCACCAAAAUUUAAUUUAAAACUACCAUUAAUUCAUUGGACAAAUUGGCAUGGUCCAUUUUCCACCUAAUGAAAGGAGACUAAGCUCCUUAUCCCAAUUAAAAGAAUCAAUCAUAAAACCCCCAAGGGAUGUUGUGGUUCGAUUCCCCUAUGACAUCUUUCAUUCUUCACAAAUAAAAUAAUGCAUUGAAUCAUUUUCUUGAGGGAUGCUUCAAGAAGAGUGACUCUCAAGGCUCAAACCUUCAUAAUUAGGUAUGUUGAUUCAUAUUUAAAUAACGAUCUCAUAUCAUGGUUUGAAUCCACAGCCAAAAGAAUUGUCGAUAAAGCUUCCAAUCUACUUUUUUCAAAAGUUAGAAUCAUGAAAGCCCAGUGGUCUGUACUACUUUAGUAAAAGUGAUCCUCAGAAAGCAAUCCUGAUGGAUCACAGAAAAUUUCUUUAUAGUAUUCUGAAACCCACUUAAAAAUGAAGAAUAAAUUCAUUAAUUUCAAUUCAAAUAUAAGCUUAAAUAAACCACCCAAAAAUAAUAAUAUUAACAAUCAAAUGAAACAAGCCCAAUAUUCAUUCACACAGAUCAGGAGAUUGGAACAAAUCAAAUUCCAUCUACUUUUCUUAGGAUUUGAAAUACAGGAGUGGAGAUUUGAGGGAAAUCAUCCAUACAUACAUAGAUAUAACGAUUGUACAGGGGAGAAUCAGAGAAACAGAUGAAAAUUAGGAGGAGGCAAUAUCAAAAUGAAGAAGAGAAAAGAAGGGAGAAGGAAAAAGGCUAACAAGGGAUCUGAGAUGUGAACCACUCCAUCACAUGAAUGGGGGCCUUGAUCAGCUCCAGCGCAAGCUCUACUAGUACCGUCACGCACAAGCAACAGGGGCAUAUGCACGUCAACAACAACCUGAAAAUCAAAACCCCGAAAUCAGGAAAAUCAAGAAAAAUCAAAAUCAAAAAUCGGAAAUCAGAGGGAAAGAAAGAGCACAGACCCGACGAUCCAGAUGACGACGCCGAUGAUGGAGAUGAGGAGAGAGAGGAAAGCGAAGGGAAGGCCUAAUAGAAACCCCAAGGGCCUGCAAUCUCCGUCGCAGCACAUCUUCAGUUAUGUCAAGUUUUUUUCCCUUUUUUUUUGGGGGGUUUCUUGUUUGUUUUGCAGGGAUUCGUUUUUUCUCUCCAAAGGGACACACGUUCUCAAGGCUUUUAGCCCCACGCGACGAUAAUGCUUGACCCAGGAAUGGGAAUGGGAAACGGGAAACGGGAAACGUAACCUCUUUAUAUUCCCAUUCUUGGAAAGUUGCUUGCUUUUAUCUCAUCCCCUUCCCCCUUUCUCUUCACUUCUCUUUCACGUACUCUCUGUUGAUUCAAUUUUGCAAAUAGGGAGUUCCAGAAUUAUAAAAACACUAAGAAUGGGAUUUUUCAAAACUAUUUUUUGAGGACAAUUUCAAAAAAUAUUUGCAAAAGUAACCCCUUAUCACAUAUCAAUUUUUUUUAAAGAUAAAUUUAUCAAAAAGUCAAAUUGGCAUCCCUUUACUAACAUGGCCGAAUUAUUUAUCUACUUAUUUAUUAGUUGUCCUCAUGUAACCCAUGUUGCCAUGACUCAUGAGUUGGCACUAGGCACUAUCGAAUCGAAGGGAGACUGUGAGUCACAAAAACAAUAAAAAAUAAAGUGGCCAAAACGACAGCAUCCACUGAUAAUCUUAUCCUGAAGGGUCUUAAGAGGAAGAAUUGUAGUAGCCUGUAGGCCCCCAGAGGGGCAGACGACUCCCAAGUUUCAAUCAGGAGCAGAUGCACAUGUCUAUAUCGAAUACUUCCAACUCAGAUUUUUAUCAGGGCAUUAGUACCUACUGAAGAAGAAGGGUAAGUUUGAAAAUUAUCAAUAUUUACAGUAAAAUAAACCCUGAUUAUGAAUGGAAAAAUGUCCAAAGAGAAGAAAAUUGGAAAAAGAAAAGCAGUGGUCCCCCAGUUCACACCUUCCUGCAGGUCAGGUAGAAUUGUUUGAUAUGUCUGAUGUUGUGCUGAGACUCUGUGAUGCACAUAAAACAGAUUCAGCAAACACCUGGCCUUGGAUGUAUUGGAGGUAUGACAUCAAACAACAGAAUUCAUAUGAGUAUAGGGGCAGAGCCUGCUUUGUACCAGCUGCCCACAUGUGAGAGAAUUUUCAAGCUUGAGCUGAUUGUGUCAAACAAAACUUAUCCAGGAGGCCUAUUCAAACUUGAGUUCUCAUUUUCCAUAGAGAUGAUGCAAGCAAGCCUUUCAUAAACCUGUCAUGUAUUUGGAUUUUAUGAUUUCCUUUGUAAAGAAAGAGGAGAUAAAACAGUCAAUUUAAUGGUAUUAACAAGUGGAAUUUUGAGGAUUACUUACCUCGGACAGUGGCUCACUUUUAUCCUGUUUAACCUCAGAUGUAGAUGAUGUGUCAUACCUACACAACAUAUGAGUCAUGAAGGACAAAAAAAAAUUCCAAGCUUUACAGAUGUAGAAAGGAAAAUUUGAGAAUAAUCAAACAGGGGAAAGAGAAGUAAUUCUUGGAAAUAGAUUUCAACCUACAACCAAAUUGAUCAUGAAAACAUCCAAUUUUCUCACCAAUCACGAGGAAUUCCAGCUUCAUCUCGAGCUGAAUAAUUGAAGGGUCCUUUCAAUUCCACAUUGUAUUCUUUUAACAAGUCUGCAUGGUUACUCAAAAUAAAAUUCUGUAUAAAAAGGCUGUACCCCUUAAAAUGGAAUUGAUGCACUCGAUCAUAAGUUUGAUGAGCUACUAGACCUUUGAAAGUGGAGCAAGGAGCACGGCCCAUUUUCUGGCAGACCGAAACAAACCAGUGGACACCAACUGCAACAUGUGCAACUUCCUCAUCAGCAAUUCUAGCUACAAUGUUAGAUGUCCUAGAAUCCCCAAAGCCAAUGAGUUUUUGCACCAGCCGUGGCCCAGCAUCCAGUCCUCGAGCCUCCUACACCAAUAACAGAAGAAAAUUCUCAUAUAUAAAUAAACUAAAACAUAUCCAGAAACUUGAUUAGAUGUGCAACUCAAGGGCAGUGGUCCUAUAGGAACUAUAUAGAACUUUCUUAGGCUGCUUCAGCCAGAUGCUUCAGCCAGAAUCUGACAGAGGAACUGUCGUUUCUCUUCUCUUCUCAUACAGAAUAACUUCUGUAACAGGGGGAAAAUAUUAAAGCAGUUUAGGAAAUACAUCAAUUAAUAUAAGGAAUCUCAUGCUAAAACAGAUGCCUCAACCUGCUACAGAUACACAUACAGAUAGAGGCCUCGAUUCUAUAAGAACCCCCUCAAGUUAUCCAAAUAUCUAAAAAGGAUGGUUAUGUAAACACCCCAUCAUUCACACAAAUACAGAGAGUAAGUACAACAAAAAAUCCAAAAGAGAGAAGGAAACACAUUUAAAUCAAAUAAAAACAUGGAUGAGGAAUUUGUAUAAAACUUAACAAACUAUAUUGAAGGGCAUGUUCAGAAGCAAGAGCAAACUCCAAAUAACCUGCUUAAUUUUAUCUUAAAAAGUGACAUUCAAAUAGUAGGUGUAGGAAUGCAGCUUCAGCAAGAAUCCUAGCCCUUUCUCAACAUCUACCAAAAGAACAGAUCGUAGCCUGUUUUCCCUUUUUCCUUUUUCUUUCCCUUUUUUUUUUUAGGAAAUCAACAUAAAAAUGGUUUUAGUCAUAAAAAUGAUAAAUGAAGUUUAAAGUUGUAUAUAACUGCAGCAUUUGGGUUUCAGCAAAGGCUUAGAGAAACUCCUAAUAAGCAAUCUAGAAGUGCUUGCCUGCUCCCAAGCACCUGUAAACAAACUAUACAGAUUUAUCCUAUACCAUCAUCAUCCAAAGACAUUGAUUUUUUAGGCUAUAGCAAUUUGUAUUGUAUGUUUCCAGCAGCACAUUGUCUUUCGAAUUCCACAUUUUAAUCAGCUUCUCCCAUUUCUUAAAAGUGUAAGUGCAACCAUCCAUCCAUCAGAAAAAUAAUAUGGGGAAACAAAAGCAGAAAGCAAGCAACCAAAAAACAGUUAGAAGAAAUUAGAGAGGUGAUACUCAUUAAAGUUUGCCUAAAGCAUGAUAUGUCACUGUCCUUAAAGUAGUUCUAUUAUCCUUUAAGACAUCCUAAGUGCAGCAAGAUGAUAGGUGUUCUACCUCUAAGAUUCAACAGCCAACAAUGCUAGUAGAGGUGCACUCCUUAGGAAAACAGUAAAGACAACUCUUUGAGUUUGUUCCUCCAAGAUUAGUGAUGAACAGCCAAGAUGGAAUGUAAAGGCAAUUCUUUGGGUUUGUUCCUCCAGGACUUGAAUGAACGACAGAGAUGAAAUGCUGUCAGUUAUGAGUAGGAGAGAGCAAUCACAACGGCACUCACAGAAAAACUCAUAAAGGAGACUCUCAGGUAGAAGGCUGUAGAACUUAGAAGCUCUCAGAAGGAAGAAUAAGAAACUCAAAGGAGCCUGGGUGUCCGUCGGCGAGGUGGGGGAAAAGGCCAGAUAAAUGAAUCACUCAAGGGAUUUAAUUUCAUCAAUGAAUGGUGAUUGCACUUGGUUAAGUAAUGAAAUUGCACUGUAUAACUGAAAUUUGAAAUUCAAAUUUCAUAUAUCCAAAUCCAAAAAAAUUAGUGUGGAUGGGGUUCCCCUUUGUUCUUGCAAUGAAUCCCAGUUAAAUGGUCUCUAGUCCAACCCCCUAAAAAUCAGGUCUCAUGAGCAUGUGUGCCUUUCCAUUAUCUGGUCACAAGCCCUUGAGGCUUAUAAAGCACUUUCUGACUCCUAUUCCUUAUCCAAUGUGGGACAAGGAAAUAAGCCUUUACUCAUGUACUCUUUCUACACUGUUAACUUGCAUCAUCAUUACCCAGAACAUUUACCAACUACAAUAAGCAGUUGCUAAAUGCAAGCUUUUGAAGAUAUCAUAUCAAUGCACCAUUGAUAUGACAUGAAGUUCUUUCAAGACAAGGAAUCAUAGAGUCACAUAACAUUUGAUUCCAAAUAUAAACAAUAAUAAGACGAGGAAGAGGAUGAAUAAGAGGUCAAAGGAAUGAAGAUAGACUUAGGAAGAUGAAGGGUAUUAAAAAAAGAAGAAAAGAAUUUAAGGAUACAAAUGGAGACCCUUAACAAGUGUUUUCCAACCUUGAGCAGCACCUUAAAGGAAGAAGCAAUUAUUUUAACUUACGACAAAAAAGCUUUAUUAAUAGAAUCCAUAAUGAAGUCAAACUAUUACUAGAAUAAAAAGGUCAAAAAGUGUCUCAAAUUCCUAAUUUUUGGUUUAAUUGUCAAUUGCAUGAGAGCUAAUUUUAGUGUAAAAUAUUGUAUAUUUUUUUUUGUUUGAUCAGUAAAUGAAAAGAGUAUUGAAAAGUGCUAAAAAGGGUUGCACCAAAGUACACACGAUUUAUACGACGGCCACCAAAAAGUGCCAAAAAAAGGAAGAGAAAACAAAAAACUACUCCCUCCCUCAAACUAAACUCGACCAAUUAAUGAAAUCAAUUAUAGACAUUGAGCUUUCACCUAUAAAUAGUUUGGUCUAGGUUAACAAGUUAUAUAAAAAUAAGAAUUUCAGCCUUUGAAUAGAGAGCUCCACAAGUUAUGAAAAGAGGUUUCUUUAUUGGACAAAGAAAAGGAUUUAGGCAAUUUUUGUUAAAAGGCUAAAGGUGGUCAUGGGCAUUUUACCCAAAAAUGGUGAAGCAUAAGACUCAAGGUGGAAUAAGGAAAAUAAUAAAUAAAUAAUAAAGAAAAAAAUCUUAAAAUUUUUGAAAAAAAAUACUAAUAAAAUGACAAAAUUUGGAUAAUAAGAAAAUUAUGAAAUUCAUAACAACCAAAUUAGUCGUUUUUCAUUAUCAAAAGUUUCUAAUUUAAUUCCUCUUCCUCUCUUUGAAAAUCCAACCAUCUCUUAUGGCUUCAUAAAAAAAAAUUCAAUAAUACCAUAACUAUCUCUAGUAGUGCCCUUCAAUGAAUCAUAAUCAUAUCUAAUUUUCUAUUAGCCUGAAUGCUUACUCAUUCUUCUUCAUCCGUCAACUAGGUGGUUUUUUUCCUAUAUCUAUUAAUAAUUUUUUUUUGAUAAGUAAAGAAAAUUCAUUUAAAAAGAGACGCCUAAAGAGCGACUCAAGGUAUACAGCCUAUGUAAGGUAUACAAACCUAUACACCCGCCACCAAAAGAGACCAAAAACAUAUAAAGACCCACCCACCAAAAGGCCCAACAUCUUACAAUGAUCCCACCCAAUCUAUAAAAUUCACCAAAGUUUGAGGGCAUUCUACUAUAAACAGCUUUGCCUCAGACCAAAGCGAGCAUAAAAAGGAAUAUUUCAACCUCUGUAUUGAUAUAACAUCAUCCUUGAAGGCUAAACGAUUUCUCGCCUUCCAAACCGUCCAAAAAAUAUGCAAGGGCGCCGCCCUCCACACUUUCCUGUGUUUCUUGCCCACAGAAGAAGUCUGCCAACUAAGCAAAGUCUCUCUAACUGAACACGGCAUCACCCAAGACACCCCAAACAAAGAAAAAAGCAACUCCCAUAAGACUCUUGUUUUGGAGCAGUGGAGCAACAGAUGAUCUAUGGUCUCCUCCUUUUCCAUACACAUGUAACAUCUAUUAGCCAAUGACCAUCCUCUUCUCUGACAAAGAUCUAGGGUAAGCGCCUUGCCCCAUGCGGCCUCCCACGCAAAAAAGCUGAUUUUGGGUUGUACCCACACCUUCCAAAUGCAGCUAGAUGGGAAAGAACUAGGGCAGUCCGCUUCUAGAGCAAGGUAUAGAGACUUAGCCGAAAAAAUACCACUCUUUGUUUCAGUCCAAACUACCUUAUCAUCUUCGUCGCCAAUGACUCUCUUUCCCAUGAAGACACCCCAAAAAUAAUUCCGCCUCCUCCAUCUCCCAAUCAUUUAGGGCUCUUGAAAAACAAGGGUUCCAACCCCCUCUACCCCCUUGUACCAAGGGAUCCCAAACAUCCGCCACCCAAGCUUCCUUUUCAAUCGAUAAGGCAUAGAUGGAAGGAAACGAAUCGCACAGAGGGGCAUCCCCACACCAUCUAUCCCUCCAAAAGCUCACCCUCCUCCCAUUGCCAACACUAAAAGAAAUCCGCUCACCCACCAAAUCCCAGUCCAUCCUUAUCGCUUUCCAAAGCCCCACGCCAUGCGCCUCUCUCACUUCCCGCGUGCGCCAACCCCCUCUAUCUUCCCCAUACUUCCCUCUAAUCACUUGAUUCCACAAAGCCUCUCUCUCGUUUGCAAAACGCCAAUUCCAUUUAGAAAGGAGUGCCUUAUUGAGAUUGGAAAGGCAUUUGAUCCCUAAACCCCCUUUCUUCUUGCUUAAGCACACCACCUUCCAUCUUACUAGAUGUGGUUUACGCUCCAAACUGCCACCGCCCCAAAGAUAAAUAUUAAUAAUAAGAUAAAUAUUAUACAUAAGCUCAAAUACUACAAAGGGUUAAUUUGAAACCAACAAAGCCAUGAUUUUAAAAGGUUUAACCCUAGCAUUGGACCCAAGUUAAAACAUAUAAAAUCUAUAACCAAACCUCACAAAAGCAUAAAACCAUUAAAUAUUAAGGCUUAAAUCUCUUAUAAAAUAUAUAUCAAAAGCUCACAAAGGUUCUAAAACCAUUAAAAUCCUUCAAAUAUUUGAGGCUUAAGACUUGAGUAUCCCUAUAUCAAGGUUAUAGCCUCAAGUAUCCCAAUGUUGAGUCUAUAGCCUAGAGGCUAAUUCAUAGAGUCUCACCUUAAAGCGUAAGCCUCAAUAGCCUUUUAAAACACCGGAUUAAGGAAUAUCUCUAUAAAUAUUCUUACAAAGAAAAACAUUAUUAGAUAGAGAUAGACAUAUAAAGUCAUGGCUAAGGAUGUAGAGAUAUUAGAAAGAGUAGGAGACAUGCAAUGGAGCAUAGCUUGAAUUUAAUAUAUGGCUACUAGAAGCAAUGAAGCAUGGAAUUGUCUCGGAACUUGGUCUUAUAUCUAUGUUCUCUUUCCUCUGUAAUUUUCUCUAUGAUUAGAUUUGUUCUAUCUCAUUUAUAAAUUGAGGCGUAGUUGGUCAAAUCAUAUUAAAACCAUACAUAUAUUAAGGAAUGGAUUUGUUGAUCUUUAUGUUAUUACACAACAAAAUGGUAUCAAAUCUUUUGUUGCCACAACAAAAAACAUUCAACCAUGAAAGAAUUUUUAUUUAUUUUCUUCCUUCAUAUAAUAAUAAUUGAAGAUGUUUCCCUCAUUUAAAUUCUUAACAUUAGUAACAUUACCUACAAUAAAACCUUUAGUUCUAUUAAACUAAGGUUUGGCUAAUUUUGAUUUUGAUGAUAACAAAAUAAGGUUUAAAUCUAAUGAUUAUAUUUAAGCGUUAUAGGCAAGAAGACCUCCUUGGAACCAUCAAAAAGAAGAUACAUGAAGCAAAAGAGGAUUUCAAGAAAAUGUUUAUCAAGUUUAUCAUUGGGAUACUUUAUGUAAGAUGAUGGAUGCAUUAAAUUAGGAAUGCAUGUUUUUGUUAAAGCACCAAAACAUUCAUCCAUAAGUUUCUAAUUGGUUUUAUACUUUUAUAAUUUGUAUGAAAAUAAUUUUGAGUAUAGAAAGACAUAGCCUAGGAGACUACCUUGAACUUCAAGCUUUUCACGAAAAUCUUUACGGUUUCUUUAAAACAUUAUCGACUUAACUAAAGUGCUUUACACUUGAAAAAUUUCUCAAAACAUCGGUUAAGACUUUGUUAGAAGGUGGUCUACAUUCAUAUAAGUUAGUUUAAAAAGGUCUUAACCCCAAAACAUGCAUGAACUUUCAAAAAAUAUUGGGUUAGAUGACAUACGGAUGGCUAGGCAAUCAUCCAAUUAUUAUGCAGAUGCCUAGGUGAUUAUCCAAUUGUCAUGCAGAUGUCCAAACAGUCAUCUAGUUGUCAUAUGGAUAUCUAGGUGGUCAUCCACUUGCCUUGUUUUGGGACAAAAUGGCUAUUGGAAAUUUCAAAGCAAAACAGGCGUUCACCUGAACAGCCACUUACCUUAAGAAGUGAUUUUUGGCUACUGGAGGCCAUGUGGGGACGUCCACCUAGACGAUCACUUGGCAAUGUGGAUGACCAGGUGGACAUGCACAUCUUCUUUAUGGCCUCCAAUGGCUAAUAUGCGGAUGACCACACGAACGUCUAGUCUUAGGAAACUUAUUUCCAAUGGCUAGUUUGACUUUUAACUCUUAUAUAAAAGCUUUAUACUUCAUUUAUAAAUAAGAGAAGAUUUCCAAACAAUUAUUGAAUCAACUUUUGAGCCUUCGGAAAAUAGUUUUGAGUACAUAGGGCUUAGACUUGCAUUCUAUUCUUAAUGCACCUAAUCAAUUAUAGUUUUCUUUGUAUCCUUAAGCAAAAUUUGUAAACAGUAUUGAAAAAUUCACUUCUUGUAAAUCUUGUGAAGUGAGAUCAAGUAUGAGGUAUCACUUAAGGGAAAAAUCUAAAUCUAAGGUAUCACUUAGGGAAUUCAAGAGUGAGGCAUCUCUCGAGGAAAAUUGUAAAUGCUCAUUAGAGCAAAUCAAUCCAACUAUAAAGCUUGAAGGCUUGGUUUGGAAACCUUGGUAUAGUGGAACCUCAAGCUUGGGAUUGAAGCUAAAGGAGAGUAUAUAUAGGCCGGGAUUGAGCCGAACCACUAUAAAUUGGAGUUUGCAAUCUCUUUUCUCGAAUCUCUUUAUUUAUUGUCCUUUAUUAUUUUUAUUAUAUAAUUGCUUAUAUUGUCAUUUGCAUUCUCUAAGUUUAAAUUUUUAAAAACUGAUUAUCACCUUAUUCAACCCCCUCCCCCAGAGUGAUUACCUUAAGUUGAUAUAGCUAGAAUCCUAACAAGUUUUGUACUUGAAUAAGAAAAAAUUGUAGAGAAAAAAGGAAGAUAAAGCAAGUAAUGCUGCAAGUUAUUAUUUCCUUAAAGCAUAAGCAAUAAAGCAUUGCAUUAUUGUGCCUUAAGUACUCUGCAUUAUCAUGCCUUAGAAUUGUGUUCCUAAAGCAUGAGGUCACCUGGACCAGUGGGAUUGCCACCAGACGUGCAGCAACAUUGUUAGAUGAUUUUGCACAUUCCCUCCAAAGAAGAUUAUGAGCAGGCAUAUCUCCAUAACUGUUAUCGAGAAGAAGAAAAAUGAAAACCAGUUGAAUCAACAGGACCCAAUUAUAAAACCCAAAUUAACAGCCAUGCUCACUUGAAACCUAGUUCAGCCAGUCUCUGUGAACACCAAGCAAAAUGGCGACUCUCGUCAUCAGCAACACGAGCAAAAUCAGCAAAAAAGCCCUCUCCAAGAAUCUUGCUGUAAGGUGAAAAGCGGACAACCGUGUCCCAUGCCAAAUCAAUUGCAUUUAGCUCCACAUGAGCAAGAUUAUGGAGCAUGUAUGCAUUUAGAGGCAAACCUGAGUUUUUGGGAGCUGGAAUUUCCUUUGGAGAAACCUGAAUUUCACAAAAACAGGCCUAAAAUGAGUAUACCCACAUUUCUACCUACCCACUAAUCAAGAUAUGAGUAACCAACACAAUGCAAAAUCAGGAAAAGCAUCAAACACAGACGUUCAAUAAAAAAUAUAUAAGGAACAAAACCCAUCAAAAUAACAACCACUAAUCAAUAGAUAUCAAAAUUAUGGAAAAGAAAAACCCCAAUUCAAAAUGCUUAUGCAUUAGAGGAAAUCAGCCCAUAGCAAAUCCAUCCCCCCACCCUUCAAAAAUUUUAAUUUCAGAUGUUUAAAAGAUUAAAAGGGACAAAUUGCAUUGAAAAUUAACCACCAAUAUAAAUGAGCAAUCCCCAUAUCUCAAAACCAUUAAUAACUUCAAUUCUGGAUGUUCAAGAAGGUAAAAAAGAAAUCAAAACCUAUUAAAAUUGGCAUUGCCACAAUCCUCAUAGACCAUUUUGAAUCCCAAAAUGAAAUUAUCUGCGAUUUCGUGGUCUUACCAAUCAAAUUUAAAAUACAACAAUAACAAUUAAAAAUAUCAAAAUUAAUAAAUUUUAUAGUUGCCCAUCAGAGAACAAAACGCAAAAAGUUGAAAACCAAUAAGGGUUUUGUGAAUGAGAAGAGAAACCAGCUGGGGUUUGGCAGGGCGAGCAGGCCGAUCGGGCGCUUGGGAGUCCCCAAUGGGGAGAUGCUCUGUUCUCCACCUAGAGUAGGCGAGAUGAGAUAGUUUGGACUUGGUGAGAGGGUCACUGGUGGAGAGAACCAGAGAGCCCAUUCCAGCCAGAGAAGAAGCCAAAGCCAUGGGGCCCUCACAGACUUCAAGUGAUGUGCAGGGCGAUGGUGGUAAAGGUUCUGGACCAUUGGGUCCCCAGAGCCGGUUUUUAUUGAGUGGAUUCUCUCUCCAGCUCUGGAGACCCGACCAUGGAGAGUAGUGCAAAGAAGAAGAAGAAGAAGACGACGACGACAAGGGCUUUGUCCUGAAGCUAAGGGGUGGGAAUAAUGAAGAGCACCAAGCGCAGCGCAGGGUUGUGGAGAGCAUGGGCCUGAGCUUCAGCAGUUGUAUUGUCAUUGCCUCUGCCCUUUCAUCCACAGGACCUAAUUUGUGGGGAAAUUGGAUUUUUUAUUAUUUUAAUAAUCAUAUUUCCAACGUAACUGUGAAUAACUUAAAAAUAAUUUAAGAAAAAUAAAAGGGAUAUAAAUGACAUGGUAUUAAUUCCCCCGAAAAAAUUUGAUAAAUUACGUAUGCUAAUAAAAAAAAAAAGGUUAUAUUUGUUUCCCAAUUUGGUUAAAGAAUUCAAUUCCAUAAAAAAGUAAUUGGAAUUCCAAGGAUUUAUAUUUUAGAGUUAUAGGCCCUCUUUAAAAAGUGUUUUCAAAAACAAUUUUUGAAAAUCAUUUUUUAAUAUUUUAUAAAAUAAAAAUUUAAGAUCCUCUUCACCUAAUUUUUUAUAUUUUUAAAUAUAUUUUAAAAAUAAUUUUAUAUGUAGUACCUUAUUUUUAGUUAUUCUUUAAUGUUUUUAAACAUUUAUGAACCAUGGACUGAUGGACAUGGCUGAGGCUGAUAAUGUUUAGGGAGCUCAAAAGCCAUUCAAUCCAGCAAAUGAAUACCUGGAUUCCAGUCGUAACAUUCCCUGCAACAAUUCUUUGCCUUCAUAAUACAAGCCUACUCAAUCAUUUGAUAAAUCCAAUGCACCUCAUAAACCUACCAUGGUAACAACGAUUCCAUUUAUUACGCUCUCCAGAAGAGCAUUUGCUUGGAUCAGGAGUAAAAUGUCAUCCUGCCUUUAACAAAGACCACAGUUUUUUAUCUGCCCAACAGCCAAAACUCAGUAAAAAAUAUUUCAUGUGAAGCGAUUAUAACUACAUGUACUAGGAUUACAGACAAUAUUGUGUAUGAUGGCAAAGAAUAGGGCCUGAAUCUUCAAAGACAAGACCAAUAAACAGCUGCAGCUUACAUGAGUAGCAGUAGUUAGCAAUGUACAUGUGCUGAGAUUAACUAAUCAACCCACUGUAUCUAAUCAACACUACAUCCUACCAUUAUCAUACAAAUUCCCAAUGCUAUUUGAUGAUGAUUGCAAAGUUGAUAAAAUGAUGAGAAACAAAUUGCACUCUGCCAGCAAAGUGGGGGAGACCUCAAUACUCUUUCCACUAUACAACCACCAGAUGUGAGUGCUCAUCAUUCUCCGAAAACUUCAGACAACAAAAUGUGGAUUCGUCGUCUAAACUUCUAACUUCUGCAAAAGCAAAAAACAACUAAAUAAACAAAUAAACAAAAUUAAAAAAACCAAAAAAAAUAUAAUUAAUAAUUUACUUAGCAUUAUAUGGUUAACAAAUCUAGCAACUUCAAUCAAAGCUGUUUGAUGACCAAAUAGAAGUUUAGUGUGGUUGGUACAAUGUUUCACCACACAAAGGGAGGAAAAUAACCCGUCUAAAAGGCUUUCCUUGGGGGAGGGGGGGAUUCCACAUAGCAAACACAGUAUAAAAAGAUAUACAUCACCACACCUGCCACCAGCAAGAAAAUACUUCAAUCAAAGCUGUUUGGGGAUGAAAUAGAAGUUUAGUGUGGUUGGUACAAUAUUUCACCACACAAUGGGAGGAAAAUAACCCCUCUAAAAUACUUUCCUAGGGGGAUUUCACAUAGCAAACACAGUAUAAAAAGAUAUACAAUCAUUGCUCCUGCCACCCACAAGAAAAUAUGGGAAAAUUUUUUCUUCCCUUAUUCUAAUGAGAAAAAUCGCCAAAGUGUACUCUUCUUCUUUGCAUUAUAUGAUUAACAAACUUGGCAACUUCAAUUAAAGCUAUUAGGUGACAGAACUAGAGUUUAGUUUGAUCGCCAAAAUGUUUCAUCACAGAAUGUGAAGAAGACUUGGGGGAAAAUCUUACAUUACAAACACAAUAUAAAAAAGAUGAACAAUUACAGCUCCUGCCACCCACAAGAAUACAUGGGAAAAUUUUACUCCCUUUUUACAUAAGAAAAAACAUUAGGAAUCUCCUCCUCCUCACCCAUUGGAGUUAUGGUGCAAAUGGGGUUAGGUGGGUAAGAUUAGAAGGAUAUGGGAAGACGACUAGACAUUAGCAAGCUAGUUUUCCUACAAAGGUGCCCUAGAGCUCAUCAUAAAAUGGAAAUGAUUCUGUCCUAUACAUUGAAACUAUCCAAUUCAGAAUCUCAUUCUCCAAAAUCUCCGGUUCUCCACCUGAGACUCUUCAUGCAGGCUAAUUUCAUUCUCUCCAACCUUCUCACCUUUCACUUUGGCCAACACAUUCUUGACAGGUGUUUUAUCCCUCUAGAAGGCUGCUUAACUGUAGACUCAUAAGAAAAAAGCAUUAUAUAAACUAAAUAGAAUAGUAGACAAGAUAUGCUCAAAAAAGGGUAUUUGUUCUCAUCCAAGGAUAAAAGUAUCAGUUUUGACAAAUAUAUUGAUAACUCGGUUUUAUGGAUAUAUUGGAAUAUGUCAAGAAAUAUCAGUGGAUAUUCUGACACAAAAUAUCAGUAGGAAAAAAAUUGUUCAAAAAUCAUAAAUUUGGGAAAACUCCAAGAAAAUUAUAGAAGAAACAAUAAUAUAUGUAUUAAAGUUGUUUUAAUGAAAAAAUUGAUAUACAUGUAUGAUAAAUUUGUAACAUUAGGUAACUUAUCAAAAAAAAAUUUGUAACAUUAGGUAAUAAUGUAUUGAAUUUUUUUUUUUUUUUUUUUUGAUAACCGUGGAUGUCCGGGCCAGCUUACGCAUAAUGUAUUGAAUUUGAAAACAUAUUAAUGCUAAAAUGAUAAUAUAUUAAGUUUGGAUAUAUUAAAAAAUAUAAAAGAAAUGAUGAUAUACAUAAGUAUUUUUAUUUAAAUAUAUCAAAAUUUUAUUUAUAAAUUUAUAUUUAACUUAUAUUUAAUUAUCACACAAAAUACAUAAUAAGAUAAUUAAACUUAUUUAAAAUAAUUUUAUUUUAAUUUAUUUAUAAUAUAAUAUAUAUAUAGAUAUAUAUAUAUAUAUAUAUUAUAAAUAUCUUUUAUAAGAAUAAAACAUAUAUGUGUGUGUGUGUGUGUGUGUGUGUGUGAAAAUAAAACAUAUAAGAAUGUUUGGAGCAGUGGCAUGGACCUUCCAUCACAAGCACAAGGUUCUUGGUUCAAACCUUGGUCAUGUUAUGCUUUAAAAUGUUUUUUCUUUGUUCAAUUUAAAACAAUCCCACAUCGGAAGGAGAGGGGAAAGCAAUUGCCUAUUUAAUAAGAUGGUGCCCCUUGAUAAAAUCACCUGUUGCUUGUGGGCCAGUGGGGCUGAGGCCCAUCACUUGAUCCAACUGGUCAUUAGAUUAGGAUUUUUGUAAAAAUUGGGGAAGAUGUGGUGCUGAUGUGGCACCGAAAUAAUCGGUGAUAUUACUGAUUUUUUGGUAAAAUAUCUGUAUAUUGCCAAUUUAUCAGUGAAAAUCAGGUAAAUUUUCCAAAAUUUUGGAUGAAGGAGAUAUUGGCCCCACUUAUCGUGUUAGGGCCAUCUGAUACCCGUCAAAUCAACGAUAUUUCGCCGAUUUAUCCCAAUGUUUUCUUCCUUGUUCACAUCUAACUUGAACAAUCCAAACAACCUAACUGAACACAAGAUCAGGAAGAGUUGGGAUUGGGUUGGUAUUUAACAUGACCAAUGCACUCAAGAUGCAGUUCUACCUAGUUCCUGCAUCAAACCAAUAGAGAUAAUAGUACUAGCCACCUCUGGUCCACAAAGCACAUGCUUGUUGAUUGAACAAUUCAAUUUAAUGUUUAGUUCAACAUAGGUUUUUUAUGCACUCCAACUAUACUUGGAAGAUCUAAAGUAGCAAAGCAAAACCUAUUCUCCCACUAAAAGCCUUAACCAUAUGUGACGAAUUCUGUAGAGGAAAAAAAGAAGUAGAAAAAUAAAAAAAGGAAAAAAAAGAAAAAGAAAAAGAAAGGGCUAAACAGUAGUCCAAUGUUUGGCACAUGAUGGGAAACCAUCCAUCUGAGGACUCACCGUUACGCAUCAGAUUUUAAAACAACCACAUGUCCAAACCAUGUAAGCUAUCAGUACUCAGUCUUAAAACAAGCAAAAAAAUAAAUCUCAUGAUUAGCACUUCUAGGUACUUAAUCAAGGAAGCAAUUUUCAUUUUUAUUUUUUUACUUUUACGUAUCACAUAAAUUUUCCUUCCAACAAUCCAAAGGUGUUACAAAUGCCAGACCAUGUGCACUAGAAAACUAAAACUCACCAUCAUUAUUGGAUCCUAAAUUUGAUCUUUUGCUCCAAGUAGGCAUUAUCAGGGUGCAUCUUGCUUUUUAGUGAAAGAGACAUCCAUUAUUUUUGUGCCAUUUCAGCAGUAAUGAAGAUAUCUCAACCAGCCUCUUGAAAAGAUAGCCUCAUCAAAUAAGAUCAAAAUAUCCUAUCUCAAUAACUUUUUACCACCGAACAUAUCAGAAAUUUUUACUGUUCAAAUUUUCAGAAAUACUUGCUUGAGUUCAUAUAUCAAAGUUACUAGAACAAUAUGGUAUUUGGUACACAAUUAUUCAACUAAAUGUAACCAUCAUAAUAUUGGUCCCUCCUUUUACACCAAAUGUAUAGAAUAUGUAGAAAACAAGAAAUAAUAGACCCUUCCAUUAAAUUUUAGUUAAGGAGAGGAGCCUCUCUCUCAGUCAUCUAAAAUAGAGAUUAAGGGUCAAAAUUAGGGGAACAGAACCCUGAACUUCAAAUAUAUAUAUAUGUUUAACGCCCCUGGAAGCUGAACUAGAUCAAUCAAAUCCACCGUUAGUGCAAAGCAUUGAUCAAAAACCCAAAUAUGAAAGCAGGCUUGUGGGCAUUAUAUCUAUGCCUACAACCCAUUAUUGUCUCACAAAAACAUGCUAUCAGGCUGUUUAUAGACCUUGCUUUCCACAUAAUAAAGGAUAGUUUGUGAAGAAAUCAAGUUCAAGGGCAGAAAUAGGAAGGAAAAACCAUACAAACUUUGCAUCAAAAUUCUCCAAUAAGUACAUGGUCAUACCUUAACUGAAUACAAUCAAGUCCUAGGUGAAGGCCUAGCAUCAGAUCCAUCAGCUGACGAAGUUUCACUAUCGGAGUCUGAAAUGAUACACAGAGACAAGAAUAAUACACAGAGAUGAGAAAAGAAAACCCAAACUUCAUUUGAACAUACAUUAAAUUGUCAUUACCACAGGACCCAACAAUAUAAGAUGGACAACAUGAUUCUGUAUCAGCAAGUAAGAAAUUUAUCACAUUACCACUUGAAGAGGAUCCAGAGUCGCUGUCAGAGCUGCUUGAACUACUCGAACCACUUACAUUCUCUCCUUGCUUUUCUCCUUGUACUGGAGAUGAGGAGGAAAUAUUCCUUUCAUCUGUUUGCAAGCAGAACACAAUCAAUUGAUCAUAUUAAAAAACAUCAGGCUAUCACCAAAAGAGAUUAACCAAUUUGCAUGGUAUAAGAGUUUUUACCUAUAUUAGUUUCUCUUGCUGCCUCUGUCACAACUGGGACAGGAUUCUGAAAAAAUACAAUGAAUGAUACAUUAACACCCUAGUGAUUCAGCAUGAAAAAAUAUAUAUAUUGGAUUGGAAAAUAUAAACUCAAAUCUUACCCUUUCCUGGAUUUUCCGGGCAGCUUCUGCUCUGGCCUGAGCAAGUUCAGCUUUUCUCUUGUUCUUGCUCAGACUCUUUUUGUAAUUCGUAACAUACCUGUCCAACUCCCAUAGAGUCUCUGCAUCAACACUAUCAAUGUCCACUUCAAUUUCAUCAUUGUCUUGGCAGAGGGCCGAAUUAUUCCUUUUGAUAAUAUGUACAAUAUUGUCCAACUUUUCUGAAGGUAAAUUCUGAAGGUUUGUGCUGAGUUUCUGCUUCUCCUCAAAAGUCAUGUCCCUUUUAUUGGGAUCCUUGGCCUUGGGCUUCUUCAAAGAAGGAGUCCUGACUAAUGGAGUAUAAUUCAUGGGUUUAAUUUUGGGGUCAACUGCAUAUGUCAUUGAUUCCGAUCUAUCCAACACCCUUCUCAUUUCAUGUGAGGGCAACAUUGGUGGUGGGGCAGGUAGUUUCCUUGAUGUAGGUGUAGGAAGACCCAUUUCAUAUUCAUAUCCAAGCCUCAAUUCCCGACUAUACUCAGCCUCUAUGACUGCCCAUUUGUCCUCGAAUAUCUUUGAUAACACCUCUGCCAUUACAUGAACAUCUUGCCCUUUCGGAUUAUAUGUCAUAGCAUUGUGAAAAGUAAGUCUUACAUCCUCUGCAAACUCUCUCGGUGACUUGUACCAAUUCUUGUUCAACCUAGAUUUCACAGUACCUAAAUCCAUUGGAUCCGUGAUAAUACUAAAAUAGUCAUGCAAACCAAGACCUUUUACAUCAACUGGGCUAUUAAAAACCCAACCAUGUUUGUGCUUCAUCAACCUCUCAAGCAAAGCACCACAAUUCUUAAAACACUUGUUCAUUGCAGACCCAUAUCCUGGUUCUACUCCCCCGUGCUUCUUUCCAUUCAAUUUCGUCUUCUUGUUACUCUCGGUGGGGAACUUCUCUUUACCAAGAAGAAACUCUGAAUUCCGAUAAAACUGAUUCGCCUUGGGUGUUCUCUUCUCUUUCUCCACGACAUCACUCCCACCCUGACUAUUCUCUAUGACAGAUAUACUUAGCUGGUGCAAAGGCCUCGACUGUGACAAAGAUUUCGCCUGUGGGAAAGACCUCGAUUGUUGCAAAGGUCUUGACUGUUGUAAAGGUCUAGACUCAUUCACCGAUGCCACUUCCGAACUAACUCUCUUCGCCACACUAUCAUCAACAACACCGCCCUCACUUCCCAACACAUCCUUGGCUUCAAUCUUCUUCACUAAAGACCUAACCAAAUCAAGCUCAGUCUGCAGCUUCCUUCGAAGCUCCCGCGUCUCUUGCUUCGACCUUGUCGCCAGAUUGAUCUUUAUUCGAUUUUCCAAUCUCGAAAUACCAGGUUUAACGGCCCCGUUUCCAGCCGGAGGAGCCUCGAUGGAACUGGGCUCUGCGAGAUGUGCCCGGCUGAGGCUCGACGAAUCGUCCGACACCGCAGUUUCUGCGUUGAUCUCGCGCGGUUGCUGAGACGAGUUCGCGUGUUCGGAAGCUACGGCUUGAACGGGCUGUUGAGGGGUGCUGUUGUUAUCGCUGUUGUUUGGGGCUGUGGUGGCGGCCGUGGCUGUGGCUGUGGCUGUGGCGAGCGCGGCGGUGGUGGCUGUGUCGGUGGGGGUGGGUGGAGCAGUAGCCUUGGGACCCUUGAAGGCUUUUCUGGUAUAGACCUUGCUUUCUUGCCAUCUUUUCUUCUCUCGAGAACCAUCACCUCCGCCACCGCCACCACCAUCGACUAUAGGGCCCGAAGCCAUACAUGUAACUCCGAAACCCUAACCCGAUCCUCACCGAUUCUUCCCACAACACAGAUCGAUUCGAGCUAGAGUUCCAAUACGCACAAAGAAUCGACAAAGAAUCCCAAAAAAUUUUAAGAAAAACCCUAAAUUUUGCGAGAAAAUCGACGAUCAGGAUUUUCUCGAGAAACAAACGCUAGGGCUUCCAGCCAAAAGUAGGGUUUCGAAGACCAAACCCAAUCCUCACCUACUCUCUCUCCAGAACUUUCUCUCUCUAAAUCUAAUCCCCUUAUCUUACAAACUGUACGGCUCCAAAUGACUUAAAAAGAACCGCAGAGUUUUGGUGCGCUAGGAAGACGUGAAGGCCAAGUUUCUUUUCCAUAUGCUCUCGAUUCCGGUGGAAGUGGAGCGUGUUGUACACGACGCAUUCACAAAGCAGGGAAUUCAUAUAUUCUCUCUUUGACGGCUGAGAUUGGCUGUAUGGUGGGGAUUUCGAUUCUUACGGUCUGACAAGUCCCCAGCGCGUUAACACGGCGCGUGAGAUGGUCGACCGCUAAGUAACAAGCUGGAGGGUAGUUGAUUCCACUUCAUGUUUCUUGGUUGGAAUAUUCCAUGAGUUGGGAUCCAAAUUUCUCAUGUUGUUUUCAUUAUAAAAAAUAAAUCAUAAAAAUUAACAUAAAUCACACGCUUGUUUGUAAUACUAUUUAUUUGGAGCUUAGUCAUGUCAUUAAACUUAUGUGACAUUAAUUUAAGCUAUAUUAAUGACUUUCGCAAAUUUGGAAGCACAUAAUCUCAUAAAUUCUUUAGGAUGAAGGCAAACUUAAACCUAAUCUAAUGAUUCAAUAAAAUAGGACAAGUGUUUUUAUUGUUUCAUGACAAACGACAAUCGCGUAUUUUUUAAUAAAGAUAAAUUUAUCGGUAAAGAUUAUACUGUCGUAGGUGAAUGUGAAACUUCUUUAAAGCUUUGGUUAUGGAAAGAAAUCCAAAAAUGGUUAUUGGUGCAAUUAAUAGAAUCUUAAAGUUUUAUGAUGUUUCAUUAUUACUUCAAUACAUGAUAUUCUAUCUCUUACAAGAUAGAUUAUAUUUCUAAUGUUUAAAUUUAUUUUUGUGAAUUUAGUGGAGUUCUUUACACGCCUUGGUCAUGAUAAUGAUAGCAAUUUAUCAUCUCUAUCCUUUGAUGGAUUUCCUAUCAUUUUUCAAUACAUGGUGCUUCCAACACAAUCAAAGCUAUGGUAAAAUCUAAUUACAUCAUAUCCACUUAGAUUUCAACAAAUCCAACUUAUCGAGUCCAUUAGUUGAUAUGAAUUAAUGAAUCUAAAUCUAGAUCAUUCACAUCCAUGGGAAUUAACCAAUUAUUUGGAAUAAGAAGAUUGCACUAGUUGUAUCACACAUACACUUGGAUAUGAUUAGGAAAUAUAUUCACCAAUACCUCACUAUUCUAAGAGAGAAUGAGAUAUGGGAGAAACUCUAAAACUUGAGAAAAAAAAAACUUUGGGUGGAGCUUAAUUAGGUAGAUAACAUGAUGCAAGGCAUGACAAGAGCAAUCAAUUAGCUGAAUAAUUCAAAUAAUCUCAAAUAGUAGAUAUUCAUGAUGUAUGGGUUCAAAAUGCAUCCCUAAAUAGAAUUAGUCGAUUUGUAAUUCAAUUCCAUUUGAUCUACAUGCAUUGUGCCUAGAUCGGAAGAGAUAUUGAAUUGUAUAUUUAUAAUAAUAGAAAUAGUUCAUUUAUGUAAUGAAUAGUUUCCUACUUAAAGGUUUAGGUCAGAUUGUAAGAAAUUGGUGAUACAUUCAUGCGUCUCAUAAGCUAAUUCCUUAUAGCAUUAACCUUAACAAAUCGAACAACUAAUUGAUUAAGUCAAUAAAGGGUUAAAUAAUUAGCUGAUUAAAACUUUAAGUAUUAAGUUUAUACGUUGGACAAUUAGAGUAGAGUCAAAUGUGGUCAAUGAUUUGUAGAAAAUAAAGUAUGGUUUAACUCAUUGUAAAGUGAACAAAGUUUUAAAAAUGUAAAAUGUGAUUCUAAUCAAUGUUGGAAGAGGGCCCCCUCCACAUGAGAUGAACAUGAAUAAUGUGUCAUGUUAAAUGGUUGAGCAUCUCAAAAUCCCUUUAGGUGGGCUUGGUCCGAAGUUGCUCUUAGCCUUCCACUUACUUCUUCACAAGCCUAUUAGGAUAGGUAGUGGACUAUAAUAUAUGCCACAUAAAGUUCUCCUUUUCUAAUAUGGGAUUUAGAUGAACAAUUGACAUAUGCAGUCUUCCAACAACCCCCCGUAGAGUGCAUGAGCAAAGGAAAAAAUAAAGAAGCUCUUUGGUCAAGAUUUUUAGUGUGAGACAAAGAACUUACCCCCUAAAUUGAUUUUUCAACUCAAAACUAUAUAUAGUGAGCUAGCAUAAAUAGGUCAUACACCCCACUUGGAUACCAGUGAAAGCUUUAGGAUUUUUUUUUGUGUGAGACAAAGAACUUGCCUCCUAAAGUGAUUUUUCAACUCAAACUAUAUAUAGUGAGCUAGCAUGAAUAGGCCAUACACCCUAUUUAGAUAUUAGUGAAAGCUUUAGAGAACCUAUUUAGGUUCUCAAAAGGAAAAGACCCCACCUCCACUAUGGUUAUUUGGUUAAGAUGGUUGAAAUUACACUUAUAUUUGUAAAGUAACCCAUACCCUUCAAAAGCAUAAAAUAUGACCCUCAUAGCACAAAAAUACCCCUUAUUUUCCCCUAACUCAAGUUUUCCCUCCAUUUUCAUCUUACCCUUUUUUUAUUUCCUUUUUUUUUCUUUUUCUUUUUCUUUGUUUCUUUCAACAAAGAAAGUUGAGCUCUCACUAUUCUCUCCUUAGCUCUUAAUUAAUGAUCAUAAGAAUGAGUUAAGAGAUUCAAAUAAUCAACAUUAUUUUUUUUCUUUAUUUUAUUUUUUUUCUUUUUCUUCCAUGAUAAAUAAAUCUAAAAACCUUAUUUUACCAUUGCAAACCAAAAAAAAAGGAACUCUUUACUACUAGCUAUGAAAAUGAUGUGGAAAAAAAAUGAUAAGGUCAAAUGAUGGUAAACAAUGAAUUUUGUGUAGAGAAAAUUAUGUUGAUUUCAAUAUUAUUGGUUGGUUCUCUAUCAAAAUAUUUAUUUAAACUCAAAUAUGAUUGAGUUUCAUUUAUAAAUAACUUAAUUAGAGUCAAAAUUUCAAUUAAAAUAUUCACUUGGACUUAGCUAUGGUUAAAUUCUAUUUGUGAAUAACUUAAUUAAGAUUAGGUUUUCAAUCAAAAUAUUUACCUGAACUUAACUAAGAUUUAGUUUCAUUAAUUUACAAAUAACUUAAGUAGGGUUAAGUUCGAUCUCAACUAGAUUUAUCUAUAAUUGGCUUAUAAUUUAUGAUGAACUUAAAAGGUUGAGUUCUCAAUUAAAAUAUUCACACUUGAAACUAUGAUUGGUUAAAUUUCAUUUGCAAAUAACUAUUAGGUUAAGUUCUCUCAAAUUAGAGUGUUUACACUUAAAUUUAAAUUCUCAAUUAAAAUUUUUUAUGUGGGCUUACUUACAAUUGUCAUUUACAAAGAACUACCUAUUAAGUUUUCAAAAUCAAAAUAUUCACGUAGACUUGACUAUAGUUACAUUUUACAUAUAAAUUUUCACCUCAAGUUAAGUAUUAUAGUUCAUAUUCACUUACGAAAGUACUAAGUUAAAUUUUGUAAACUAAACUAUUCACUUAAAUUUUGAUUAUGUAUUUAUCAACAACAUAUAAAGUGCUAAAAAUAAAAUGUAUGAUACUCCAAUUAAAAUGUUCACUUGGAUCGAAAAUAUGUUUUACACAUCAAACUACACUAAAAAAAUUAAAAUUUUGAAUACCAAGUAAAAUUCUUCCAAAUUAAGAUUCAACUUUUAACAAAAUAUGAACUUAUUAUAUGGGCAAAAUUUGAAAGCAACACAAUUAAUUAUGUUGUCAUUUUCUCUUAAAACUAGCCUAUAUGAACAUUGAUUGGUGACUUGGAUAAAUAAUGUAAAUAAUGUAAUUUAUCCAUGAGUUUUUAAUUUUUUUUUAAAUCUAGCUCAUAAUUAUUAUAGUAUAGAUUGAUGAUUUAAAUCUUGUUGGAACUCUUGAAGAGCUCUAAGUUCCUUCAUGGAUGCUCAUUCACUUAAAUUGAAGAUAACUUAUUUUAUUCCUUUCAAAUACAAUUGGUGACCUAAUUUAACCUAUAAACUUAUACAACUACAUAUUAGGUUGUUCGUCAAUUUUCUAAUAAAAUACAAUUCUACAUCAACUUGAAAACUUGUAAUGAGGUCAAGUAUGUUUUGAGACAUCUUCUUAAAGUUACAAGUAUGGGUUUAAUAUUUUAUUUAAGAGGAUUAAAUUGUAGUUGCUUGGAUGCAUAGAUUAAUUACCAUUAUCUUUCGCAUCCUUAUAAAGCUCAAUAUCAAAUAGGGUAUGUAUUUAUUUGUGGUAAUACUACAAUACCAUGAAAAUCAAUAAAAGCAAAUAAUAGUUGCACUAGAGAUGUAAAUUCGACCUAUUGACUUGACGCCUAACUCAAGUUUGUCCAAAAAUUUCAAGCAAGGCAUGUUUGGUUUAGCAAAUGACGAAUCAAGCCUGUUAGUACUAUUACUAAGAUGACCCAAACUCAUCUCAUUUACAUACUUAUUCGAAAAUCAUAUAAACCAUCUUCUAUCAAAGACAAGCUAAUAAUAUUACAUGAAUACCGAGUUGUAUAUAUUGCACGUGUUCAAUGAAAAGAUGUUAAAGGUAAGAGUCAAAUAUAUUUCAUUAAAGUUCUUUUCUACGCACAUGUUUUAGAAGAGAAAUUAGUUCACAUUCAAUAGGUAAAAUUAAGUAAUGAUCUACUUGACAUUUUUAUAGUCAUUAUCAACCAUAACAUUCAAGAAGCCCAUAUUCAAUUCAAAGAUAUUUAUGCUAAAUUAUGAAAGACAAUAUCAUCAUAUCUAUAUGAGGAGAUUAUUCUAAUAAAAAUGUUAGCAUGUUGUACUUUUCUUCCUACUCAUCGAAAAUUUGUCCCAUCAAUGUUGGGAAUAAAGGUUUAGCUAUAGUUUAUUAAAAAUACAUUUUUUUUUCCUUCAAAAAAAAAAUAAAAUUCCAUAUGGUUAUUUUCUAAUCAGCUCUUAACCAGAUAUAUGUUUUGGAUACCAUUUUGAUAGCAAGGAAGUGUUAUAAUUUGCUAACAAAUUUGUAAAUUAUCAUACUAUUACCAAUAGUAGCUUUUGGUUUAUCAUUGAAGAAUUUAAUAUGAAGAUUUAUACCCCAUCGUUAAGAAUAGGACACUAAGUUGAUAUAACUUUCAUUCAAAUAGAAGUAUUUUUUUUUCCUUAUUUAUUAUUUUAUUUUCCUUUUCUGCUUCUCUUUAUGUUUGCUUCACAUAACAUUAUUCUCCUUAACACAAUUCUUUCAACAAUUUUUUGAGGUUUUCCGGUGCCUAGCUAUGAACAUCUGAACCUGGUUCAGAACAUACCCACGUGCCAAGAAAAAGAAAAUGCAAAUUACAUAGGAUUUCGAUUCACUUUAGUUUGUUUUAUCCAACCUCUCUUUUGUUGUUCUCUUUGUUAAAGGCUAUACAUGGGUUAAGAGGAAAAUGGCAGUUGUGACCAUUUAGAUUCUGAAGGGUCAAAGUUCACUUUUAUAGAUUUAUUGUCAGCCAGUUGGGAUGUGUAUAUAUAUAAAUGCCCCCCUAACCACCCAACCAGGCCCUUUUAAUGCUGACCGGGGCCGUGUCCUUUUAAAGUUUUAUGAUGCAUUAAGUUGUUUGGUUUGCAGGAAAGUAGUAAGAAAAUUUUUCGAAUCUAACCAAAAAUUAAUGGAUGUAUAUUGAAAUAAAAAUUCCAACCACACUGAAAAAGGAAGAUUGAAAGAAUAUAUUCUUCCCUUACGUGGUUCUGGGGUUUUGUUAACUAUCCCAGGUGAUCUGCAGAUCAGAUAUAUAAAUAUAUAUAUAUUUCCACUGUAAGCCCAAAGAUUAUGGUUGGUCCAAUAUGGCAUGAGUGCCUUCUCCUGAUAUAUAUAUAUACGUGAAUGGACACUAAAUGUUAGACACGUACUAAGAGUUACUUUACUUUAGCUAGGUGCCCAAGUGAGGUUCCACUGUAGCAUGAAAACCUCAUAUGGAAAUCAGUUGAAGUCAUUCGGAUGUUAUACAAAAUUAAUUAAUAUUUACUUGUCCAUGGGACUACAAGUUUUUUAACUAUGAGUAUGUGGGAUAACUUAAAAAUAUUAUGAUGUAGUUCCAUCUAUUUAUUGACAUAACAAUAAAUUAGGAUAUUUUGUGGGCUUUUAUAAUAUUUACAAAAUUUAUAUAUUGGUGACUUUACACCUAGUAUAACAUUAUAAUUUAUUUAUGAAUUUAAUUACAAUUUUUGCAACUUCAUAAUAUUGGCAACUUUAUAAUUUUUAUUUUUAAUUUUACAAUUUAUUGUAAAUUUUUAACUUUUAUAAUUUUACAAUUUAUUUGUGAAUUUAUAAUUUUUUUCUUUACAACUUUUUUUAUUUAUUAUAAUCUUAUGCUUUAUUUUAAACUUAUAAUCGCUUACAACUUUACAUUUUAUUUUAUAUUUACGAUAUUUUAACUCUUAAAGUAAAUGAAUAAAGUAGUUGCAACUUAUUUAUAUAUUAUGAAACUUUUCAUAUUUCAAAUUUAAUUACCUCGUCUCAAUAACUAUGGUGAGGAUAUGUGGCAUGGGCCUUUGUGAGAAUGCUAUAUUUCUAGUAAGUUUAUUCCAAAUGAAUUAGUAAUUAUAAUUACAUUUAAAAUAAAUUAUAAUUUCACUAAAAAAAUACAAAUAUAUAAAAGCAAGUAGCAUAUUAACCAUUCUAUUAAUAUGUAUAUAUAUUGAUGAAAAAAAAAGUUUUGAGUUAUCUUCUCAAAUGUCUAAGAAUCUCAAUUGGUUGUUUUAAUAACCAAUUUUCUUAUUCCAAAUUAUAAAUGAAAUUACAAAUAUGAAAAUCACUUUUAUUUUCAACACACAAGUGUUUUGACUCUUAUUUUCACAAAGAAAUAAAAGAAAAAAUUCGACAGAGGACUUUUGUUCUAAAAUGAAGCAUCGUUUUCUUUUUGGUUUUUAUACGAAGAGAGAUGACUUGAGAGAGAGAGAGAGAGAGAGAGAGAGAGAGAGAACACACAUUUUUUUAAUGAUAGCAAUUUCUAGAUAGUUUUAAUAUUCCUAAAAACUGCACGCUUCCUCUCAUUUAUAAUUUAUUGGGUUGAGUCAGCUUAUCCCACUUUGGGUACCCAAACCUUUUAUAUAUAUAUAUAUAUUCAAUUGGUAUUUCAAUCUAAUUUAUAGGUGAAACAAUCUUGAAUAUUUAAUGAAUCUUUUAUAAAAUAUCCACUAAUUUUUAUAUAUUAUUUAUAAAGUCAAUUUAUACCCAUGUAACUCAUUAUUAAAUAUCAACAAUUGACAAUAUCAAAACUACAUAAUCAAAUAUAAAACAUAGUAACAUCUUUAAGCCAAAAGACUUUAUAUACCAUUAAACAAAACAAAUACUAACAUGGCAAUAAGUUACCUUAUAACGAGUCCUAAAGUUUAAUAAGAGUGUCCACUAUCUAGUGAUUGAGAUCCAUCAUUUUAUCACAUAUAGUAGUACGACCUAUAAUUACUUUUAAUAAGCAUAUUUUUUUAUGAUAAAUUUAAAAGUUAUAAACAUAUUUUAAAAUUAUAAGAAAAUUAGAACAUGUUUAUUUAUUAAUAAUCUCUAUUAUUAAGAUGAUUUUUAUACAAUAUAAAUUGAAAACAAAUACUAUCAGUUCUAACAUAUAUAAUUUGAACUCAUACGAAAUUUUAUUUUAUUUUAUUUUUGUCUAUUGGCUUUAUAGGAUAAACGAUUCUUUUAGAGGCAAAUAGAAUAAAUGGUAAAUUAAAAAUAAAAAUAGUGUUGGUAUGUUAUUGUAUUUAAUGUGUUUUAUGCCUUGUUACAAUGGUCAUCUUUUUCACUGUUAAUAAGGUUACUCAUUGUUUAAUGUGUCAAGAUUUAUAAAAUGAUCAAAUAUUUUUUAGAAAUUCAGAGAACAAGCAAUUUUUUUUCCUCCUCUCUUACUUUGUAAAUUAUACUCAUCUCUAUACAACCUGAGCUUUACAUGGGUUAGGUAAUUGGUUCGAUUUUAAUAGACACUGAGAAAAAGAUAACCAUUCAUAGAUUGGAUUGAUGCUCUAGUGCUAUGUUAUAAAAUGAUAUUGGUUUCUUGUAAGUAUCCUAUGCAUCAUUUUUUAGAGGAAUAUAUUCAAAAGAUCAUAAAUGGAAGGAAAAGAUUUUUAUUAUGUUGUUAUGUUUGUAAGAGAUCCCUAAUUGAUUAACUGUCAAGGAUCAAAACAAAGUGACCCAUUUGCAACUAAUAUCCAUUGAAACAUACAUGGAUUGUAACAAGGAUUCUGAGCUGAACUUUUGCCAAUUUAUAGCCUGGAUUUAGAGAAACUAGCAGAAAGGAAGUGCAUGCUAUAGAAUAGAUUAUCAGAGAAGAAAGACAGGAGUUAAAGAUGACAUUUCAUUGCUUUUGAAACCACAAUUUCAAUCUCAUCUCAUUCCUUACACACAUGGGAUUGAUUUAUUUAGUUGCAGGGUCUUUAUUGAGAAGUACAGAUAGAAGUUUUUAUCCAGAAAACAUGCAGAAAGACAUGCAUGUUCCUUUGAAUUACCAUACUUGCAUAUCAACUCAAAACCAGGAAAAAAAUAAGGCAGAACUAGUAGUAAUACUCCUGCAAUCAAACAAAACCUGCUUGAUGAUCAGCAGCUACGGAGCUGUUGGUGGGUCAUGAGAGUUAUGCUGAGGGUCUGGUCCUCCAGGUGAGACUCUAUCAGACCCUACACCUCCUGUCGUUCCUACUUUGAUAGAAUUAAGUUUGGCAAGAUCAUAGCCUAACUCCAGCAAAAUAAGCCGGCUGUUAAUAUUCUUCUUCAUCACUGGGGGGCCAUGAAGAAUACGCCCAUGGGAGCCCUUGAAUAGCACUGGGUAUACAACCAAGAACAGUAUCCACACCCGUACAGCAUUUGAGCUAGCCAUUCAGUGAUGGAUGAGAAACCAGAAUUGCUGCUAGGUGGAAACUAGAAGCUUGAACUGUGAAAAGAAGAAUGUAGUAUGUUGAAUGAUAACAAGCCUUCUAUUUAUAGAAUGACAUGAAUGGGAACAAAAGGUAGUGCUAGUGGAGAGAAGAUGCAUGCAAAUUUUGUCUGAUUCCAUAAACAGACAAAUAGGCUUCAUCGCAGGCUGUCUUCUAGUCCAUAUAAUAUGGUGGAGUCCAUCCUCCUACCCAUCAAGUGGAGGAGCAAUGGCUGGUUUGCAGAUUAUAUUUGAGUUUCAUGAAAAAGUUCAAGAGAAUGAUACAUAAACAAAAUUCGAUACAGACAUAAGCCCUCCAAUCAACCCCAGGUGCCAAAUUGUUAGUGGGGGCGUUGUAGCCCAGUCUUUAGUUAUUUACUCAAUGGAACUAUCUAGUGAUCAUCUAUUUGUCUUUAUUUGCUGCAUUUGAACACCAGGAUUUAAAUUAUAAACUACCCACUUAAGAAGAGAUUCACAUUUAGCAGAAGCACAAAGAAUCAUUGACACAAACAGUGUAAGUAAUGCCAAAGUUGAUAUGUGAUGCAUAUGCUUUUUGUUUUUCCUUUCAUAUUCUAUAUUUCCUUAAUGAUUCACCAGGCAUAACCCUCGUGGGAUCUUGGAUGAGUCUGCAACAAAUUACAUAUAUAAACAAGCAUAUCCUAAUUAAUGGUCUUGGUUUUUUUCUUUUGUCUGGACUCAUGCUAGUUAAUAAUUUGAUUAUCUAAUUAACCUUUGCCUUCGGUUGCCUGUCAUGAUAGAAGUGGAGCGAAUCUGCAUAGAUGAACAAGACACAGAUUGAUAAAGGCCUUAAUCAUAUCUUCUGAUCCGCGUCAAAAGGUAUAAAAAGGACGAUGCAUGCCACACUAAAUCUGACCAGAUUUCAGUCCUUGUCCUUCAAAAACUCCUCUCUCUAUAUUCUUUACCAUUACUGUCCAUGCAUGCUUGGAGAAUUUUUUAAUAGAACUUCAUAUUUCUGAUUAUAUUGACAAAACUUCCUAUCUUUCUACACAAAAACAACUAUGAAAUACUUCAAUAUUUUGAGCCAAAAACUACAGAAAUUUUGGUAAAACUGUUGUAUUCAUGUGAGUGUGCCUUUCAGAGGAAAUCCUAAAUACUUUGAAUGGUAUAAUUUGGUUCAACUGUAUUAUAUUCAUUCUAUUAUUUAAUCUGUUAUGCUGCAUUUAUUGCUUGGAACUUGCCCUAGUCCCCAACUCCAAUUACCCUGAAUCCACAGGAAAAGCAAUUUGAUCAUGUGUGCUAAUAUGUGAUAAUAAAUUGUCAGUACUUGGAGUUUUCCAGGGAAAACAAACUAAGCUCAUAUGCAUGUUUCUCGCGGAAGCUGUUAGGUGACAUGACCCUGUCCUUGUUCAAAUUCUAGUCAUCAUAACCAGUUGCCACAGUAUAGUAAAAAACCAAUGUGGAAACCCUUAUACCAAAAUCUCCUAAUUUUUAGUUGUUUUUUCACAGUUGGCCAAUCAUCACCUUCAGAGCAGUUGCAAAUGAACAGCAGACCUUUCAACCUCAAAGCAAUAUCAAUUCUCUUUGUAGUAUUUAUUAUAAAAGAGUAAAAUUCCCAACCACUGUUUUCCUUUUUUUAACAGUUGUAUGUGGUAGCCAAUUAUACAAGAGAAAUGGGAAUUCUCUCUGGAAAAGCUUAAUUGUAUCAUCUGUUUUUCGAAGCCUAAUGGAAGAUUUUAUGUUGGCUAAAGCAAUAUUUAAUAUAAGAACACUCUAUAAUGCAGUGGUGGCUUAAAUUUUAAAUUUCCAUGGAUCUUGUAUCUACUUUCAACAAUUGAAAGCUACUCCUCUUUCACGAUUCAAAGUUGCUCCUUUUAUAAGUGAAAAAGAGGCAGCUCCACCUUAUGUGGUCCUGUAUAGAUAUGCUUUCUACCGAGAGAUUCAUGUUGUGGGAAAGUUAAUUGGGUGAACUUGUGUAUAAAUGCAACAGAAGAAAAGGCAAAAUGGAAACAUGCCACGAGCAAUGAUAUGUAACUUGUUUGUGUGGAGACCUAACUCUGGGGCCAAAGGAUUGGUCCCUUGUUAAUAAACUACAAUACCUACCAGCAGCAUUGCAAUAAAAUUGAUCUUUUAGUGUUCCUAAAGUUCACUGUUUAAUUGUAACCUUUUUAUCAGAACAGAUGAAACAAAUUUAUCAUCUAUGUUUCAGUUAGCUUGUGAAUCAUUACUGGAUUCCUGAAGAGUAUAGACAAGUUUCAAAUUACUCCCAUAACAUCUUAAGCUCUUUAAUUUGGAUGUUUAUAGGACACUUAAACACCCCCCUUUUCUUAAGGUGCAUGCAUGGCUUUUCUUCUUCACACGUUCAUUCUUUGGUCCCUUUCCAGAUCAUUUCCAACAGUUUUGCAGCUAUAUACUCAUAUCAACAUGGCUUUAAGUUUAUAGGACACUUAAAUAUUCCUUGUUAAGUUGCAUGCAUGGUUUUUCUUCUUCUCAAGUUCAUUCUUUGGUCCUUUCCAGAUCAUUCCCAGCAGUUUUGCAGCUACAUCCUCAUCUCAAAAUCCUUAAAGUUGACUAUUUACACAGGAUAAGACCAUCCAAGAACCAGGCCAUAAACCAAAGCCAUCUGAGAAGAAUGAAAAUUACUAAUUACGAACAAAUUCAUCUGGUAAGUCUUAUUUUAUUGCAUAGAUAGGACAAAUAGAGGAGGAAGACGACUAAUCAAGUGUCAGUGGUAUGAACAUCACACUUGCAUUUGUUGUUUUGUCCUAAUUGAUGCUUUUGUUUCUGAUGUAUAUGGCAAUGCAAGCCUCAGAAGGAGACAAAUUCUUCUGACACAUUCUCUUUGUCCUCUCUGAUGUGGAAUUAUCCGCAAUUUUAUGGAUUUCCCAUCACUUCAAAUGAGAUAAAUUGUGCAUAUUCUUCAUUAGAGUGGUCCUUCGAUGUACACCUCUUUCACUCUUUCGUUACAUUUGGAGAGUACUCCACUUCAGGAAUAGGAUAAUUUUAAAAAACGAGUGGAUAAAACUUACAAUGAUUUGGAUUUUGGAGCCAGCCUUUAAUCUGUAUCCAUUCAAUAUUAAAACAUCAGCAAAUAUGUCAGAUUUCCUAUGAAUCUCCUAUAUAAUUAAGCUACUUUUCCAACCCAAUGGCCUUGCACGAGUGGCUCUUUGCCAGCUAUUACAUUUAAGAGUAAGAAAAUUCUAACCUGGAAGAGUGAAUGCAACAUUAAUUUAUUAUUAGCAUCUUGGAUCCAGCAAUGAAGGCCUUAAUCAAAAUCUUAUCCACAACAAAGUUUCCGAUAAUACCAAAUUAAAUCUCACCAAUUACCAUAUAUCUGCGACUCCACGUACGUCCUUUAAGAAUGUUCGACUUUAAGAAGUCUUAUAACUAAAGCUAUGGUGGUUGACAAGUUCUUUGAGUGUUGAAUUGUGAAAAGAAUUUCAAUUUACUUGUAUGGCUUAUGUUCUUUUGGAGGUCAUGCAGAACUUAAAUCUCACGAAGCCAAAGCUCUUAUACCAUAUUAAACGACUAACUUAAAUCAAAAGUACUUUAUCUUAUCAGGGGAUGGACCAACAACACGUCAGACCAACAUAUCCCAACUUUGAGUUCCUCUAAAACCAAAUUAGUUGACUGAAUAAACAUCUGUUUAUAGUGAAAUAGGAUGCAAUUAUGGGAUAAUUCUUUGGUUAAUCUGAAUCAGAGGCGAUGGAGUAAUAGACAUCAAAUGUACUCUUUGUCUAAUCCAUUAGCUUCCUCUCUUCCCAAGAAGAUGCAGGAAAAUAAUUUUAGAACAAUUGAGUUUGGAUAUUAUUUGGAAAUCUUCGUCUUCUUUUCUCUCCCUCUCAUCAAGUAACUAAUAUGGCAUCGGGAGAACUGCUAAGAAGAAAAACUGUAAGUGACACCAAGAUCUCAACUAUGAAGCAUGCAUGAAAACUGUUAAAGAGAUUUCACUUCUCCCAGGAAGGAGAGAGAGAGAUCUAACCUACAUGAUACCCGGUAAAGAAGGUGAACAAAGAAGACAAAUGAUAAAAUUCUUAUGCCAAAAAAAAAAGGUUCUUCUAUUACAACAUGAUAGGCCCCCCACAUUCAAGCGAAAACCAAGCUUGCACAGUGGGCUGGGCUGGGCUUGAUACACAAGGAGAAAAAUGAUAAAAAGAAAAAAAGAAAAAAAGGAAAAAAAAAAAAAGAAAAAAGAAGAAGGGAGAUACAUCUGCAACCAAAUACCCUCAAUAGUCAAUAGGGCAAUAUCUAAGGCAGUGCUGGUGGUUUUGAGUGAUGCUGAGGAUCUGGUCCUCCAGGUGACACUCUAUUGGCUCCUGCAUCCAGUGUUGACAUCCGCUGAAGAUGAUGUAAUUUAGACUCAUCGUAGCCCAAGUCACGUAAAAGAAUUUGGCUGUCAAUCCUCAUCCGCAUGCGGAUGCGCGCCUGCAAACUCAUGAAGAAGGUUGAGAAGACUACCAAGAACAGUAUCAACACUCGCACUCCAGUAUGGUUGGCCAUGCAUGCAAAGGUUGAUGAACUAGUGACCAAACUAGGUUCCAAUAUAUAGCUCAAGCUGCAAGGAAUAUACGAAUUAAAAUUAUACAACUAAAUGCAAGUAUGAGUGAUCAAUGCUAGUGGAGAUAACAUGACUCUGAAUUAUGCUUUGUCUUCUCUCAAAGCUUAUGUCUUUUAACCAUAUAAUAAUAGAAUCAAACAAAUACUUCCAAGGCAGAGUGUUGUAUUCGACAAAAAAUGGUGUUUAAACAUAAAAUGACUCCCAACCAUUCCCAUUUUCUCUCUCUCCCAACUCCCAUAUCUAGUCAUCUUUUGUUUUAAUCGACAUACUUGGACGGUGGUGAGACAUUAAAUUUAAGGGGAAGUGAUCCAUAUGAAUCAUGUCUACACAAAACGACUGAUCCUCAUAAAAACAUCAACACAUGUAGUAGAAUUUCUUUUGAUUUUCUUUUGUCCACUCAUGUUUCCUUUCAUACCGAUUCGCCACGCACAAGAUGACCGUCCUGAAGGGAAUAUUCAGAGUCACUUUCAUAUGACCCUAAGGAAUAAAGAAAGAACAAAAUGAAUCCUAUCUUGGUAUUCUGAUUCCUGUGAAUUUUCUCAUCCAAUCAGCUUUAACCUGCAUUAAAUAAUAGAGGUGGAGGAUCCUUAAACAGAUAUCUGUGUCAACGACAACUAAUUAGCAGCAGUACAGGGUCAUGAUAUUAGAUAAGAACUACUAAAUAUGACCAUUUCUGUUCAUUGAAAGUCAGGAAUAUUUAAACUCUGAAGAGUCAAAAGUUUACUAUUGAUCUUAUCAAUAUCCACGUCAAAAGAUGAACCUUAAUGCUAAACUAAAUGAUCUGAAUGAUGUAUCCAUGUGUUUUUAAAAGUAAUAAUCCUAAUGAUAAUUAUAAUAAUAAUAAAGGAAGAAUAUCAGUUUUCUCCUUGUCUGCACUGGCUGGAUUUUUCUAUGUUUGCAGCAGAUGGAGUUGAAUUUUUUCCCCCCUACAUAACAUGUCCUGCAGCAGUUAUUCUUGAAAUUUACAUUUGCAAUUCCUAAGCCUUUUAGCCAAUUCAAAUUUAUUGGGAAGUCAACCAGACCCAGGAGAGAACCUGGCUAAAAAAUAAAGUUAAAAAAAAAAUUGAUGAAAAUGUAACAAUUCAUACCAUUCUCAGAAAUGCAGAACCAACCUUACAUGCAUGUAGCAACUUCACUCAGGCAUUCCACAUACCUGCAGAAGCACCAAAGACUACUCUUAUCAACAUCAUUAGAAAAUGAAGGAAAUCCUAAGAGGUAAAAUUUCCAGUAAUUUCUAGGUCACUUUGCUAGGUUCAAUGCUUCAACAACAUUAAGGGAGAAAGAGAAAAAUCAGAAGCAACUUAAAAAUAAGGUCAAAAUCAAAAUAGAAGUACCAUAAAACAACUUUCUAUUCAUUCUCAGGCAAGGCCACAAUAUGUGCAAAAGGAGGCAGAAAUGGAUUAGAAUAGAUUAUAGUAGAACUUCAAAGCCAAAAACUCAAGUAUUAAGGGAGUGAGGAACAAAUAGAUUCUCCUGAAUCAUAUUCCAAACAGUAAGAUUAUCAAUGUGUCGAAUAUGAAAAUUUCAUUCUACUUCCCUACAGAAUCUAUACAACAAAUAGAUGUUAAUCACAUCUCAUGAACAUAAAGCUUUUACAUCAAGGAUAUAAUGAAUCAGCGAAUGCUCUAUCAAUUUUCUUGUGCAUUGCUUGUGCCUGAUGGCAAGAUAAUUCAAAGAAUAUAAUUCUACUUAGUUUGUGUAUCCACAACAUCCGAUUCAAAAAGUAAAUGGAAACAUUUAACUUUUGAUUUUAACAAUUAUCUAUUGAAUAAAUACAAAUCUCUUUUCAAUUUCCAUUUGCAAGUGAGAGAGAAAGCUGUUGCCAAUUGUCAUCUGUCUCAUAACUUCUUUCAAAUGCUGCACCCAAAUCUUUCUUCAUAACUUCUUUCAAUCACUUCUUCCAAGUUCCAAACAUGAAGGAUUCCCCUAAGCCUUCAGAAACAUUCUUGAUACAAUGAACCUUAUAGGCCAAAAGAUACACACACACCAUGUGCUGAGGUGAUAUGGUUGGAGGAUGAUAAUGUGAUGGCUCCCAUGUGACCUGAAAUGACUCUUCAAGGCAAGCAAGAGUGACAUGGACAACUCCAUAGUAUGUGUAAGAUCCACUGCACCCCUGGUGGCUCAGGGUCAGACCAGGGACACACUUUUAGCUUGAGCCUCAGGGAGGCCCAGGCUCAGCUUGUGACUCUGUGAAUUGAAUAAAGGUGACAUAAGGCCUGGUGAGAUUUGCUUUGGUAGCAAGAUGUUGCAGACUUUCAAAGGCAAGGUUGCACGGAUAUUGAUCCCCCAAAGACAAGAAUGGAACCUAGAUAGGCUAUGAUUGGUUACUUCCAUUUCACCACACAUGAUGGUUAGCCAUCUAAAAAACCAAGAGUGAAGAUGCACUUGAAAGUUCUGCCUGACAUCAAAAACAGAGAAAGAGGAGAAGAAAUACAUCCUUGGAAUCAUAUCUCUGCUCUGUCACCAUCAUCAUCAAACUGCCUCAGAAUAUAUUAUUAUAAGUGCAUUCUCUCUUCACCUGGAAACAGGUGGGCCUAGGACCACAUGGACCCCCAAAGUUGGUAUGCUCAGGCAACCUGCCCGCAAGAAAUAUCUGGUCACAAAGCAAUAUGAAAUUGUUGUUCUGAUUUCAAGUUUACAUCUACUGAUUCUUGAUUCUCUGCUGUUUUCCAUCUCUUGCAGCCUUCAAGGAAACUACGCCAUAUAAGCGCAUUUGGUGGGAAAGGCAUGUUAGAAAUCACUUGUUCUGCUUCCUGAAGAUGUCCACAUCUAGCCAGUAAAUCCACCACACAAUGAUAAUGAUCUAUGUUUGGUUCAAUCCCGCAACUCUUUUUCAUUUGCCAAAACAACUCCAUUCCUUCUUUCACCAAGCCACCAUGUCUGCAAGCUGAAAACACUGCAACAAGAGCGACUCCAUCUGGCUUAAACCCAAGUGACUCCAUUUCCCUGAAGAGCUUUAAUGCCUCAUUUGCAUAACCAUUAACUCCUAGGGCUGAGAUUAGAGCUGUCCAUGUGAUAAUGUUUCUCUCAAUAAUUUUGUUGAAGAUUUUCAAUGAACUCUCAAUACACCCACACUUUCCAUACAUGUCUAUUAAGACAUUGAAUACAAAGGUGUCACAGAACUUAAAAUCAGUCUUUAUAAUAAAUCCAUGAAUAGAACUACCCAAAGCCAGGUUACAAAGUUUUGUGCAGACACUUAAGAGGCUCACUACAGUGUAAUUGUCAGGAUAAAUUUGAGCCAUCUGCAUGUGUUUGAAAAGUUCAAAAACUUCUUUGUAAUCACCAUUUCUGGCACAAGCUGCAAUCAAAAUGUUCCAGGACACUAUGUCAGGUUCUUCAAGUAGAGAAAACAAGUCCUGAGUUCUAUGGUAUUGGCCAAUUUUGUUAUAAACUCCAGCAAUGGCAUUAGAUGGACCAACAAGGAGUGGUUUGUUAGAAGCAGCAUCAAAGAUCAAGGCAUCAGAUAUGAUACCAUUUUUGGCAUAUGAGGUGAUAAGAGCACUUGAGACAUACUCAUUUUGCUGAUAACCCAUUCUCAUUAUCAAACAGUGCAGCUGCUGCAGCUCAAAAACCAAGGAUGACUUCAGAGCAGCUGAAAAUGAAAAUUCAUUUGGGCAAUAGCCUAAUUGAAGCAUUCUUUUCAAUAACGAAACAGAGGAAAAGCACUUAUUUGAGUAACCCAGAAUCAAUGCAUUCCAACAAACCACAUUCUUUUCAUCUAUCUCAUCAAAACAGCAAUGUGCAGAUUCCAAGUUAUCACAUUUAGCAUAGAAGUCAACCAAUGCACUGCCCACAAAAACAUUGGAUUCAAUUUUAUUCCUGAUUACUUUGGCAUGGAUGUAUUCACCAAACACCAGAAUCUGCAAGUUUGUACAGGAGUUAAUAACACUAACAAAUGUAGUCUCAUUAGGCAAAACUCCAUCAAGAGACAUUUUUAAGAAAAGCUCUAGCACUUUGCUCGGUCUCUCACUUUUUGCCAAUGCCCCAAUCAUUGUGUUCCAUGACACAACAUCCCGAACACAUCCCAGCUCAAACAUUUUCUCCGCCAAACAAAUGCAGGAGCAUUUCACAUACAUAUUAAUAAGAGAAUUGAGAACCGAAACUUCACAAUCAAACCCAUUUUUAAUUAACAAAUCAUGUACUUGUUCUCCCAAUUCCAAAUCUUGUUCUGAUGCAAAUCCAGAUAAAACACCCAUGAAAGAACAUUCAGAUAAACCAGCUCCCGUCCUCAUAAGCUCACGAAAUAAAAACAUAGAUUCUUCAGAAAACCCAUAAUUCCCAAACAAGGAUAUCACUGUAUUCCAUGUUACCAAGUUCUUCUGCGGCAUUUCUUCAAACGCACAAACCACCUCAUCUAUGCAUCCAUUCCUCCCAAAUAAACUCAGCAAAGCUGUCCCGGCAUAAGGAUCAGCAUGAAACAAUCCACUCUUUACCAUCUGUGCCUGCAAUUGAAACCCCUGAGAAAGCUUCAACGAAGCACACGACAACAGACCCGCAAAGGUGUGCUGGGUUGGCUCGAACCCAUAACGCCUCAUCUCAGAAAACAAAUUCCAAGCCUCCUCCACGCUUCCAUUACGACUAUAACCACCAAUGAUUGUAUUGUACGAUACCACGUUUCUUUGUGUCAUUUCACCAAACACCUUACGCGCAGUCGAUAACUCGCCCUGCAAUACGUAGAGAGAAAUGAGAUUGUUGUAGAGAAAGAUGGGUUGGGUUGAAUUUGAGGCCAUGGUGACGGUAAGUGCAUGGAGAGGCUUGGUUUCUUUGAGAGUUGGAGCCUUUUUACAUGCUUGUAGGAGCAGGAGGAGGCGUUGUUGCUGCAUGAAUUGGCCAUGCAAGGACUGAGGGAGGACUUGGACUUCAUUAUAGGCAUGGUUUCGAAAGGAGAUUGAAGAGAAGAAUUUGGAAAACGAAGAGGGGUCGUUGGGGUUGAGGAUUUGUACGGAUCUUGAAGCGGCCUUUCUCAUGCGGUCCCAAUCUCUAUUGUCAAUUUCGCUGGAAUAAUGAUUUCUAUUUUAUUUCUUCAAAUGUGAAUGAUAAAUAGUUUUCAAAGUGUUUGUAUCAUUAAAAACAAUAACUUAGUUGGCAUUUGGUUAUAAAAACGUAUUUUAUUUUUUCUUUUUCGAAAAUGCUUUUGAUUAAGAAAAAGAAAAUAAAAACUAUUUUUAAAAAAUAAAGAGCUUGUUGAGUUAUAUGAUUUAAAAAUAGUUUUUUGUUUUUAAAAAUAAAAAAUUAUUUUUAAAAUUUUUUAACAUUGUUUGAAUAACAAUUUUUUAAAAAUAAAGUGAAAUAAAAAAUCAUUUUUUAAAAAUAAGUAUAAAUUAUUUUAACUGAUUUUUAAAAAUAAAAGAAAAAUAUUAACUCGUUUGACCAUAUUUUUUAAAAUUUGUUUUUAAAAACUAUUUUUCAUUCUUAAAAAUUGUUUUUAAGUUAAAAAAGAAAAAGAAAAAAAAACAGUUUUUAAAGGUUUAAAAAAAAAAGUUCUAACGGACCAAAAAUUUGUUAAAAUGUUAUUUGAUUUUAUUUUUUUAUAAUAAAAUUAUAAAAAUAAAAAUAAUUAUAAUUUUAUAUAAUAAAUAUAAUUUUUUAAAAUUUUCUUAAUUUUAUAUAAUGAAAUUAUAUUUUAUUCAUAUUAAUAUUUCUUUCAUAUUUGUAAUAUUCAUUCUUUAUAUUGUUGGUCUCACGAUAUUAUUUAUAUGAUUUUAUUUCCUUUUUUAUUUUUAAUUUUUUAGAAAAAUAUUUUCAUUUUUAAUUUUUAACAAAAAUUUGAAAUUUUUUAAUAAUGAUCAAAUUGACCUUUUCAAAAUUUUUAAAUAGUUUGAACUCAUUUUUAAAAAAAAACAUAAAAAAAAAAUAUAUUAUUCAAACUUGUUUUCAUACAUAUUUUUUAUUUUCUUUGAAAAUGAAUAUAAAAAUUUAUAUAAACAAAGGGUGCCUAAUAUUUUCCCCUUAUGUACAACUUUAGCAAUUUUUAUUUGAAGAAAUAAUUAUAGUUUUUAAACUGCUUUUGAAAAAUAAAUCAAAAAAUUAUUUAGGACAGUCUUUUUAACUUCUACUUCUACAAAUAGCAUAAAUAGUCAUCAAUUUUAUGUUUGAAAAUAAAAAGGUUAUAUAAAACAUAUUCUUAAAAAGAAAAGAAAAAGAGUUAAAUUUUCUUGUCUUUAAAGAAAUUAUUUUAUCUAAAAGAUUUAAAAAAUAAUACUCCUCAAUGUCCAUUACGUCCUUUGUAUUUAAAAACCAAUUAGGGACUCCUCAAAGCUAUGGUUUAGAGGGAGGUCAGAAAUCAUUGUCAAUUGUUCUUUGGUUCAAACAAGAGUACAAGUUUUUGUUUAAAAUAUUAUAACGAUAAAAUAUAUAUAUAUAUAUAUAUAUAUAUAUAUAUAUAUAUAUAUAUAUAUAUAUAUGUUUUUCAAAAUAUAGUACUUUCAAAACUAUUUCUAAAUCUAUGACACAUUGAAUCAAUAAAAUGUCACAUGAAUAACAUGUCUUGAAGACAUGAUUUUAGUGCAUUUUAUUGAAAUUGUGUCUUGGAAACACGACUUUAAUGUAAAAGUAUUGAAACCAUGUCUUCAAGUCAUGACUCUAGAAUAAAAUAAUGUAAACUAAUAAAAUCAUGUUUUGAAGACAUUGAAUAUACAAUUUUAAUAUAUAAUUGUUGGAAAUCAUAUCUUGAAAUCAAACUUGUGUUUUUCAAAACACAACUCUAGUUUAAAAGUAUUGAAAUUAUGUCUUCAAGGUACAACUUUAGUUUACAAGACAUGAUUUCAAUGUUAAAAAUGAAAUCAUGUUUUCAAGACACGACUUUAAUAAAAAUUUUGCAAACUGCUUUUUUUAAACACUAAAUUACAUAAAUACAUCAACAAUUUUUUGUGUUUGAUCAUCCAAUAAUAAUUUAUAAUAAUAAAGAUCAACCAAUAUCAUUUUAACUUGAAGUUAAUUUGAUUCACCUCUUCUAAGAUUUAACUAAAUACAUUUAGCUCUCGUAUGUUUGAACUUUCAUCAAAUACCUCCUUUAUUUUGAAUGAGAUGAGAGGUGAUUUAAAAUUAGAAAUAAAAACAAUAAGGGAAGUAUUUCAUGAAAUAUCAAACCAAUAGGAGUUAAACGCAUUUAACCAAAAUCUUAGGGAGCUGAAUGAAAUUAACCAUUUUAACUUAAUAGCUAGAAAAUACAUAUCACUAACUAUACUUACAAUAUUAUAUGUUCAUAUAUUAUAAUCUUCAAAACAUCUAUAAGAAUACAUGUUAUACGUGAUAAUCUCCAAAAUAGCUCCAACUAGAAAUUAUGUUGCAAAUAGUUUAUAUGCAUGACACAAUAUAUAAAAUCAUCAAUAUGUGCCACAUAAAGGAACCUUCUUCUUUCGCCACGAUUGUCUAUGAAAUGUUUUCAACUUUGAUGGAUCAAAGGACCCUCACAUGCUAUUUAAUGUCCUCAUACUUCUCUUCACCCAAGUCCAUGUCUCUGAGAUUGUUCUCACUCUCUAUUCUAAACUACAAGAAUGACCUGUGUACGAGUAAUCCUCUCAUCAUUAAACAUAUGAUAUAAUGGUUAUGGUGAGACACAAUCAAAGGUGUUGGUACUAGAGUGGAUGGCUCCUUGGUGUUAGAUGGUAACUUUGAAAAUGUAUGUAUAAUAAGAGGUACUUUACGAUGCACGGAGGACCCUUCUUGAGGUGGUGGGUUGACAUGUAGUUGUGUCACCCCCUUGUCACAAAAAUAAAGGUUCCGAUUGAGGUUGUGAUUGUGUAUCUAUUUGUUGAUGUGAUCUACAUGCAUGUGAUGUAUAAAAAGAUGGUAUGUCAACACUACAAACCCUUUGAAAGGCUCUACCUCCCCCCAUCUAUACCCUUUCUCCACUCAUUUGUACCUUCUCUUACCUUAAGACAGUAAGUGUGUCAUAACAAUAGUGGAGGAUUCUUGAAGUCCAUCAAUCUCAUGUAUUACUAAUGAAGAAAUGCAUACUUGAUGAAUAUCAUGAUCAUUUGGAUGUGCUAGACGGUACAUUUGUUGUAAGUUGCUAUUCUAUAAAUUAAUUAAAAGAAGAUAAAGUCAAGUAUUUAUUAACAUUAAAUAAAAUUUUCCAAAAAAAAAAAAGAUUGUUUUAUAUAAAAAGUACUAAAUUUUUUGAAGUUUAUGCUAAUGACAAUAUAUGAAUGUUGUCAUCUAUAUCUAUGUUAAAGUUAUUAUGUAUUUGAUAUUUAUGUUUUUAAUGAUAGUGAUUAUAUUGUUAACCCCCUACCCUAAACUGUCCUUAGCGCUACAUUCCAAGCUUUAGACAAGGUAAAAUUGAACUUAAGGCUAAACUUUUAUCCUUAAUCCUUAAACCCAAAAUGUCUAUAUGGUGACAAACAUAAUUUUGAAAAUGAUGAAAUAUCAACUCAUUUGAAUCGGUACAUCCUUAGUAAUUACCCUAGAGGGUUGACAACAUUUGGUACAUAUUCUUUAUGUGUCUGUGAAAAAUCUAUAACUAAAUGUGAAUGAUUUGAAAAUGCAAACAUUUUAUUUUAUAGCAUAACAUGAAAAAUCCUAAUAACAACAAACUUAUUAUUCUAAAGAAUGAAUUACCUAUAGAAUGUAGUGAUGAAAAAUUUUAAAAGAUAAUAUCUAACUCAUUACAAUGUCUAACCUAGAAAAAAAAUCAUCUUUAUGGUUUACUUGUCCUGUAGUCAUGUUACUUUGUGGAGUUUUGAUGGAAAGGAGUACUUUGUGACUUUGAAAGUUAAUUAUAUUUGUAUUAUUAAUUACAUUAGAAAUAUUAAUUUCCUAAUAAAUUUAGAAUAUAUUAGUAUCAUGAUUUAAUUUGCCAAUAUUAAAAAUAAAAAGAUGAAAUAUAUUUUAAAUUUUUAAUUAUUUAUAUAUUUUCUAACUUUUUAUAAUUAUAUAUUUGUAAUAUUAUGGUUGACCAUGGUUCAACUAUUAGUUUGAUCAGUAAACUAUGACUUCAAUGAUUGAUUGGUUAGAUUUUGGAAAUAUUGUAAUAAAUUAUUUUUUAAAUUCAUUUUAAUUGUAAAAGUAUCUAUAUUAUUUAACAUGUGAAAAAUAAUGAUUUUUUUAACGAGUUUUAAAAAUAAAUUACAAGCUUAUUUGAGAUACAUUUUUUAACUUCUAUUGCUAAAAAUAGAAGUAGCUAUUUCUACCAUGUAAUUGACUCUAAUGUCUAAAAAUUUUAUUUAAAAUGCAAAUUGUAAUGAUUUUGAUGAUAUAUAAUUUUAUAGUUAAAUAGAAAUCUCAUUUCCAUCUUCACACUUUUUUUUUAAAGAAAAAAUGUGAUCAAAUAAAGAUUGUGUUGAAGAUUUGAUUUUAUUGAACCUUGACUCAUGCAACUUAAGUUGAGUUGACAUCCUGGCUCUAGUGACACUAUUGGGUUCUCGGCUUCUUGUAUUUAAAGUGAUUCGUGUAUGGUUGUGCACUCCCUAUUUUAGCUGACCCACCACCAAUGCCCAUAUUGAGUCGAGCUCAGUUCUCUCCUACACAUUCUUUAUGGGAGUAAGGGCUUUCAAAUAGAGAGUUAUUGGAAAAGGACAUUUGUCAAUGGUUGAACUUCCGUAUUACUCCUCUAUAGUGAGUUGUUGGGAUGUCUUAAUCGAAACCAAACUUUAGUGCCACCCAACUCUGAUUCUAUGCACCAGUUGGGAAUACCAUUUUAUACUUCUUGAAUUCAAUUUCUUCAUGCUGCACUCCCAAUCUUCUCAUUUGGAUUUCAAAUUCUUUUGAAAUCACCAACAAUCAUCCAAGGAAUAGAAAGUGAGUGAGCAUAAGAACGCAUUUCCUCCUAAAGCAACCUCUUUUCUACUCUGUUGCAUUUAGCAUAUAUAAAUGAUGCACAUAAAAUAGAAAUUAAUGCUUUAAUUAACUUGACUUGGAUUUUAGCUAAAAAAAAGUGGGUUUUGACUCAUUGAUAUGAAAAUAUAUGGAAAAAAAAAGAACCCCAAAAUUUUUAAAUCAAUAUUAUCUUCAUCCAUUUAAAAAUAAUUUGAAAUACAUGCACUUUUUUACUAGUCAUAUAAUUAUUCCUUAAAUUACCAUUUUUACAAAAAUUUUAAAACAAUAAUAUAUUUUUUUUUUAUCUGUAUCUCUAUCUCUUGAAUUGAAGAUGAAGCCAAAAAAAACUCUAAACAACCAGUCUUUGAAAUUAACCUCAACUUGUCCUAAUAACAAAAAAAAUCUUAAAGAGACCGUGGAAAAAAACCAUAAACCUCAUUCCCAACAAACUCAAACUCAAACUCAAACUCAUCUACAGUCUUAUAAGGUUUCAUUUACUUCUAAUGUCUAUACUCUUCAAACUAUCUCACUUUUACUAUAGGAUGUUUGUUUAUGGAACAAAAAAAAAAAGUCUCAACUUUUCGUAUAGGGUGUUUGUUUCUGAAGAAAAAAAAACCUCAAAUAAAAUAAUAAUAAUAAUAAUAAAUAUAUAAAAGGAUAGGAAAUAAUUACUUUGAGCAGUCUAAUUGGUAAUUGAUAUUGAUGACAUGAAAAGUAAAAUGGAUAUUUUAAGGAAUAAUUAGAUAAUUUAUUAAAAAAUGUAUGUAUUUCAAAUUAUUUUAAAAUAAAUAAAUAUAAUAUCAAUUUAAAAAAUUUAGGGUGCUUUUUUCCAUAUAUUUUCAUAUCACUUGAUCAAAACCCACUUUUCUCAUUUUAGCUUAACUUGAGCUUCGUCGUUAUUCAAGUAUGAUGUAACUUAAGUUUUGACAUGACUUGUGCACUGGUGUAAUUGGGCCUUGAUCGGACUUUAGUCUUAAUUUGAAUGACAUUCAUCAAGGCUUUAAAUAACUUGAUCAUUAGAGGAGUCUUUUCAUAUAUUUGGAUCUUAAAGCUGAAAACUUGAAAGUUGGAAAAACUUAGACACUUAGGAGACACUUCGAAGAAAUUCACGAUCUGUUGAAACAUGGAUAGCUCUGGAUCACAAAGAGGGACGGAGGAAGAUUACAACGAAAAACUGGACGUGGCUGACAUAUGCAUCAAUUAUCAAAAGUAAACUUUCAGAACUACAAACCUAACAGUUUCCUUCUAUUUUAAUCCUUUUAGCCUUUUUCUCUUGUCUCUUUGGGCCUUUUAGGAUCAUGUUUGGCUUCUUCUAUUUUGUACUCGCACGGAAGCAUUCACUAAAAUGAUUAUUUUUGGAGACUAAAGCUGAAAUGCUUACGUGUUAAUACAUUUUUGGUUUCUGACCUCAUUAGCAUGAAUGAAUAUUCAGUAACUUUUAAGGUCUUGAUGAUGACUUCAACUGUGAAUAUUGUCUUAGCAGUACUAGGGAAGACUGCCAUUAUUGUAAGAAAACCCAACAAAAGAAAGUGAUGAUGAUGUUCUCAUCUUCAAUAUUGAUUGCUGAGGGUGCCGAAGUACCACUUAAUAUACUGUUUUUUCUUUUCUCCUUUGCAAUCAUCAUAUGGGAGUUCCUUGAAUAAAUAUCAGCAUAUAAGGCUUUCAAGUCAUUGUCAUGAGUGCAUAUAAUCUAUCUUUUACGCAGAAGUGGUGUUCUUAAAGUGCCUUUCUUACCCCAUUAUAUCAAAAGCCAUUCUCAAAGUAUCAAAGUCAUUGAUACAUAUAUAGUUACAAAGGGAGAAAAGCAACAAAAUGAUCCACAUUAGGAGCUAAUAGUACAGGUUAAAUAUAUGUAUCUCCUCAUGCUUGGAUCAUUGAUCAGCUUGGCAUGAACUUGCUUACUUAGACAGGGUCUUGGAGUGAUGCUUGGGGUCGGGUCCUCCAGGGCUCACUCGCUUGGAGUCAUAUUGGCCACCCACUCUACCUUGUCCGCCAGCCCCUUCCUUGAGUGCUUUGGUCCGUUCCAUUAGGAAUGCUCGAAGAGAUUCAAUUCGGUUGUUCCUAUCCAGUAAUUGAUCAAGAGGCCGAGCUUCAGACCAUACAGAUACAAGCAAGAGCAGAACAAAGCAUACUAAAAACUUUGAGCUGGCCAUUAUCCUCUCAAGCUUUGAAAACUAGUAGUGUAAUGAUUCAAAGCUCUAGCUAAGAGACUCGUUUAUAUAGCUUCAUUCUUCCUUUUCUUUUCCCUUAAAAAUGAAGUGGGGGUCAACUGGAUCAACUUAGUUUUCUCCACUGUGUACCCGAAUUCCCUUUGCCUUUUGUGACACUACAAAUUCAAUACCAUAAAAAAACAAAACGUCUGCCAAUAUCUACUCAGAUAAGAGCUGUCCAUUUCAGCAAUUUAUCAAGAGAAUAUAAUUUUUACCCAAGACCUUUCAAAUCCUGGAAACUUUUUUCUAUCUAUCCUCCAAUCUCAAUGUCUCGAGUCAUUAAUAGCUACAAUGAGUGUGUGCCUAGUCAGCGGCUCGUGGCAUUAUUUUAUCACAUUAUGAUUUUGAAAGGCUCAAAGGGCCGCAUUGCAAUAUGGAGCUCGCUCUCUGAAGUUUCCCCUAGGAGGUUCUGAAAGGUCACCAUCUUUUGGCUUCUUAUUGAGCACUUUGCCAAUGACAAUCUACGUUGUGUGAUAUUAACUAAUUUUAAGUGCAGAAUGUUGUUUGCAUUGGCCUUUACUAUGGCUUCCAAGCAAUCCUUUUGUAUUGAGUUUUAUGUUCUAUGAGUGUCCACCAUGGAGAUGAAUUCAGGUUAUUGGAGCAACCCACUCAGCAAUUGAAUGAAAUAUUUCAAAGGGGGAGCAAGAAACAAGAGAUUGUCUUAGUCCUAAUGUUGGACAGUACGAUAACUCCAAUUUUCCUAGUCUGCAUGACCAUUAUCAAUUCUGAAACUCAGCCUAAAGAAGCUUUGAAUCUAAACUACUUUGGACUGACUAGACACUGAUGUUGUCUAUAUUACACCUAUUCAUGGCCAUAUAUCAUCUCUUUAUAUGCUUGUAUUAAUCAUGUUUUUUUGCAGAGUAAAAUAGCCUUAGCCAGCAUAAAAUGGCAAAAAAGAACAAUAAGCAGGGAAACCCAACAAUAAGCAUUGCCAAUGUUAUGGUCAGCCCAAAAGGCAAAAUGCCAUGAAUAUAACAUAAAGAUAAUGAAAAACCAUUGUUGACCAUAGAAAUGUUCUCAACUUACAUAUGUACAAUAAAGCAAUGCUGAGGUAACGAUGGAACACCCAUCCUUCUCAACUCUGGAUAUACAUUUAAAGGACAAUGGAUGCUGACUGUUUCCAAGAUUUAUCUUCAGGAAUCUCAAUGCAUCGCCAAGUACCGAAAUGGCCCUGGACAAACCAGAAAUACAAAUGUAAAAGACGACCCCUAAUAGGUUGCAGCAAACAGAGAACGUACUGUUAGAUAAGCAUGGCUUCUUUUCGAGUAAGUUGAUAAAGAGUAACGAGCAUCGUAUGGCAAUCAAAGCCAGGCAGGCCUUUCAAGCUUCCAAAACCAAGAAAAAAACCCCUCUUUCCUUUCUCUUUUGAAUAGCAGGUUCAGCUUCAUAAUGCAAAUUCAUCUCCACAAAACCAACUGCUUGUUUAUUCUUACUGAUUUCACAAUAUGUUCCUUCAGCAACCUAGGAGAUCAUUUCAUCAAUGGCAAGAAGCUGUGAUAUUGAAAAGCCAUGUCAAGACAAGAAAAAUGCAUCUCUCUAAUGAGAAUCUUGCAAAGUGGUUGUUAAAGAUAUAUAUCAAAUUCAACUUUCUCCUACUUUUCGCCGCACCAAACUAUUAAAUAAACAUCAGAAAUAAUUGUCAAAGUCUGACAUUCAAGUGGUGAUGCGCAAAGAUUUGUAUAUUCCAGUUUCCCUUCGGCGUGGUUUAACUGUUUAAGAAUGGGCUCCUUUUAAUUACUUUAAGCGCUUUCAAUUAAUAAAGCAAGAUUAUAAUAUAACAGUACGGACUUCUGGUAAGCCAUUGAGACCAAGAGUCGGAGAUCUGCUUACAAGGAAUUCUGCUGUAUCAGCCCAUUACCAUUUAAAAUACAUUUUUGCCACCAUCAAAUUGAGUCGGAAGCACCUUUCAUCAAGCUUAAAAUAACUCAUUUUAGGUACUACAAGCCAAGAGGGCAAGAACGUUGGGAACUUAAGUUAAUUUUGAAAAUUUUUCAAAAAUUAGGAUUUUGAUUUGUUUUCUAAAAUUUAAUUAGGAUAUUUUUAAUUUAAGUGGUUGAUUUCAUUUCCCUUGGGCCAUUUUCUGCUUUUAGUUGCAUCUUGUAGAAAAUAAAUAAAUAAAUAAAAGAUUUAUCUUAUAUUUUUAAAAAUUAAUUUAAGAAAUUUUCAAAUUUGAAGGUGUAAAAUUUUUUUAAAUAGGACCUAUUUGAGGAUUGUUUUUUAAAAUAAUUUUCUAUUCUCCAUUACAAAAAACACAAAAAGCACGUUUAGCAAUCACAAACUGGUUUUCUGUUCUUAAAAUUAGAAAAUUGAGUAUUUUCAUAAAACAUCUUUCAGUUGUUUUAUGUUGUUUUCACUUGUUUUCUGAUAGUUGUUUUAAAAAAUAAUUAUAUAAGCAUCUAGACCGAUUAAAAAUAAAAUCUAGAUAUAAAAAUUAUUUAUAAAAUAUUAAAAAAUAUUAAAAAUAGGCUAAGAAUAUUUUUGGUUUUCAAACAAACUUUUGUUUUACAAAAAUCAGAAAACAAUUUUUAAAAACUAUUCUCAAAAACCAUUUUUCAGAAUUGUUUUCAAAGUAGCUACCAAAUAGACUCUAAGCUUUUUCAAAUAGCUUUUAAAAUAAUUAUCUUCUUAAUGUAAGCAACUAAGAAUUCUUGUGUCUUAUAUAAAAGCUAUUUUUAUUUUUUGACUUUAAAAAUAAAAAAUAAGAAAUAUGUUUGAACAAACAUUUAAUAUUUAUUUAUAAAUAAUUGAGUACUUAAGGUUUUUAUAAAUAUUUUUUUUUAUUGGGCACCUUUAUUUGUUAAAUAUAAUUACUAUAAGUAAAUGAUUAUAUAAUAAUUUACUAAGAAUGAUGAAGAUGGUAUCUAUCUUUCUUUUUUUCUUUUUUGGGUUAUGUAAUUUUGUGUAAUUUCAUAUAUAAUCUACUUACUACUUUCCCAAUAUGCAAUAAAUUCAUAUAAUUUUCCUAGGAGAUCAUCGUAAAAUAUGUGUUAAAUGGUGCUUGUUUGGAAUACCUUGAUAAAUUAAUAAUCUAUUAAUUAAUACUCGCUUAAUUAAUAAAUUUUCCUUGUUCCUAAAUAACCAUACCAAAAUAUGUGUGAAUACCUUAGGGAACUUGGAGUGCAAAUGAGAUGGAAAGAUUUAGAAAAAUAAAUGAAAUUGGUGGUGAAAAAUAAAACUUUCUUGAAUUCUUGCUUUGGACAAAGAAGUCAUUGGAAAGUUAUUAAAUAAAAAACAAGAAUUGGUUUAAAAGUUAAAACUUUAACUAACUUGUAACUAAUAUUUGAGAAAUUGACAAUCCUUAGGAUCUCUUCCUUACCUUGGAAUGAUCUUUGUCAUUAAUAUACCAUCUAACAAAGUUCACUCAUCAAUUGAAUUCUAUUAUAUAACCUUAAGUUUUCCCAUGAUAUUAGUGAUUUUGAAAAUUGUUAUCCUUAGCUUACACAGGGUUGUUCCAAGUUAAAAUAACUUCCCAUUAAGUGUUUGGAAUAUCUUAUGAGACGUUAGACUUCAAUUUCUAAUUAGGUAUAAAAAUUUAGUAGUUGUGAACUUAAUAUCUCAACCAUUUGCAUAUCUAGGGCUUAAUCAAGGUCAUCCCAAGUCAAAAUGACUUACCUUUUAAGUGCUUAAGUUAACCUAUUGAGAUUUAUAAUCAUAAAUUAUUAAAUGUUUAAAUGAGGUGUUUUAUAUUGAAUGAAUGAGAUUAUUUUGAAUUAAAAACAAUUGUUAAUAAAAGAUACAUUCCAAUGGAAGAAUGGGAAGCCCCGGGGUUCCUUUUACUCAACCUAAAUAACUAUAUUGAAUUUAAAUUAACUUGAAAGAAUAAAAUGGAAAGCAAGAAAUUGAACAUCAGACCUUAAAUCAAAUGUAAAAUUACAAUGAUCAAUGAUAAUAAAAAGAUUCAAUUAUGUAUUAAAUAAAACCAAUUCAAGACAAAGGAAAUAAGUGAAAGCAAUAAUAAGAAAAUAAAGAAAACCUAACAAUGAAAGUGUAUCCAAGAUCUCCCCGUUGAGUACUCCAAGAAUGUGCAAGAAUUCCCCCUUAAGGGAGAAGAUCCAAACCUCUUUCAAUGGCUACCCAUUCCUCCUUUUAUAUUCUUUCCAAGAAAGCCCCAAGUUCUCUCAUGUGAGAGCAUUUCCCAUGCGAGUCAAUGGCUAAAAAAUGGGCUGAAAUUGGUCCCCCACUUUGAAGCCCAUCCCCCUUUUAAGAAGAUUAAAAGGCCUCUCAUGUGCUACAAUUAUGUAAGUUUUACGGCCCAAAGUGUGGCUACAAGUGGUGAGGCACCUUCAUAUCCUCUUGUGUUUCUCAAAUUUAUUCUUUAAGCAAACAACUUCCAAAAAUUCUGAAAAUUGAUCAAAUUUAAGUUUGAAAAGUAAGGAAUCGAUUUUAAUAAGGUAUUUACUUUCAUUACUUAUGUAGAAAUAAAAGAUUAAUAAUAUUCUCUUUAGCUGCUCAAAAUAUUUGGAGAGUUUUUGAAAUGGAUGUGAAUUUUUUUUUUUUUUUUUUUAUUUUGAAUGAAUGAAUGAGCUUAUUGAAGAAGUAUACUAAACCAUGAGGUAUGUGUUAAAAUGCAUGAGAACAAGGUUUUAGAAUUAAAAAGAUUAUUAUAUGGACUAAAACAAACACCCAAAGCCUAGAAUAAUAAAGUUGACAAAUAUUUUCAAGAAAAUAAUUUUAUUAAAUGUCUUCAAGAACAUGCUUUUCUACAUGAAAGUGAAUAAGGAAUGUAAUAUAUUCUCCUCUUUGUUUAUGUGGAUGAUUUGAUCUUUACUAGCAAUAAUAUACUCAAAAAAGUUCUUCCUUACGUAAAAAAAAAUACUUUUGAUUAUGAUUCACAUUACUUCUAAUAAUUUUAAGUUGUGGUGACAAUGAUAGUGGUAGAGACUUGGAUGAUCAAAGACCAUCAUUGACUUUGUGUUUUUUUUUUAAGAUACCACAUGUACUUAAACUUCAAAAAAAACAAAAAAAUUAUUGUAACACUUUCGACUUGUGAAUCAAAAUUUAUUUCUCAUAUAAUUUGACUCCAAAAAUUUAUUGAAUAAGCUAAAGUUAUUGCAAGAAGAACACUCAAAAAUCUAUAUUGACAAUAGAAUUGUUAAAAAAAAAUCCAAUGUUUCACAAUUGAGGAGAGUACAUUAUGAAAAAAAAAGUGUAAUUGAAAUUUAAACAAAUUUUUUAAAAUUUUACGAAGCCUCUCAAGUGUAAAGAUUUUUGAAGAUUUAAAAUGCUAUAUGAAAUUACAAAUUAAGUUGAAAUGAGCAUAUUCUAACAAAAAGUUGAUUUUGAAAAGUUUUUUGAACUUAGGGUUUGAUGUGAUUUUCAAAAGUCAAUUAAAUUAUUUUUAGUUUGAAAGAUUGAUUUAAUUUUUAUAUUUAAAUAUUUGAGUUGUAUAAGAUUUUUAUAGUUUUUUGUUAUUAGAAAAUAUUAUUUGAUAAAUAUAAUUUCUAUCUUUAAAUAAAAGAUUGUAUAAUAAUUGAAUAAGAAACUUCUUUUCUUAAAUUGUUGUAUGAUUUUAACCCUCUUCCUCCAACAUAGACAAAAUAAAUUUCAUCCAUUCAACUCAACCCAAGUUUGCUAGGAAUGCCCAUAAAAAUAUAUCAAAUACAAAAAUGGAAAUAAAAAUUGUUAAAUGCCUUUAGGAAGUAGAGAUGAAACUAGAGAUGAGUAGAACAAAUAAAUUGUGCACUUCUUUGAUGAAAUUCAAUCUUGAAUGAUACAAUAAUCUGGUAUAAUUGUUUAUGGGCGAAGGGCAAGAGAUAAAUUCCUCAACCCCAUUUAUAGGAAGAACAGAUAAGAAAUUUCAGGGAAAAAGAAGAGAGUUCAAACUAUCUGAAAUCCCUCCUCAAUGUCUUGAAAAGUGUAGAUUGCAUUGAAUCAGUAUCUCCAACUGCUUUUCUCUUUCGGGAAUUUAGUGCACAAACUGAUACAGAUGGGGGAAGAUGAGAGCCACUGUGGGAAGCUGAAGCUGAAGCUGAUUGAGGUGAGGAGUUGAAGAGGUUGGUGAUAUCAGCAAGAGGCUUCCUAAAUCUUCUCCUGAAAGUUUUGGUGGAAGAUGGGGUGAUUCCAAGAACAGGGUGGGUCUGCUUUGAAGAGAAAGGAGGGAUGUUCUCCUUGUUCCUGCUUUCGCAGAGAGCCAUGGUCUCCAUUUCUGAUUAUGGUGAUUGUGUUUGGAGUUUGGAGAAGGGGAGAUGAUGAAAUGAGACUGAGAGGGGAUUGAGGUAUUUGUAAAGGGAAGGCAAUGGGUGGUAUUUGGAGGGAUGAUUUGAAAGUUGAUUCUUCCAUUUUUCCAAAAUUUUGAGUAUUUUUCCAUUUGGGUGUCAGGAGAAUAGGAGAGGGAGAAGUGUUUUCACUUCCCUGUAUUUGGUUUUUGGUUUGAAUUUUGGGGAGUAGCUCAAAUUUUCAUUGGAGAGAGGGAGGUUUUGAAUUUUAGAAGGAGCCAAAAAGGAGGGAAUUCAAAAGGAUUUUAAUUUUAGACAUUCCGAAUCUACAGCCGUUUGAUUUUGCCUUUUUUACAUUGGGGGCCCAGUGGGGGACCCAAAACAAUUGGUGAUUUAUCUCCUUUUAUAAGUAGCAUAGAUAAUGAAAGAUUUAAAUAUAUAUAUAAUAGUUGAGGUACUUCAAAUUUUAAAAUUUUUGAAAAUAAUUUUUAAAAAUAGGCUAAAUCUAUAUCUUUUAUAUAAAAUGUAUCCAUGUUGCUAAAGGAUUCUCUUUAAAAUCAUUUCUAAUAAUAGAAUAUUAAAAAAAAAUACUAAGUAUUUUAACUAGAAUUAUUCCCAAUAGACUUUUAGAACUUGUUUGGGAUUAAUUUUGAAAGCAGUUGAAAGUGUUUUUUUUUAAUGUUUGAAAGCACUUUUUUUACAAAAUUAAUUAUUUGAUAAAUUUUUAAAAUUUACUUUUUAAAAUUUUAAAAAUCACUUGAAAGGAUUUUUGGGUAAUCUAAGUGACUUUUCUAUUUUUUAUUUUCUUAUAUAAUAUAUUAAAAUACCAUUGAAUCACUUUUUUUUAGUUUAUAUCCAAACAAUUAAAAACACUUCUCAUCAAAGAAGUAUUAAUAAAAAUGCUACACAUAAAUUUUUUUUAACUAGGAUAGUUCCAAAUAUGUUUUUAAUAAGCUUGAUUUGGUAAAAAAAAAUGAAAGAGAAAAAAAAUUACUAUGAUAAUUAUUAUUUUUAUAAUUGUUAAUGAGAUUUAAAGGAAACAGAUACAUACAUACGAACGUAUAUACAUACAUACAUACUGACGUAUAUAUAUAAAAUAAAAGAAAAAAUUGGUUUUAUUGUAAUUUCAUUUUAUUAGAAAUUGUUCUUCAAAACAAUUUUUAAAUUUAAAAAUUAAAUUUAAUUGAUUUUUUACUCUCUUUAAGAAUUCGUUCCUAAAUUAAAUUAAAUUUUUUCCUUUAAAUUCACAUUUCAUCUAAAUUAAAAAAACAUUUCAUUUUUAAAUUUAUUUUUACCGGUUAUAAUUUUUUUAAACAAGGUAUUACUUUGUAAACAUGUGUAAUUAUAUUUUAUUUCAAUAAUAUUUUUAUUUGUAUAUAUAAUAAACUCCUUAAUCAUUUUUAAAAUAUUUAUUUUAAUUAUAAGUGCAUCAUACUAAUACAUGUUUUCAUUAAAAAAAAUCAUCUAAAUUACAUGUAUACUAAUACAAUCAAUAUUUACACAAAUAAAUAGUAUAAGUAUUAUGAUACCAAUAUCAUAUUUUAAUAUAAUAUACUAAAAUUCUAGAGUUCAUAAAUAAUAAUUUUUUAGACAAUAUGUACAUUCACUUAGCAAUAAUUAAAAUUAAAAGAAGAAAUAUGAUAAAAUAAUAAUAAUAAAAAACAUACGAAAAUGCUACACUCAUAACAACCAAAUAAGUAGAAGACAACUUUGACGAUUUAUUGUGCGCAUUGAGCAUUGUAAGUCAACAACCGGUUUGUGAAUCCAUAUAAUGCAUUGAGGAUAUUUCUACAAUAUAUAAAUUGUUAAAAAGAAUAAAAUAUGAUGUGUGUAUUUCAUUAAUAUCAAUAUAUUUUUAUGUGAUAAUUAAAUAUAUUUACAUGAUAUAAUGGGCAACAAUAAAACCAGUAACCAUUAUUCUUUUGUGUUUUCAAUAUGAAAAUGUGCAUACAUCCACACCCAUAAUAACACAUGAGUCUUUUGUCAAUCAUACUUUUACAAUUAUAAAUCAAAUUUAUAAGUACUAUUUAAUCAUUAGACAUUACAACAUAUAUCACAUAAUACUAAUGACAAUUAAUUAACAAAUAUAUAUAUACUAACAUAUAAUUAAAGUAUCAACAAAUAUUUAGAAUUAAAAACAAUCAUAGAUUGACAUUGAUAUGAUUUGCCCACAUCACUUUAGUAAUUUGAUCUUUAUAAGCUGUCAUAGUGAUUGCAUUCUCAUUUGAUAAAUCAAUUGAGUGACUUAUGCUACCUAUACCCUCUUUUUCAUCUUGGAUUGAAAGGUUUUUUACCUCAUAUUUUCUAAACAAUUGAUCAUUUCAAGUUGAUAGAUGAAUCCAAUUAUGAAAGGUACAACAUACAACAACAAUUAAUGGUUGUCUACUUGGCUUAUAAUAAGACAUUAUCCUUAAUAUUAGAAACUACAUGUAUCUUCAAAACAUCAAAGUACCUUUCAAUAAUUUUUUGAAAAGAUGAAUAUCUAUAAUUAAAAAGUUCUUUAUACUUGAUAAGUUGAUUACAUCUACCUUGAUGUUUUUGUAAAUGAUAUCGCUCACCUUGAUAUGAUGAUGGAAAUUCAGAUGUAUAAGGAUAACCAAAAUCAACUAAAUAAUUUAUUUCAUUUGGUCAAGGAAAAUAGACUUCUAGUCUAGUUAAUACAUCCAAAAAGACACAUGCAUUAGUCGUUAUUCUUUCCUAAUCAUCAUAAACAAAUGCGAACAUCAUGUCAAAAUCACAUGUGCACACAUAACAUUUUAUGUUAUAAUUGUUUUUCUACUCCUCAAAAAUUGGUUUGUUUAUUAGUUAGGAUGUAUGUGCUAAUAUGGGUGUCAUCAAUUGUACUGAUGCAGUCAUACAACAAAAAAAUAUUUAUUAGUAUUAAGGAUAAAUAAAAUAAUGUUAUGAAAACAUUUUAUGUACAUGAAAUUUACAUUUAUGAAUAUUUUUUUUUAUAAAAUCUUAUCUUAAACCAUGAAAAAUAUUUAUGAUUACUAAGAACAUAUGAAAACACCUCAUUAGCUAUACUGCUAAAAGGUAUGAGAAUUUUGUCUCAUCAACAUAAUGCUCGUUUGACUUUUUUAAAGUGUUAAGCGAUAAUCUCUAUAAAGUGUUGAAAAUGGUAUGUUACAAUCCUUAUUCUCACAUUAUAUCCUACUAUUAGCAAGAACAUAACAACUGUCACUAAUCAUGUACCUUGUAAGUUUUCAUGUCUUUUAAGACGAUCACAAAGUUUCAUAAUGGUUUCUUUAUCCAUUCAAAAUAGCUCAUAAUGUCUAAAGGUGACCAUCUAUCACAUCCCUUACAAAUUGUGUAUCACUUAAUAUUGAUGUCCUUUGAGAUGUCUUGUAUAAAAAUAUUUCUUCAUACUUAUUUAUUAUGUGAACAAUAAAAAAUUUAUAUAUUUCCUCGUACUUACUUAUAAUGUGAGCGAUAAAAAAAAUUCAUUUACAUCAUCAUUUCCUUCAGAAAAUGAAGCAUAUAGUGAAAGGAGAGAUGUUUUCUUUGUUGCAUUCACAAAGAGCCAUGACCACCGUCUCUGAUGAUGGUGAUGAUGUUUGGAGGAGAGAUGAUGAAGUGGGGGUGGAGGGGAAAUGCAAUGGAGUGUAUUUUGGAGGAAUGAUUUCAAGGUUGAUUCUUCUUUUUCUCCUAAAUUUUUGAGUUCUUCCAGUUGGGUUUUGGUCCGGAAAAGGAGAAGUAUUUUCAUUUUAAUUUUUCAUGGGCGCUGGGAUUUUGGUUUGAAUUUUGAGUUAUAGCUCAAAUUUUCAUUGGAGAGAGGGGCAAGAGGGAGGUUUUGAAUUUCAGGACUUGCCCAGAAAGGGAGGUGUCUCAAAAGAUUAAUAGAUUUUCCCACUUCCCAUUUGGUGAUCUUUAUAUAAGUUGUAUAUUUUUUUUAUUUUUCUUAAAAGUAGAACUAAGACGCUAAAAAAGUAUUAUUUCUUUCCUAUCUUAUAAGGGCAGUAUAGAAGAAAAUACUUGAUCUCAUUUCAAUUUGCUUUUAUAACAAAUAGGAUGAAAGAACUGAAAUUCAAUCUCUAUGACAUAAAAUUUUGUUAAUGGACUUUUCCUUUAAGAUUUGGUUCUAAACCAUAAGAGGUGUUUGUAGUCAAUAGUCAUUGUGCAUUUGGGUGAACAAUUCUCUGGCUAUCCCACAUCGAAAGCCAAUAUAAAAAUGAAUUGUUUAAAUUGGCUUCAGUUUACCACCAAGAAACGCCGGGCCUGGUAACGUGGGCUUGUGACUCAAGUGAGGGCAUGAAGGUGGUUGAAGGUUGGUUUGGCUGGAGAGGUAGGGUGCGCUGGGGUUGAGACACUGGCUCGCCCGUUCCAAGUGGGGAGUUUGAAUCUUGUGAUCCGACCGAAGGGUUGGGUGACGUGGUUCCUAGAGUGGAGGGCACCGCGUGAGGCUGGAUUCACAGAGCAGCGUUCACCUCCCGCUCCCUUCGGUGGAAGGAUAACGUGCUGGUACUCCACGGGCCCAACGACGCCUCCUCAGCCGCUCACAACCCGACAACCACUUUUUCCCUCUUUUUAUUUUUCCUUCAUUCCAGCCAGUGGUGGAACAAUUGACAUUCAGAGUGAAAUAUCAUGGAAGAGAAGGCUUCACCAGAAUCCUAUAGAUUGUUGUGAUGACUUGAAGCAAAGAAGCUCCAAGCAAAUUGCCUCAACGUGGAGCUCUCUUUUCUCUUUCUGCUGUGAUCAAUCACAAUCCACAUGCGAAAUUUCCCAGGUCUGCAUGGGGCUGAAUGUUGGUGGACUGAGAGGUGGGCACUGUGACAAGAAUGGAUGCAAAAGCUUUGGCUACAUUAAGGGGGAAAAAAAAUAAAGCAAGGGCCUAGGAUAUUGCCAUCAUCUGUCACAGCUGCUUAUGGCACCUUCUUCAGAAGGAUCACUUGUUUUUAGCUGAUUGAGGUAACUAUAUGACUCAUCUCUGUAAGCUUUGUGGGAAUGCUGGUUGCUAUCCUUCUUUUAUGUAAUUUCUACUCCAGUUUUGCAAUUGGAGACAAGGCUUCAGAUUAGAAGUAAUGGGAGCUUUUAUGUGAAUUUUGGAUUUGAUGCCAUGGAAAAGCUGAAUUAAUUUUAUAAAGACCCUACUGUGUAGAGAAAGAUAAACUCUACUGUCUAACCAACCUUGUACACUGUACACUGUAAUGUAAUGCUUCAGUAAUCAUGUGUUGUCUCCUGGUCUUACUGUUAUAUCGAGGUCCACUAAUUAUUUCUUAAUUGCUUGAUAUAUGGACAUGGACUGGAACGCCUCGUCCUACUGUCUAGUUACUUAAUGAGGUGAAUAAUUAUUUCUUCCUCAAGAGAGACAAUGUUUUGAGGGAUAUAUAAAAUAAGAAAAGAACUUUCCAGUACAUUAUGCCAAAUGUUGAUUUAGAAAACAAAAGGACUAUUUCAAAAUUGAAUGUAAAUUCACCAGCCUAUUUGACUUCCAUGGGGUAUGCAAAUGCCCUGUUAAUGGAUGGAACAUAUACGUGCUUUUGAUGCAUUUAUGUUGCUGAAGUAGUAAGAUAAUUUGAAUGCUCAUUUGGUAUGUCUACACAUCGUAAUCAGAAACAAGAGAUAAUUCUUGUUCAAACUUCAUGGCUAACAAGUGCUUCUCGACCUACUCUUCUUUCAUUCCUGCACCUAAUGAGUUGAAGAAAAUUUAUUGUAUGGUUUGAAGUGUAUGCAGAGAAGCUUUGUGAGAUCAAAAUAAGGAAUGGCAGGAAGCAAACUUAUUGGAACAUGUUUUUUCCACGAAGAUGAUUUUCACACUGAGAGUUGGUUUUGUGUGCAUGAGUUCACCUCUUGCUUGAUAUUUGAUGGUGAGGUUGGAUCUAAGCAUGUUGAGAGGGUACAAUGUUUGAGAUGGUUCAUGUCAAAGGGCAUUUCAGAGUGUGAGAAUACUCAAAUUUGAAAUGUUUGUUUGGAAUGUGUUGAUAGAUUGAAGGGAUUAUUUGAAAUCCACAAGGGAAAACAAAAAUCAUCCCAUAUACUUUUUCAAGCUUUAUGGAUGAGUCAAUUCCUAUGCAUGUAUAAGAUCCUUCCAGGGUUUGAAAAUGUACCAAUUUUCUGUUAUGGUUCCUGUUUUGUCCCAUUUUCAUAGGAUGAGUUCGUGGAUUUAAAUAUUUUCAAAUGCAAAGUAACCAUGUGGCUUGAAUUCACAGGUUUCCAACUUAGUUGGGGAUGUGGCAGUUCUCUUGCUGAUUUAUCUUCUGGGGCAUGUCAAUGAGUAAAGGGUUGUUUGGUAAGUCUUGUAUGGUAUGGGAUGGAGCCUUCUCUAUCUGACAUCUUUGUUGCUUUGAUCUCUGUUCUAUUGAAGGCAUGGUCUUUUCUGGAGGCAUGAACAAGCAGCUAUAGAUGUCCUGAUGGAAGCUUAUACCCUUGUACUCUCGGGAAGGAAAUAUUCUCUAUCAGGUUAUAUCAAACUCAUUAAGUCCAUUAUCCAUUUUCUUGAGGCAUGAACUGAAUUUUUUUUUCUUUUAAAGCUAAUUUUGGUUGCAAUUCUGUGCAUAGUAUUUGGAACAACCUCCUUGAGAGCUCUUCAUUUAGUUGAAGGCUUCCCUUUGUGGCAUUGCUGCUUUAUGCCUACUAGAAAUAUUUAGGCAUCAUUAAACUAUCAUCUGAAUAGUUUCACUUAGUGUGAUUCAAAAUAUGAUUCUCUUUCUUGUGUUUAUCUGUUCUAUGCAGAAGAGUCUUUGCUCUGUCCUAAAAGAAGGCCAUUCAACCAUUCUUGAGAUGAAACUAGCCAGAAAUUAGGUAUUGGCCAUUUAUAAAAAAACUGAAACAAUUGUCUAUGAAUUAGGUGCAAAGAAAAAAAAAAGCACAAUUGCAAUGCUUUCUUAAAGAGGAAAAAAAAUGUAGCGCGUUCCAAAAUGUGAAAAAAAUCAUAAGGUAAAAUUCCAAUUUCAAUGUUGAGUCCCAACACCUCAAAAAUAGGUCCAUGCUUGAAAGUUGCAGCAUGUUGCGCUAAGAAAUAGAGCAGCAAGAAGGUUUACUUUGAAUUUAUAUGAAAUAUGUUUGCAUAAAUUAAGGACACAGGCUGAGAAACCUCUUGGUUUUUGAAUUCUGUUGAUGAAUUCCUUACACCAAAACCUUUAGAUUGACAUAAGGACCUGCUUAUGCAGUUACUAGAUUUAUAUCUUGCAACCCUUAUGGUCAUCACCACCUAAGAAAGCUUGCCCUGGACUUUUAUAUUUUGAUCUUGUCACCUAAGCUCAGAGAGAAUUGGCUGAAACUGUGACAUCUUAUAGAAGCUAUGCAGGUAAAAUCUUUGCCCUUUCCUCAUCAAACAGUAAGUUGACCUGAAUCUAUUCCAACUGGUUACCAGUUCCAAGUGCCAUCUGUACAUAUCAUGCAGUCGAGAGGGUAAUGACAUGUUUAGCUUGUUAUCUAUGCAAUAUAAUCUAUAUAAACUAUCCAUAAUCGUCACUAAAAGUAAGUUUUAAAGAAGGGCAAAAACUUUGGAUCUAGUGGUGCAACUUGUGUGUGUGUGAAAGCUACAGCCAGUAUGUAUUCCAAGUCCAAUUUAUGUCUUCUAGCUAGUGUUUAAUGCAUAGUGACAAAUACUGCUCAAGAAGGAUGCGGACAGAAGGAGGAAGAGAAGGAAAGCAAGUUAUGAAUGCAAUGACUUUCCAUGAAUUACUUGCAUGAUUUCUAACUUUCACUAUCAAAAUCAAAAUAAAAGAAUAUACAAGGGAUCAAAAUGAGGGGAUUGGAAGAAAUCUGCUAUCUCCCGGCAAGUAGGGAUAUCAUGAGUUGCAUGCCUGCUACCCAGCAUGUCUGCACUCCUAGGGAUUAUUUGCUCCAGAAACUUAAACCAAUAGGAAUAAGUCAAUGCUAUAAAUCAGACAACCUAAUACUUAACACUGUUUAACUUGCGACCUUUCUGUCUACCCCAUGAGCUUCAGCUUUGAUGCUACAUCAAAUUUUCAUUUAUCCCAAAAUAUCAAGUUAUUUAAGAAUAGAUGAUAUCCAACUGAGACACAGCAAUUAAUCAUGUUUUUCUAUUGUCCUUUUUUUCAGAGAAUUUACCCAAAACCUUGGGAGGCUGUUGAGUGUGAUUUGAUCAGGCAAGGAGCAUACUUUUUAUGCGUGUUCAUGUGUUACAAAUGCACAAAUCUUUUCACCAAAAAGUUUGGGAAAACUCAAAGUGCAUAAUCUAAACCAUAGAGUAUAAGUACUAGUUUUUCUGAUCUCAAAAUCUCUAGUAAUUUCUUUGCUGAUAAUAUGAUUUUAGUGCGAUUGUUCAAAAUUCUCACUGCUCACAACCGCCCCGCCCCGCCCCACCCCCCCCCCCGGGUUCCUAAAAAGGAGAGGCUUAUGUAGCUUUGCUUGAAAAGAACUAGAGAAUGUUGGAAAGUUGAUCUACAAAAUAGAGUGGACACCCCCUCUUGCUCAACUUGCUGGGUCACAGUCACCAAUGAAGAAAGUACUGGAUCUGGAUCCACUAUUAACAUGAUUGGGACGAUCACUGCCCAUCAGAGCCAAAAGAUUUGUUACAGCACCUUCAUAGUUUUACUUAGGCUUUUAGCUUGGGAAACAUUAUGUUUCACCUGAGUGUUUUUAGUCCAUUCAAUUCCAUUCAUUUUCUUGGUGCAAUAAAUGCUUUCCAUUGUUAUGCUUUCUUUGUCUGCAAAAGGGUGUAAGAACCCUAUGUGUAUGGCUAUGGAGCCAUUCAAUCAGUUCCAUUAACACCCCCAAAGAGUCUUGAACUCUCAAUAGUAGUCAUCAUUCUCAGUUACCGUCGCCCUUUUAGUACAACAGUUUAGUGAAAGCCAUUGUUUCAUUAUCUCAAUCUUGGUUCUUUGAUAGGGAAGAACCAAGGCAAAGAAGGUUGCCUUUGUUGGGCUAAAGAGGUCUCCAUGAUCUCAACCUUACCUCCAAUGAAUGUUGCAACCAGAUAUUGAUGUGAGCAAAAGGCAAUUUUACAUUGAAAACCUCUUAGAAAAAAAUAACCACCAGAAGCUCUCUCAAAAUCAACAACCAAAGGUGGCUUUCUUCUGUCGUUCCCUCUUAGAUCUGGAUGUGUGCUAUGUGCAGAUGUGGGGCUUUGGGACAUUAUUUGAUUGGUUGCCAUGUGUAAUGAAUUACUAGGGCGUAGAUGGUGACCACGACAACAUGGGCAUUGUCAAAUUGUUUGGACUAUUCAAUCAAGAUUCCUAAUCAAGACUAGAUCAACAGGUCUCAAAACUUUUCUUUUGUGUAAAGAGAAAACUUUGGAUUGAUCUUAAAAUUGUGAGGGCUGCAAUGGUCUGCCUUAGGGUUAAAUGUUUUCUUUCUUUUUCCUCUGUCCCCUAUUGCAACCAAGUGGAGCAUGUGAAUGAAGGAAAAGGUGAGAAAAAUAGGAGAAAGUAAAAGCAAAAAAACCUCCAAAGUUGAAUAGGAAAAGUUGCUUGAUUCCAUUCUGUUGAAUUAGACUGUUCAAAAUGUUGGGAUAGAACUGUCAAAACAAACUCCAUUUCAUUUCAUUUGCAUUCAUUCUGACUGUAAAGUUAUACAUGAUCCAGAUGUGCCAUCCAUUGUUAAACAAGUUACAGGUUCUUCCCUUUAGUUUCUUAAAUGAAUAAACAGUGGUUGUCAAAUAUCAAUGCCCUGGUCUACUCCAAUAUUGAAGCAGAGUCACACACUAACACUGGAAAGUGGAAACACCUUUUAUGCGACAUGGCUUGCUCAUUUGAAGAAUCGGGGGACCAACUCCUAAUGAGACUGUUUCAGAAGUGGGUGAUUUUAGUCAUUCAAAUGCUGUAAAUUGCCCAUUAGAUAAUGAAACUUAAUGCUUCUAAAUAUGAGCCAGAAAAGGGGGUCAGGAUGCAGAGUCAAAUAUUAAACUUAAAACCUUUACAGUUCAGUUUCGAAAUUAACAACUUAAAAUGUUGAAUUAACCCAUAAGGGCCACAACUUAUCUCAUGAACUAAAACUAUAAUUCGGGGUACCCAGAGGAAGUAGAGUUCAUGGGUAGAAAAAGAGAGAAUGAGACUCUUCCAUAUCCCCUGUGUAUCAAUGAGACUCCCUUUAGUGGGGACCCCUCUCUUUAGAAAGAGGUGUUGGCCUGUUGGGUGUUUGAACCUCAACUUUGUCCACACAUUCUCCUUAUUACAUAUUUGAUAGGUAAAAUACUAAUUUCAUGAACGUGUGUGGAGGAAAUGGGAGAGAUAGUUCAGUUUGUCAUGAAAUUCUAUUUGAUAGCAUUUGGAGAAGAAUGAGUCGAUGGUAACAAAGUGGGGUUUUUGGUUACUGAAACAAAUUCAUAUCAUAUGAUAAAAAAUGAAAGAGGGUGGCCUCAUAGGGUGAGAAAAGGCCAAAAAGAAAUAGCGUGAAUGCAGACUUCAUUCAUCUUUCAUCUGUAAAUGGGUGGCUUAUAAUUAGAGAGUCAUUAAACUUAGGCAGAGAGCCACAAAGCUGUUAUGAAAGCAACAUCAGCAAGACCACAGAGACAGAGACAGAGAGAGAUGAUGACAAAUUGCAUUGAUAGAGUCUCUGUCACACACACACAAGAUACACCCAGAAUUUCAGUGGAUAUUAAUCAUCUUGGAUCACGAGCUUGAUUGGUGACUUUCACGUUUUUAACAGACAUCGGUCAGAGCCUCCCUGCCAUUGUCCUUUUUCUAGGAUUGCAGCUCUGCAUGCCCUCCAUGUACUGUACCUAACCCUCUUAUCUCCCUCUCUCUACUUUCCCACCCUUCGUCUUCUUCUUUCUUCCUCUUCCUCUCUUUUUCUCCUUUUUUUUUCCUUUUUUUUUGUCAACUUUGUCAUUCACCUUUACAAUCACCUUCAUCUCUUAAAUUCCUACUAAAAUUUCAACUCAAAUUCAUGCUAUGAGCUGGGCAAGAUAUAAAAAAAGGACGAAAAAAAAUGUCCACUAAAAUUUAAGUGCAUAGAUGAAUGUGAAAACUUCGAACAGAUAGUCCUAUUCCAUUUGUUUCAUGGAUGGCGACACUUGAGCCACAAAUAAGGCUCUUCAUAAACAAUUUUUUUUUCAGUUUUUCAGGUUUAUAAUUUUUUCAUAUGUCACAUUCAAUGGUGGGUCUUCAGGCCCACUGCUUCUACUCAAGCAAUUCUAGUAUGAACCCAUUGCUAUAUUGAUGGCAACACAUAGCUAAACCCCACACAAUUAUUUCUUGAAUUUUCCAUAUAUUACUUGAAUUCUUCUCAAUUAGUAGUAUUGUUUUCUCUAAAUAAAAUAUUCAUCAUUCUCUACACAUAACACAUUGGUUCUUCUGCAGAUGGGUAUAUAGUAUAUUCAUAUACCAAUAUUUAAAAAAUUGUCCUAAAUUGACUGAUUGAAUUAUGUUGAUAGAUAGAAUCUUUUUCCAUUUUAAAUAAAGUUUCUAUCUUGUUUAAAUGUCAAUCUAAUCAUGAUUUGGCUUUCUCCUUAAGUGAGAACAAGAAAAGUUUGUUUUGAGCAUACUCAAUGCAACUAUUAAAGUGAGUCAUCAAGAAGCAUACAUCAAAUUCCAUUUAGGGAAUUACUAUCGUCAUUUCAUCAUCACAUAUCUUUAGAAUCGUCUGAAGGAACAUACUAUCUUAAACCCAUGAGAUAUCAUAGUGUCUGUAUUAAGAAUAUCUAUUGCCACCUACGUUGAUCAACAAUAACCCAAUUCAUAGAGAAUAUGUGACCACCUUGAUCAAUACAUAUUAUCUCUUCUUCGAAUUUCUCAUCGUUUAUAUUUUUCCAUUUCAAUACUUUCUAGUAAAAAAUAAAAAUUAUAUACAAGUAUGGAUGCAUCAACACUUUUUCAGUAGUUUAAUAAAUGUAACUCACAUGCAAAUAAAUUAACACCUCCCAACCAAAAUUUAUAAGAACAUUCAACUACUUAAAACACAUUUCCAAUUAUUCAAUAAUAUCAUAAUCAAUCCAAAAAUAUUAUCUAAGAUUUCCAAAGAAUAUUUGAACACAUAUCAAUUCAUUUUUUUCAACCAUCCAACAUGUAAGUAAUAAUGUGAAAUUAAGAUUAAUACACAUGGACAUAAAUAAAUUAGAAGAAAGAGAGAGAAAUAGACAAUAACACCCGGUUUUAACGUCAAAAAUCUCCUAAGAGAUAAAAAAUCAUGAACCUAUAAAUUAUCAAAUGCAUCUACUAUGAAAAGCAAGGACUUACCUAACUCAAGUCCACCAAUUUUUCAUAGGUUAUUUGACCAACACCUUUUCAUAUGAGCUACAUGUCUUCUUUGUAAGUAUGCUUGGAGUCCACACCACACCAAACUUGAUCUUAGCCUAUUCUUGAAGCUCAAUUAAGAAGAAAAAUGAGUUUUCACCUAAACCCAAACCAUUAAGAACACAAAAAAUGAAUGAAAGAAAUGAAUUAUCCCAUUUUUUAAGAAAAUCUAAUCCAAAUAUUGAUUUGGAAAUCAAAGUAUAGGAAAUUUCUAGAAAACUAAACAAUCCUAGUUUCGAUUGAAAAGAGAGCUCAAAGGGACUAAGAGAGAUAACUGCUGGUGAUAUUCAACCCUAAAAUAGAAAGUUUUGGCUUAAAUAAUGAUCGAAAAAUUAUCCAAGAGUACAUGGAUUGAUCCUACACAAAUCUAGAUACAUGUUGGAAUAAGAUACAAAAAUACUUAAUAAAAACACUAUUGCCCUAGUCUCCCCAAGCUUCUUAAAAAGAAAAAAUAAUCAAUAAUUUGAAAAACUCGAUUAAUUUGAUUUUAUCUUUAAUCUAUAAGCGCUUUGAAUGUUUUAAAGUUUUCCAUUAGACAAGUAGUUUAAGGGAGAAUUUCGAAGAUUCGAGUUAAGAGACAAUUAAGAAUUUUAUCCGAAAUUGUUAACCUAGUUAAAACACUCAUAGGUUUAUUUAAUCCAUUAAAAUAAUAAAAAAAUAUUCAUAUAUCUAGAAAACCCUAUUACACUAUAAAUUUAUUUAUUGCAUGGCAUCCCACUUAUCUAGAAACAAAAUCAAGGUUCGCCUAUACACCAUAUUAAUUGUAGCAAGGUACUUUGAUUUUAUAUUGUAGCCCUAAUUUUUCUAAGAAAUGGAGUUGGAAAUUUUCUUCUAAUUAAAGUUUCAUCAAUCAAACUUAUUCUCAAAUCAACACAACACUUUCACUUAACAUUAUUUCAAUUAACCUUUCAUUUAGGUUGAAUACAAGGGAUGAAAUCCAGUUCCUCUCACUUUCUUAGUUGUUAAAAGAAAAUGAAAUGUUGAGAUUGUAUGUGUAUUUCUCAUGGUUUUAAAAACCGAAUUGGAUCGGUCGGUCAAGAUUCUGGUUCGGUCCAACUAAUUUGAUCGGAAAGUAAUUAAACUGGUUGAAUCGACGAUCUGAUUGGCGAACCAAACAAACCGAUAGGUUCUUUUUGAACCAUUCAAUUCAACAUUUUUUUAUUUUUAUUUUUAUUUUUUUUCCAGCAUCAAAACGACGUUGUUUUGAUAUGUAUAAAAGAUCAUUUUCCUUCCUCCCCUCUCCUCCUCCUCUCUCCCCAAAAACGUUGCAAAGCCCCAUUACUGGCCAUUGGAGUGUCGUCUCAUUGGCAACACUCCCCCCCCCCCCCCCCCCCCUACCCCAAAACACAGUACCCCUUGUGUGCUCGCGUCGACACCUGCUCACCUUCCAUUUUUGUUUUUUAAAUUUAAAUUUUUUGUGUUUUAUAUUUAAUAUCUUAACAUUCAAUUUCUUAAUUUUUUGUUGAUUAUAAUUGUAAUGAUAUAUUUAAUAUUUAUUUAUGUUUUAUUUGUUACACAUUAAAAUUUUAAUUUAUUAAAAUUAUUGAAAAUAUUGGGUUGAUUGAUAUCUAUAGAUAAAAAAUUUUGUGAAAAAACCCAAUAAACAAAGUAUAUAUUAUCAAAAUUUAGAUAGAAUUUAUUAUUUUUUAAAAUUUUAAUAAUAAAAUAUAUAUUUCUGACAUCACUUGACCGCGGUUCGACCAGUAAACUGUGAAAUUGUAACUUUUUCGAUUUAAUAACCGAUCAAAUUCUAAAAACGUUAAUAUUUUAUUGAAGAAAUUCACCCUUAGAUACAAAUUAAAUAUAUAGUAUAAUUUUGGGCUAAGAACAAGAGAUAAACUCCUCAACUCCAUUUCGCUUAACAAUUUUAUAUAGAGCAGAAAAGAAAUUUUAGGAAAAAACAAACAAACAAUCUGAAAUUCCUCCUCAAUGUCUUAAAAAGGGUACAUUGCAUUGAAUCAGUAUCAUCAACUGCUUUUCUCUUUCUGAAAUUUGGUGCAGAGACUGAUACGGAUUGAGGAAGUUGAGAAUCACUGUGGGAAGCUGAAGCUGAUUGAGGUGAGGAGUUGUAGAGGUUGGUAAUAUCAGCAAGAGGCUUCCUGAAUCUUCUCCUGAUAGUUUUGGUGGAGAAUGGGGUGGUUUGCCCUGAAGAGAAAGGAGGGAUGUUCUCUUUGUUUUUGCAUUCACAAAGAGCCAUGGCCACUGUUUCUGAUGUUUGGAGGAGAGAUGAUGAAGUGGGGGUGGAGGGGAUUGAGGUAUUUGUAAAUGGCCAAAUGCAAUGCAAUGGGCUGUAUUUUGGAGGGAUGAUUUGAAGGUUCUCCUAAAUUGAGUUCUUCCACUUGGGUUUGGUCUGGAGAGGGACAAGUAUUUUCAUUGGUGCUUGGAUCUUGGUUUGAAUUUUGGGUUGUAGGUCAAAUUUUCAUUGGUGAGAGGGGCAAGAGGGAAGUUUUGAAUUUUCCCACUUCACAGCCAUUUGAAUUUGGGGUUUUGACUUUUGACUGUGUCCAUAUGAAAAAAAAUAAAAAAUUGGGCGCCAGUGGAGGGAGCCAAAACAUGUUAAAACUUGUUCAUUUGGCUGAACAAUUCCCCAGCUGUCCCACAUCGAAAAACAAUAUGAAAAAUGAAGUGUUUAAAUUGGCUUCAGUUUAGUUCACUGAAACGCCGGGCCAGGUAACGUGGGCUUGUGACUCAAGUGAGGGCAUGACUGUGGUUGAAGAUUGGCUUGGUUGGAGAGGUAGGGUUCGCUGGGUUUUGAGAUUCUGGCUUGCCCGUUCCAAGUGGGGAGUUUGAACCUUGUGUCCCAACCGAAGGGUUGGGGAACGUGGUUCCUAGAGUGGAGGGCACCGCGUGAGGCUGGGCUCACAGAGCAGCGUUCACCUCCCGCUCCCCUCGGUGGAAGGACAACGAGCCGGUACUCCACGGGCCCAACGAUACCUCCUCAGCCGCUCUCAACCCGACAACCACUUUUUACCUCUUUUGUUUUUCUUCAUUCCAGCCAGUGGGUCAUGGGUAAAUGGGGGCCAAAAUCAGUGACUGGGUUUAGUUUCUGAAAAUAGUUGGUGAGCCAUUUGAUUUGCACCCAGAAUAUCCUAUAGAUUUUUUGGAUAUAUUCAUCAAUGUCAUGACACCUUCUUCAGAUUAAAAUUGCAUGUAAAUUUACCAGUCCAUUCGACUUCUGUGGGGCAUGCAAAUGCCCUGUUAAUUCCAUGGAACUCUUCUCAGUAACAAGAGAUAAUUCUAGUCCACUUCAUGCCUACCAACUCUUGUUCAUCUACUCUUCAUUCAUUCAUGCAACUAAUGAGUUGAAGAAAUUUUUUUGUGGGGUUUGAAGUGCAUCCAGAGAAGCUUUGUCAGAUCAAAAUAAGGAAUUGCAGGAAGCAAACCUCUUGGAACAUGUUAUUCCUACAAAGAUGGAUUUUUCUCAGGUUUCAUGUGCAUGAGUUCCCCUCUUGCUUAAUCUUUGAUGGUGAGAUUGGAUCUCAAAGUGCAUUUCAAAGUGUGGGAAUAUUUGAAUUUAAAAUGUUUGUUUGGAAUGUGCUGAUAGAUUGAAGGGGUUAUUUGGAAUCCACAAGGGAACAAAAUCAUCCUUUAUACUUGGACCCUUCUAGGUUUUGAAGAUGAAUCAACUUUCUGCCAUCCUUCUGGUGGCCCAACUUCUAUUAUGAUUCCUGUUUUGUUGCGUUUGGAUUUGAGGCUUUAAAUGUUAUCAAAAGCAAAGUGACCAUUUGGCUUGUAUCCCUAAGUUUCUAACUAAGUUGGGGAUGUGGCAGUUCUCUUGCUGAUUCAUCUUCUGGGGCCUGUCAAUGUGUAAAGGGAUGUUUGGUAAGUCUUGUAUAUGUGACAUGUUUGUUGAUUUGAUCUCUGUUCUAUUGAAGGUAAGGUCUUUUCUGGAGCAUGAAGAAGCAGCUACAGAUGUCCUGACGGAAGCUUACACCCUUGUACCCUUGGGAAGCAAAUGUUCUCUAUCAGGUUAUAUCAAACUCAUUAAACCUGUUAUCCAUUUUCCUUUAGAAGGAAUUUACCAAUUUUCAGUGUUGGUAACUUCUUCACCCUUUUAAUGAUUCCCAUUGAACUGCUUCUUCUUUUAAAGCUAAUUUUGGUUGCAAUUCUGUGCUUAGUAUUUGGAACAGCCUCCUUGAGAGCUCUUCAUUUAGUUGAAGGCUUCCCUUUGUGGUAUUGCUGCUUUGUUUCAUUCAGAAUAUGGUUUAUCUGUUUUAUGGAGAAGAUUUUCCAGCAUUACCAUUUGCACUUUGCUAAAAGAAUACCAUUCAACCAUUGUUGAACUGAAACUAUCCAGAAAUUAGGAAUUGGUCAUUUUUAUAAACCCCGAAACAACAGUUCUCUGAAGUAGGUGCAAAGAAAAAAAAAGAAAAGCCAACACAAUUAAAAUGCUCUCUUAAAGAGGAAAACAACAUAACAUGUUCCAGGAUGUGAUAAAAAUGACAAGCUAAAAUUCCCAUUUCAAUGUUGAUUUCCAACACCUCAAAAAUAGAUCCAUGCUUGAAAGUUGCAGCAUGUUGCCCUAAGCUAAAAUUCCCAUUUCAAUGUUGACUUCCAACACCUCAAAAAUAGAUCCAUGCUUGAAAGUUGCAGCAUGUUGCCCUAAGCUAAAAUUCCCAUUUCAAUGUUGACUUCCAACACCUUAAAAAUAGAUCCAUGCUUGAAAGUUGCAGCAUGUUGCCCUAAGCUAACAUUCCCAUUUCAAUGUUGAUUUCCAACACCUCAAAAAUAGAUCCAUGCUUGAAAGUUUCAGCAUGUUGCCCUAAGCUAAAAUUCCCGUUUCAAUGAUGAUUUCCAACACCUCAAAAAUAGAUCCAUGCUUGAAAGUUGCAGAGUGUUGCCCUAAGCUAAAAUUCCCAUUUCAAUGAUGAUUUCCAACACCUCAAAAAUAGAUCCAUGCUUGACAGUUGCAGCAUGUUGCCCUAGGAAAUAGAGUAGCAAGGAGGCACACUUGGAAUUUAUAUGAAAUAUGUUUACAUAAAUUAAGGACAGAGGAUAAGAAACCUUUCGGUUUUUGAAUUUUGUUGAUUAAAUCCCUACACAAAAUCCAUUAGAUUGACAUAAGGACCUGCUUAUUCGGUUACUAGAUUUAUAUCUUGGUACCCGUAUGGUCGGUUAUCACUGCCUAAGAAAGCUUGCCCUGAACUUCUAUACUUGAUCUUGUCACCUAAGCUCAUAGAAAAUUGGCUGAAUCUUUGACAUCUUAUAGAAGCUAUGCUGGGAAUUGGCUGAAUCUAUGACAUCUUAUAGAAGCUAUGCUGGUAAAUUCAAUCUUUGCCUUUUCCUCUUUAGACAUGCUCCUUGUAAGUGUCCCUAGACAUAAACAGGGUUAAACUGAAUGGCCCUGGUUCAAGAGUUGAAAGGUUCAACUGCCAGGCCUAUAAUAAAAAUCAAGAGAAAAAAGGUAAAUAAAUGAAUAACGACAACUGAAAAACAUAAAAGUAAAAGAAACUCUUAAAAAAACUCUUGGUUUUUAAUUGCCAUCACAACCUAUUUAUUAAGUAGGUUGACCUGAAUAUAUUCCAACCAGUUACCAAAUUCAAGUGCCCGCUGUACAUAUCAUGCAGUUGAGAGGGUAACGACAUGUUUAGCUUGUUAUCUAUGCAAUAUAAACUGUAUCACUAUCCAUAAUGGUAAAUAAAAGUGAGUUUUAAAAAAGUGCAAAAACAUUGGAUCUAGUGGUGCAACUUGUUGUGUUAAAAGCUACAGCCAGUAUGUAUUCAAGUCCAAUUUAUGUCUGCUAGCUAUUGUUUAAUGCAUAGUGGCAGAUACAGCUCAAAAAGGAUGAGGACAGAAGGAGAAAGAGAAAGAAAGCAAGUUAUGAAUGGAAUGACUUUCCUUGAAUUGCUUUCAUGAUUCCUAACUUUCACUAUCAAAAUCAAAAUAAAAGAAUAUAUAAGCAAUCAAAAUGAGGGGAUUGGCUAAGCAAUGACCUCAUUUGAGGUAGGACAGAAAUCCGCUAUCUCCCAGCAAGCCGGGACAUCAUGAGUUGCACGCCUACCGCCCAGCACGUCAGCACUCCUAGGGAUUAUUUGCUCCAGAAAUUUAAACUUGUAGGAAUAAGUCAAUGCUAUAUGUAGCUUUGCUGAUCUCAAAAUCUCUAGUAAUCUCUUUUCUGAUAAUAUGAUUUUGGUGUAAUUGCUUUUCCUCAUACCUUUCACUGUGAAAAACUGUUGCUUGUUCCAAAUUCUCACUGCCCACCCCCCAUUUCCCCUUCCUUAAAGGAGAGGCUUGUGUAGCUUCGCUUGGUUGUGAAAAGAACUAGAGAAUGUUUGAAAGUUGAUCUACAAAAUAGAAAAGGAGCAUACCAUCAUUAUCAUGGCUGAAGGUCUAGGACGUGGACACCCCCUCUUGCUCAACUUGCUAGGUCACAGUCACCAAUGAGGAAAGUACUGGAUCCACUAUUAACAUGAUUGUGACGAUCUCCACCCCUCAGGGCCAUAAGAUUUGUUACAGCACCUUCAUGGUUUUACUUGGGCUCUUAGCUUUGGGAACAUUAUGUUUCACCCAAGUGUUAUUAGUCCAUUCAGUGCCAUUCAUUUUCUUGGUGCAAUAAAUACUUUCCAAUGUAGACUUUUUUUGUCUGCAAAAGGGUGUAAGAACUAAGAACCCUAAGUGUAUGGCUUUAGAGCCAUCCAAUCAGUUCCAUUAACACCCCUAAAGAGUCUUGAACUCUCAAGUAGUAGUCAUCCUUCUCAGUUACCAUUGCCCUUUGAUUGCCAAAACUGAAACCACUGAUUUGCACUGGCUUCCCAAAUUGGUAGAACAUUUUAGUGAAAGCCAUUGUUCCAUUAAGUUGCUUCAAACCUCAACCGUUCUUUAAUAGGUAGGAUGGGUGCAUGUUGGGCUAAAGUCGUCUCCAUGAUCUCAACAGCUACCUCCAAUGAAUGUCACAACCAGAUCUUGAUGUGAGCAAAGGGCAAUGUGCUCUCUGAGUGUCAACCAUAUUUUUCAUUGAAAUCUCUUAGAAAAAAUAACCACUAGAAACUCUCUCAACAUCAACAACCAAAGGUGAUUUUCUUCUUCUAUUCCCUCUUAGAACUAGAUGUGUGCUAUGUGCAGAUGUGGGGCAGUGACACUGCUGCGAGUGGGACAUUAUUUGAUUGAUUGUGCAUCCAUGUGUAAUCAAUUAGUAGGCCGUACAACAGUGCAUCAAUGGUGACCACGACAACAUGUGCAUUGUCGAAUUGCUUGGACUACUUGAUCAAGAUUCCUAAUCAAAACUAGAUCAACAGGUCUCAAAACUUCUCUUUUGUGUAAAGAGAACUUUGGAUUGAUCUUAAAACUGUGUGGACUGCAAUGGUUUGCCUUAGGGUUAGAUGUUUUCUUUCUUUUUCUUCUGUCCCCUAUUGCAGCCAAGUGGAGCAUGUGAAUGAAGGGAAAAGUGAGAAAAGGAGGUGUAAGUAAAAGCCAAAAACUCCAAAGUUGUAUAUGAAAAGUUGCUUGAUUCCAUUUUGUUGAAUUAGACUGUUCAAAACGUUGGGAUAGAGCUGUCAAAACAAACUCUCUUUCAUUUCAUUUCAUUUGCAUUUAUUCUAACUGUAAAGUUACGCAUGACCCAGAUGUGCCAUCAAUUGUUAAGCAAGUUACAGGUUUUUCCUUUUUGUUUCUUAAAUGAAUACACAGAGUGGUUGCCAUAUGUCAAUGCCCUGGUCUACUCCAAUAUAGAAGCAGAGUCAUUUGAAGAAUUGUUGGGGGGCCAACUCCUAAUGAGACUGUUUUAGAAGUGGGUGAUUCUAGUCAUUCAAAUGCUAUAAAUUGUGGACAACCUCUUAAGAGUAUUGCCCAUUAGAUAAUGAAACUUAAUCCCUUCUAAAUAUGAACCAGGAAAGGGGACCAGGAUGCCAAGUCAAAUAUUAAACUUAAACCUUUUUAGUUUAAUGAGGCACUAAUUUUAAUUAGGAACCAUGAAAAGGGGUCAAAAACAAAGUCAAUUAGAUAAAAAUUUAAAUCUGAUACUUAACUAACUAGGAGUGUGUAUUGUUGGCUAAUUUUCCAACAACUUAAACUUUUGAAGUAACCCAUAACUUAAGACAAGCUAUCUCAUGAUCCAAAACUAUAAUUAGGGUUACCCAGAGGAAGUAGAGAUUUGAAUAUAAUUUUUGAGGUGUAGGUAGAAACAGAGAAUGAAGCUCUUUCAUAUCCCUUGGGUAUCAAUGAGCCACCUCUUUAGUGGGGACCCUUGCCUUUAGAAAGAAGUGUUGGUUGUUUGAACCUCAACUUUGUCCACAUAUUCUCCUUAUUAGAUAUGUGAUAGCUUGAUAGGAAAUACAAAUCCCAUGAAAAUAUGCAGGGGAAGUGGGUUUUCUGGUUACUGAGGUAAGUUCAUAUCAUGUGAUACAGAAUGAAAGAUGGUGGCCCCAUAGCGGUGAAAAAAGGCUAAAUAGAAAUAGUGUGAAUGCGGCCUUCAUUCAUGUUUCAUCUGUAGAUGGGUGGCUUAUAAUUAGAGAGUCAUAAACAUAGGCAGAGAGCCACAAAGCUGUUAUGAAAGCAACAUCAGCAAAACCAGAGAGAGAGAGAGAUGAUGAUAAAUCGCAUUGAUAGAGUCUCUGUCACACACACACAAGAUACACCCAGAAUUUCAGUGGAUAUUGAUCAUCUUGGAUCACGAGCUUGAUUGGAGACUUUCACGUUUUUCACAGACAUCGCUCAGAGCCUCCCUGCUAUUGUCCUUUUUCUAGGAUUGCAGCUCUGCAUGCCCUCCAUGUACUGUACCUCACCCUCUUAUCUUCCUCUCUCUACUUUCCCAUCCCCGCCUUCUUUCUUCCUCUUCCUCUCUUUUUCUUUUUCUUUCUUCCCUGUUGCUUUGUCAACUUUGUCAUUUCCCAUUACAAUCAUCUUCUAUCUCUUCAAUGCCCAUCAAAAUUUCAACCCAAAAUCAUGCUAUGCUCUGGGCAAGAUACCAAAAAAAAAAAAAAAAAAAUUUAAGCGCAUAGAUGAAUGUGAAAACUUUGAACAUACAACAUGAUGAUUCACCAUCAUCUUAUUCCAUUUGUUUCAUGGAUGGUACAAAUAAGGCACUGCACAAACAAUUUUCAGUUUUUUAGGCUUAUAAUUUUCUGAUAUGUCGCAAUCAAUGGUGGGUCUUGAGACCCCAGUGCUUCCAUUGCCACAUGUUGUAGAUAUUUCUGGAUCAAAUCCACAGUCAACUCAUAUUUCAUGAUCAAGGACACUGGAGACUAAUUAUGAUAUAAACGCUUUUAUCCCAUCAUAUUUUAAUGGGUAAUACUUCCACCAUAAUUGAUUUUGUGGAAUAUUAAUGCCUGUUUGAUAAAGAGAAAUACUUACCCAAGUUGAGUGAAAUUAACAAAUGUGGAAGAAAAAGGUUCAAAUCAUGGCAUCUAAUGGGCUGUACUAGGCCUAAUAUACAAUAAUACAACUAGGUGAGGGCAUUGAAUGGUGGAGAUGUCCAAAUUAAAUGGGGACCCUAAAGGGGAACCAUGCCACCUUUCUUAACCCAUAAAGGAAAGCAUUUUCAUUUAAUUGCCCACAGCCUUAAAUUGCUCUGUGUAAUGGAAUUAAAAACAGUUUUGAAGGAUUGUGUCAGUGAUGAAUAAAAUAAAAUAAAAUAAUUCAAAAGGAAUAUAUGAAAUUCCCGUUUUUUCACAAUCAUAAAAAAAUCUAAACUGUAAAAAAAGGAUAUAAAAGAUGAGACCAAGUUAGAAGAAACGGGAUUAAGAUACAAAGUAAUGAAAUCUAAAUACAUAUAUGAUGAGAUUUUAUUGAUUGUACGUUUUUGCCUUGCAUCUUUUUGAUACUAUAAGUUAAAAAUUUUGCUUUUAAAAAGCGUUUUUGUUAAUUAAAUGUUUGUACAAAAAGAAAAGAAAAAAAAAUAAAUUAGAAUUUGAUUAAGCACAUGAAAUUUGCCCCAUCAAAAUAAAUUCUAAACAAAUGCUAUAAUAUUGGGCAAUAAAAUAAAGAAAUUUGGACUUUUGGUUACUCAAAUUUGCUUGAUUCAAUCCUAAUAACAAAUUAUGAUUAAGCAAUUCUAGUAUGAACCAUUGCUAUAUUGAUGGGAACAUAUUCCUAUGCCCUACAUGAUAAUUUCUUAAAAUUUCCAUCUAUUAAUUGAAUUCUUCUAAAGUAGUAGUAUCAUUUUCUCUAAAUAAAAUACUUAUUCUUGUCCAUAGACGAUGCAUAUUUUUAGAUAUGGAUAUAUAACAUAUGUAUAUUCUAUAAUAAUAAUAUUUUAAAAAUUGUUUUAAAUGGUCAAUCUUUUUUCAAAUUUAAAUAAAAACACCAUCUUGUUUAAAUGUCAAUCUAAUUAGGGAUCACAGUUCAUUCAGAUACAAAUUAUGUCGUUCUGCUAUUAAUUUUAAUUUCAACUAAAAAAUUGAUACCCUAAAUUUUUUUUAUUUAAAAGAUAAAAAUGGUUGCAUAUUUAGUUAAUUUUGUAAUUGAAAUUGUGAUAAUCUAAAAUAAUUUUAAAAAAUAAGAAGUGCCUUCACUUUUAAAAAUAAUAAAAAAAUUUAUAUUCUACAACUCUCAUUUUUAAAAAUUUUUAAAUAUCCAUUUAAGUAUAUGAUUGUCUCAUUCUUAACUUUUGGAUUAGAUAGCUUGUUCAAAUUACAUUAAAUUCAAAUAUUAUGAAAACACAAUAAUUCCACCCCAUCACAUGGGAAAAUUGAGGGCACCAUGCCCACUUGCCCAAUUAUCUUAGAUAUAAAUAUAUUAUCCUUUUCCUUUUUCUUCUUUUUGUGUGGAAAAUUUUAUUUUUUAAUAUUUUUUAUUUUUAUUAUUUUUAUUUUUUUGGUUUUGUCUUAACUUGCAUGCUUUUGUGGCUUUAAAUAUUAAUUCACUUUCUCCCUUUAGCACAAUCUGUGGGUACGGUUGAAAAACCUCCAUGAGCAGCCUUGCACUUUUCCAUCCAAAAAUCAGAGCAAUAUUUAAUUCAUAUUAAAAAAUGCUUCUUGUCAUGGAGUUUUCUUGGGGAUUUGUCACAAUUUUUUUAUUUUUUUUGCCAGAUGUCAGAAGGGGAAGAGAUGGACGGCGCACGAUGACAGAGUAGGGGUUUGAAUUAAAAAAAUGUAUGAAUGAGAGGGAGAGAGCACUCCCUUUCACUAGGAAUUGUCAUCAAUAUUUCAAUCAUAUAUAGGCAAGUAGUCCCCAAAAGGCAUAUUUAUAUAUACUAUACUUUAUUUUUUUCUUUGGAGUAAUCAAUUUGGCGAGUGGUACACCAUGCUGCCUCUUUGGAGGCAAGGUGGAAAGCUUCCAAGUCCUGCCAAACCAAAAGUUAACAAUUACAAAGUUGAUCAUUUUAACCAUUAUUUUUUCUAGUGUACCUUUAGCAGGGGAAUAAAAAUUGGUCAAAAUAAAGGGAAAUAUGCAAAGAAAGAGGUGGGAAUUUUUGUACCUUUCUUUAUGGAAGAAUUUUGAAUGUCCAAAGUAGUGGAAUUUCAAAAAAAGAUUUUUCCCUCUUUUUAUCUUUUUGCCUUUUCUUCCCCAAAUAUGAUUUUGGGUUUUUCUUCUCUUAAGGGAAAUGUGGAAUAUAAUCGGGGAAGUCUUUUCGUGUUCAUCACUCCCAAAUUUUAAGGUGAUACUUAUUAUAAGAUUUUCAUAUUUUAUAAAACUUUUACGAUAUUAAUACUAUUACUUUUUAAUAAUUAUGAGUAAGAUGUCGACUUUAAGUACAAUUUUAAAAUAAAUGAAAAAGUCAAAAGUUAUCCAAACAUGCUCAAAAAUUUUUAAGGGUGAGACCCUCUAUUAUCAAGUCAAGUUGUUGGGUAUGAUUUGUCUAGGACAAGUGACAACCAAAGAAAUAUACAUGGUAAGACAACUUAGAUACCAUUCCAUUACAAUAAUCAAUGCCCAUUUGAACUCCUGAUCAUGUAUAAUGUUUAGAGGGUUUGACUCAUCUCAAGUAUCAUUACCAUAUAAAUUUGAUAUUGAAUUUAUAUUAUAUUAGUUUGUCUUCUAGUGAGUAUGGUUUAAUAAUGUAGUCAUACCCAAAAAAAAGCAUAUUAAAAUAGAGGCAUUCUAUCCAUUCAAAAUUUGUAACAGUUGAAAAAGCUUUCACUUCUUUGUGUACUCAUCUAAGAUGAGAAAUUUAAUGUAAAUCUUGAAAAGAAGAGAAAGGAAAAGGGGGUGUGAAGUGUGGGUUUGAAGGGAUGGUAAGAGUACAAAAUGCUGAUGGGGAUGCUGAGAAAGCUGGGUGUGGGGGGCUGGGGAGGAUGUUUGUACUUUCUUUUUGGUGAAACAAUAUUUCUCUUUUGUGAAACUAAAUAAGUACAGGGGGGGGGAGAAACCACGCAAGCUGUUAGGGGAUCAUUAUCAAUGCUUCUCAAGGAGUGGGUGGGAGAGAGGUGCCCAUUCAAUUCAAUUAUCGUAAUUCAUUACUAUUAUUUAUAUUGACAACUGAAGAUUUUUUUUUUUUCUUUUGAAUUUUUCAUCUCCUUUAUUUGGGGUUUUUGUGACUUGCUGUCUCAUUUGUGGGCAUGAGAAGGGGGGCUCAGAUAACAAAAAACACUUUUAAUCCUCUCUCUGACCCAACUCUGUCACCCAGAGCAGGAGCACCAACACAACAACAGCAGCCCACCUAGGCCAAGGUAGAAAAAUUUCCCCUUAUUUACCAUUCCUUCCACUUCUUCACCCUCGUCUUCCAACAUCAAAUCUCUUCAGACCAAAGGGGCAAAGCCCCCCUUCAGUGUUUUCCCCAAAACCUUUUGUGGUUAGUGCUUCAAGAUUUUCCAUUUUUUUUUUGUUUCCUGUUGUUCCAGUGAGUAUUAUCUUCAAAGUACUUGAGAAGUGUGAUUCUUGGUUCUUCCUGUAUUUGUUUGCCUUUUCUUUAUUAUUACUGUUGUUUGUUUUUGCUUCUUGUUUGGGCAGAUUUUUGUGCCUGCAUAGAGAAACCCACCAUCGUAGAGCAUUUAUUCUUGUCCGCUUAAGUGUAUGCAGAGAUAAAGAUAGAUGAGAUAGUAAAAAAAAAAAAAAAAAAGACAAAAAUUGCAUAGAAUAAUAAUGAUAAUAAUUUCUGGGUUUGUUUGUAUUUUCAGUCUGGGUUUUGGAUUUGGUGUUGUUAUUGGGUGAUGGAAUCUGGAGAGUUGAAUGUCAGGGUUUUUUGGGAUCAGCAGCAGCAACAACCGCAGGAGUAUCAGGUCUCAGAGUGGUGGGAGUUGCAGAUUAAGAUCAACAAGCAAUAACAGGAGAAGUGUAGGAAGCAAAGCAAACGGUGAAUAGAAUACUAAAGAGAAAAGCACUGUAACAAAUCAAAAAAGGUUUGGAAUAGGAAAAGCAGAAGAGUAGGAAUCUGGAUUUCCCAAGGAAUCAGCAGCACCCAAGGCCUUUCCAUCAAAGUAUAAACCAAACAGCACCUCUAGAGGCACAAGGACAAGUUCAAGCCACAUACAACGCCAAUCAACAUUUUCAACUACUUCAGCCCCAACAACAGCAUGGUGAAGCCAUAGACACUCACCAAACACCCCUGCCCAGCAGCAGACAACCUUUGGAGCAAAGCAUUGAAUAUGCUAAGCAUAGAAACAUCAUUGGAAUGAAGAGUGCUGGAGGGGGAGAGAUAGUGCAAGUCCAAGGAGGCCACAUUGUGCGGUCCACAGGGCGGAAAGACCGGCAUAGCAAGGUCUACACUGCAAAAGGUCCUAGGGACCGCAGGGUUCGUUUAUCAGCCCACACAGCCAUUCAAUUCUAUGAUGUGCAGGAUCGGCUGGGCUAUGACAGGCCCAGCAAAGCCGUAGAUUGGCUAAUCAAGAAGGCAAAAUCUUCCAUAGACAAGCUUGCUGAGCUACCACCAUGGCACCCCAUUGCCCUGGACCCCAAUGCCAGUGCUGGGACUAGCGACAUAGGCAUGGCUCAGCAGUCCCAGGAGUCCAAUUAUGUGUUCCCUCCAUUGGGUGGUGGGGGUGGGGUUGGUGGUGAAAACCCAAGCAAUGAUUCUGCCUUCAUUGCACCACCUCUGGACUCUGAUUCCAUUGCUGACACUAUGAAAUCUUUCUUUCCCACUAGUUCAGGGACUUCCUCAAUCAAUUAUCAGAACUACCCGCCUGAUAGCAACCAUCAUAAUGAAGAUCUUUGUCUAUCUCUUCAUUCUUUCCAAGACCCAGAUGCGGAGUCCAACCACAAGAACCUUUUUGCCAGUGCAGCACAAGUUGGGUAUGAGACUAAUUUCCAGAGAAUGGUGAGUUGGGGAGGAGGUGGUGGAGAUUCAGAGAGUCGCGGUGGAUUUGGGUUUAUGUUUAACUCACCUCCAAUGCCAAUGCCACAGCCACAGCCACCAACAUUGCUGAGCCAAGGCUCAGAAUUUUCACAGAGGGGACCCCUUCAGUCCAGUUUUGCUCCUGCUGUUCGUGCUUGGAAUGAGCUUCCUAUUGCUUCUGGGGCAAUGCAUCAAUCUUCACUCUCUGAUGGCAGGUUUGUGCCAAAUGGAGUCCCAGGUUUUCGAAUUCCAGCACGAAUUCAGGGUGAGGAGGAGCAUAGCGUGGUCUCAGAUAGGCCAUCCUCUUCCUCCCCCAACUCUCAUCACUGAAUACACUUUUUCAUCCAACAGGUAAUUUAACUUCUCACGAUGCACAUUUCCUAACUGAUUUGUUUUGAUGGAAAAUACUUCCAACCAGAAACAAUUUUCCAUCAAAAUAAAUGAGUCCUUGGAUACUAUUUCCCAUGGAAAUAAUCUACCCCUUCCUCUCAAUGUUCUUUCAGGAUUUUCUCUAGGCUUUCAUGGUGACCAAUGACCAAAUUCAAUGCGACCAAGAAGAUGAGCUUCAGUCAAUUCAUUGGUCUACCAAGGAAGAAGAUAUCUAGUUGAAUUCAAAAAGAAAAAUUUUGUAUUUAAUUAGAUUUCCUUGCUAGUUUCUUUUGAUGUUUUGCUCUACUUGUUUGCAUUGCUGCCUAAUAUCAGCGUUAAGACUUUGAAACAUGAUGCUCUGGCAAUUGCUCUGUUUUUAUAGUGUAGAAAACUGUCCUUGUUGCAUAUGCACUUUUUAGCAUAAAUCUAGUGGAAAAAUGACAGAUGUGUUGAUCAAUUUGGUGUUCUGAAGAGCUCAAUCUGAAUCAGAGAAACAGAGUCUGCCCCCAUUUUGAUUUCUCCUCCCAUGUGAUUGGAAGAAAUGUUCCAUUUGUCCCACAAAGGAAAAUGAAUAUGUUUCCACAAACCCUCCAAGUGGAGAUAUUGGAGGUGCUGCUGAAGUCUUUUUCCCUGAGCACUGCUGGAAGGUUGGUUUUAAUUUCUCUUCCAAAAUUCUAGACCCCUCUUUUAGAGUAGUUUUUCGCUUCUGUCAUAGAGUGAAAACUAUACUUUUUCCAUGAGCAUUCAUGUCAAUUUUUCUCCUUUUGUGCUGCUUAAUCUGAGUUAAUAGAACCAAUCUGAUGUACAAUGAAUAGCCUUUCUCUUCUACUAAUGACAAAACUGAAGAUCAUUGCAUCAUUUGCCAAUUGGGCAUCUGGUUUUUGAGUAGUUUGGGAAGAAGAUCUUCUAUUUGCAGUUGUCUUCCCAAGCGAUAGAAACUUGGUUUAACUGAAAAUCUCAAUUUUCAUCAAACAAAUUGCACCCCCUGCUUGUCUGCAGUUUCCAUUUCGCUUGUAUAGAUUGAGUAGAAAACCCUGCUCUCCUUGGAGGUGAAGCAACAUUAACAAGCACCCCAUCAAGGUCUGAACCCAGUUAGCUUUUACCAGAUCAUAGGCGACAUUUGCUAUAUCUAGAACCCAGUUGGUCCAGCAGUGCAAACCAUAGAAUUCAAUGGUAGUCUCCAACAAAAGUCAUGACAAAGAAUGAUAUCAACUGAUGGCUGAGAUAUUUCUCACAGCUAAAAAAGAGUGAGAUGAUGCUUAUGCAUAGCCAAAAUACUCAAAAUACUUCUGCCAUAUCCUUUCUGUAAGUUAAGGAUGGUCCUUUAGAACAUCAUAUAUAUCUAGAUAGAGAUGCAAGGAACGGUAUUAUGCCAUGGAUUUGUGAUCAGUUCUUGAAAUGUAGGCAUGGAUAACUAGACUGUUUGAACUAAUGGAAAGGUAAUGUUAGAUAUGCUAAGUGUUCUGGAUACAAUUUUGAGCCUAAAGAUACUAGGAAGACUCCAAAGAUACUAAUAUUCAUGAACAGAUGGAGCUGCUGAAACACUCAAAUACUCUCAAAAAAUCUAGCUAGAUAGAAAUUUCUCUUGAAUCUCCCACAUUACACUGACAAAAAGUAAUACAUAACAUAUGAUUUACCAAGCAAGAGGAAAGAGAAGAAAGAAACUUUAACAUGUUUGUUUACCCAGAAAAGCACAGGGAAACAUAAAUAGUUAACAUUAUCUAUGAAGCAGCUUCGAGGAAGAAUCGAUUUCCAAUGGCCAGUAGAUCAACUUCUAACAGUCAAUAAGAUAGACAUCUUUAAGAGUUAUUCUUUUUACAAUUCUUUCAAUCAUCACUACAAAUCAUCAUAUUACUUUGGAUCAAGUCGAUGUUUCUGAUAAAAUUCGUGAGUAAUUUUCUCAAGAAAAAAAUGAAUAAAUUUAAAAGGAAAAAGAUUGCUUCCAUCCAUAGCUGCAAGAAUUGGAAAAUCAUGUGCAUUAUGCAAUCUCUUUCAUCAGUGAUCCAUUUAGAAGAAGUCAAUGGAAAAUGAAGUGUAUUUUUUUUAUCAAAUUUUGAAAAUUGGUUUCGAAAGGGGAUGUAAAAGAAUGCUGUACAGUGGUCUCUUGUCACUAACCAAGAUACUGUUCUUAAUUGAGUGUGAUUCAAAGCACACUAUCAAAUCUACAAAGUCUAUAAAGGUUGAGGGAGAUUCAAAAGAUCCUAAUUAUAUUUCUUUCUUAAUUUCAACAAUAAAGUCAGCCAACAGGUGCAAUGAAAGGUUCAUAGAGUUUCAGACAGGUGUGAUCAAACUUCACUGUUGUAUAAUAAUAAAGUUUAAGUAUAUAUGUCGUGAUUAUGAUCAAGAAAUACCAAAGAAUGUAUCAUCACUACUUAUAGCGUUCGGGUUAUCAUCCUUUGGAAUGAACACACUUGGCUAUUUUUAUCUAAGACCUUUUCAGAUUUGGAACUUUGAUUCAAAGUUGGUUUCUAGAUUCCUAACAUGCAAACAAUACAUCAUGGAGCAUUCUGUUUAUUGUUAUUGGGAUGUAACCAUUGAUCUUGUAGAUUCUCUCUGAAUGCAAUCACAGUGGAUCAAACCAAGUUGGGCAAUGAAAAAGUUUUACACAGGCAUCAAAGGAACCCCAGUAAGCAUCCACUAUAUUUCAUCAAGGAUGAACUAUAUGGAGAACAUAAUUCUAAGUACUGUAAAACCUGAAACUAAUUAAAAAGAACCAUGAGAACAAGUUACCCCUCUCCAGCUACUCUUCAUUUGAAUCUUCCACCAUCCUUACUACUCAUCUAGAAACGAGACACUUGAGCACUCAUGGUUGAGAAAACACUCAAAAACCAUGAUGGGCCUUAACAAAAACCAAAAAAAAAAAACUGUACUUGUGCAUGAGUGGCUGCAUAUGAAAAAUCCUUAGUUUACUACGUAUAUAUGGGUACCUGUGCAAGUCCUGAUUGUAAGGCCAAAUUUGGUUUUUAGAUGUUGUGAAUCUUUUCCAAAUCUCCUUAUUUCAUUCUCAUAUCGUUUCCUGAAGGGAAGAUGGGGCUUAUUAGAGUUGAGUAUGCUAUUUCAUUCUCAACUCUAAUAGGCCACGUCUUUCCUUUAGGAAAUGAUAUGAGAACGAAAUGAGGAGAUUUGGCAAAGAUUCACAACAUUUGAAAAACAAAUUUGGCCUUGCGAUAAGAACUUGCAUGGGCACCCAUAUGUGAAGUUGUGUGUAUACUAGCUAGCUUUGCAAAUCAGAUUCACUUAAAUGUGUUCAUAUGGAUGAAAGGUUCACCUGAUAGUUUAAAGUAAGGAAUGGCAUGUGGAACCUUAGUUCCAUACAUGGUAUCGUGCACAUAGCGUAGUUGGGAGCCCUCUUGCUUAUAUAUGUAAUUGAUGAGAAAUCAAACUCAACACUUUAAUGACUUUAAAGAGCCUAUUUUAGCGUGUUUGAGAUGCUCAAAACUGACCUAAUGCUUGCUUUUGUUGUUAAUGCCUUAGUCCUUUGUAUUUGAUAAUUUUUGUGAGUAUUUGUAGGAUUUAAGUUGUUCUAAGAUGCAACAAAAGCUUUAUGGAGGGUUUUCAAAAAGUAAAAAUGUCUAAGGAGGAAAGAAAAGCAAAUUCUGCACCUUCUAGGUACACAAGGCCGAAUUGUGCACCUCUAAGGUGUGCUAAGUUGAAAUUCUUGAAGGCAUGGGAGUUUAGUAAAAGUUACAUGCGAUUUCAGUAAAAACUAUAUAAAUAUCUCUAAAGAAUAAUAAGAAGGGGGAGAAAAAUUAGCUCCAACAGGCAUGUCUCCACUAAAUUGAAAUAACCAAUUUUAGGUGUUCUUAAAUUGAAAAUUUUUAUUGAAGACAAUAACUUCCCUAAAUUUCAACUUUUGUGACGUUGAUUUAAUCCUUUGAAAUCCCUUCUGACUCUAUGGUUUCAAUCAUCCUCCAUUGGCUAUACUUAACUUCAAGUCUCUCUCUUAUCUCCUAUCUUUGCUUCCAUAAACCUCUUAUAAUCCUUGAUUCCUUGAAAAGAUGUCUAAAUUGAGUCUUUUAUCUCUCAUUUAAUCCACUUUUUACUUGAAUACAAAUAUUAGUUCCAAAAUGAGGAACAUAUAUUCAAGCUAAAGAGAAUCCACUAAAACUUAAAAGGAAUGAUAAAACCAUUAUUUUAGGUAUGAAAAUUAAUUAGUUUUGAGUGUUAAUCAAGGAGGACUAAGCUUAAAAUGCCUAGGAGUUGGAGAAAUAAACUACAUGAUCAAGCCAAAGCAUUAACGAUCGAUUGUUUAGUAAGAAAUGAUCAAUCAUGAAACAUAAAAUGAUUAACAUCCCUAUCUAAUUUGGAGAAAUGUUCACUAAAAAAAGGGGGAGAACUGAAGCUAAUACAAAGGAUGCUCAUGAGGAUGAUCAAUCAUUCUAGGAAACAUUGUCAUCAUUCUACUAGAACUAAGAAAGAGAGCAAUCAUCAUCUCAUGCCAAGCAUUCAAUUGUUUUCUCUAAUAGUCUAGAAAGAAUUCCUUUAAGGGGAGGAAAAUAUAGAUCUAAGGGAUUACAACAAUCACAAAGAUGAUUAAUCAUCCUCUAAUCUAAUCUAAUGAUCAUUUUGAAGAGAAACAAGUAAACAUCCGAGUGUGAUUUCCCCGAUUGUUACAAGUAAAAGGAAACAGUGAUUAAAGGAUGCUUAGGACAAUGAUUGAUUGUCUUUUCUAAUCUCAAUCCAAUCACUAGUGUAUCACUCUCUUAAAAUUGAGAACUCAUGCAACAUAAUAACUUAAGAUAAAUGUUUGCAUAAAUGAUGGAAACCUCACAAGGAUAAAUGGAGAAAGAAGCCAAAUGAAAAGAUAUAAGUUGUCAAUACCAAUACAAAUAGAAAUUGUGAUACCUAAAAUGAUGUAAAUUCGUUAACAAUCUACAUAAAGUUAUCUUUGUCACAUUGACAUAAAGCAAGUUUUGUGGGUUCAUAUUGAUUCAUUAAUUCGUUAACAUAUGGUAUCAAAGUUUGGUUGAAGUUUAUGAACCAAUACAAGGUGUCAAUAUUGGUAUAAAACGAAAAAGUGUUGCCUAAAAUGAUGCAUUUUCAUAAAUAAUCUACAUAAGAUUAUCUUUAUCACACUAACAUAAGAUGAGGUUUUUGGGUUUAUUUUGAUUCAUUAAACUAAGAAUAAAAGAUCUUAUUUCCUUGAUUUUCUAACAAAUGCUAAUUAAGUAUAUACUUAGUCAUUUCAUAAAAUAAAAUAAAAUAAAAAAAACUAGAAAACAUUUAAAUGAGCGCACAAAUACACACAUAGAUCAAUAUCUCAAUUCUUAUACCUCCAAACACCACACUAGAUGAAGUAAUAUAAUAGCCAUUAGUUUAAUUAAAAUAGUGAGUAAACAAAAAUAAUUAAGGUUAUGGUUCUCAAAAAAAUUUGAGGGAAAAUGUAAGGGGAAGAAAAUAAAGAGGAUAAAUAGAAGGAAACAAAAAAUGAAAUGAAAUAAAAAUAAAUUUAAAGUCAAUAAAUUAUUUUUAUAUUUACUUUAAACUUAUUUCAAAUUUUCAACAUAAAAAUUAAAUAAUUUAAAUAUAUAUAAAUUUAUAAUUAAUUUUAAUUUAAUUUUAUUUUAUUUUAAUAUUUUUCAUAGUACAACCAAAUAUAAGAAAUCAUUUUUCAUAGUAUUUUUUUUCUUUUAUACUUUUCAGGGACCAAAUACAACUAAGGAUGAAAAUACGAGUAAACAUGAAUAUGUCAAUAGUUGGGGAUUUCACGAUAUAUCAGAAAUAUUGGUGAAUAUUUUGAUAAAAAAUCAAUAUAUGGAAAUUAUUUAAAAGUCAUACAAAUGCUCAGAAAAACUUUAAAAAAUGAUAAAAUAAGCAAGAAUAUAUAUGUUAAAGUUAUUUUGUAAGUGUAAUUGGCAUAAGUAUGAUCAAAGAUAAUAUUUAUUAAGUUUUUUUAGAAAAAUUAUCUUAAAUUCCUUUAAUAUAUUUAUGUUUAUUUAUUUUAAAAAUUAAAAACUGCUUUUCUUAAAACAUAUUUUAUUACAUUUUAAAUAAAAAAUUAAAUGGAUUUAUAUAAAAUAUUUUAUUUGAGAUUUAAUUUCUAAAAUUUUAAUAGAAAUUUAUGGUGACAACUUUUUGUUAUUAACAUUAAUUUAUAUAAAUAAUUAAAAUUAUUAAAAAUUUAUCUUAUCAAAUUAAUUUUAGUUUAUAAAAUAUUAGAACUCCAAUAAGUUUUUAUAUUUUAGCAAAUUUUGAAUAAAUUUAUAUUUUUAAUAUUUUAAAAUAAAAUAUUUAAAAUUAAAAUGAUAAAAAAAAAAAAGUAAAGUGAUAAUAAUUUUUUAAAAUAGGAUUAAUGAGAGAAAUUUGAAAAAUAAUAAAAAAUAAAAGGAUAAUAUAAAAUAAAAGGGCAAUAAAAAAAGAAGAAGAUAAAUUUUAAAAAAAAUAAUAUUUAAAAAAACAUUGGAGGGGAUUUUUAAAAAAACAUGGAUAAAUAUUUUAAAAAACUAUCGAAGAUUUAUUUCCACUCAUGAUUUUUGAAUGAAUUAGAAAUAAAUCGCUGAUUUUUUUUUUUUACACAACCUAUUUUCCUUUGUCAAAUUUUUUGAAUGAAUUUGAAUGAAUUAGAUAUUUCGCUAAUAUUUCAACCAAAUAUCCCAAAAUUUUUAACCCUCGAUACAACCUAAAGUUGACAAUGAAACUCACAAUACGAGCUUUAAGUGAAAAUGAUAUAAUAUUCUUAACAAACAAAAGUUGCCCUAUUUGGAUGCCACCACAUACGCUUUGAAAAUUCACCAAGAUUUUAUCACUUUAUAAGUAAAAACUAAAAAAUAUUUUUAGCAAUCAUAUUUUUAAAAGAAAACUUUUAAUUGAAUUUCCUUUUUAAUUUUUUUAAUAGAAAAACACUUGUCAUUUUUUUUUUAAUAAAAUACUAUAUGAAAUUACUAUAUUACUCAUUCCUUUAACCUACAAUCUCUAAAUAUAAUGUCUUAAUUACUUAUCCUUUAUUUUAUUCACUUUAUUCAAUUUAUUCAAUUUAAUAACAAUAACUUAUCUACUUCAUUUAGUUUAAUUAGGUUUGGUUUAACAUUUGAGUCAAAACCAAAACACUUAUAAUAAAAUAUUCUAACUAAAAAGCUUAAAUAAUACCAUUAUAAUAAAUUGUUCUAUCAUAUAUUCUUUUAAAUCACAUUAUUUAACUCUUUUCGAAUUAUAUUAUUAUAAUCCUUCUAAAUAAAUAACUAUUUUUUUGCAACUCAUGAUAGUCCAAUAGUAAAAGAAAAAGUUAUGUAGUUAUGAUUUGGAUACCAUUAACUAUGAAAAAAAUAUGCAUUAAGUGAACAAUAUACCCAAUAAAUAUUGUAUAUUUUAAGUUUAUAUGUAUAAUUUUUCGUUUUUUUCAAUUUAUUAUCGAUUUUUAAAAUACAAAAUUAUGAAUUAAAAAGGCCUAAUUCAAUUAAUAUUUAGAAAAUUGAAAUUGUUAAAAAAAAAAAUUUAAAAUUGAUCGGUUCAAACACUUUAAUUCAUUUUAAUAUGUAAGCGAUUUUAUUGGUUUGACCGAGAGAACCUUCUUCAAAUUAAAGAAAAAUUUGUUUUUUUCUACCAUCAUAACACGAAGUCAUAAAGACAUUAAAUUUCUGUAUUCCUCAUCUUCAAAAUUCCAACUAAUUAUUUCUUUGACCUAAUGUAAGUUGAUUUUUUGAUAAUAUGUAUUACCUACUCUAAAACGAGUGCCACGUUGGCAAAAUAUAUGUAGAAAGAAAGAAAGAAAGAAAGAAGAAUUAGGCAUUUGGGUUGCGUUUAAUUUCUUCUUGUAGAAAUGUUUUUUUUCCUUGGCGUAGGUGAACUGUGGGAGUCUAAUGGUGUCAUGGCCUAGACAAAAAGGGCAAAAAGGGUAAAGAAUAAGCAUAAUAUAUAUAAUAUAUUAAUAUGUGCCAUUAUUCAAGUACAAAAGUCUUCAUUGUUGACUCCAAAACCCACACUAUUUUUUUUUUAAUUUUAUUUUCCUUAAGUCAAGUGGAAGACUUGUGGUUGUAGGCCACACCUACUAUCAACAUGUUUGAAAAACUUGCCCAUGGAAACUGCCUAGGCUUUGCUGGCCUCUUUCCCUUUUGUUUCUAUUUAAUUUUAUUAUUUUGAAUGGCAAUAAAAUGUAAUGGUCAAAUAUUUGGAAAUUAGUGAAUGAAUAAAUGUAUGAUUACGUUUUUGAUUUGGAUGUUUCAUCCUAUUUUCUUUUCUCCUUUUAAACUAUGACUCAAGGGAUAAGUGAUAUGUCACGAUUCACUUCCUUUAUGAUAAUAAUAAUAGAAGUAAAAAAAAUAAUAAUUUAAUUGAUUAAUAUAAUGAAUUCUUAUGUCAUUUGUUCAUAGGGUUACAUCGUGAAUUUUUUAUUUAAUAAAUUAUUUUUAUUAUUUUUGUGAACAUUUUUUUCCUUUACGUCUUUGAAAAAUGAAGAAUUCUAAAAUAUUUAAACUUUUGGUGAUAAGAAUCAACUAAAUACAAUUCUUAAACUUUAUUCUACCUUGGACUAAAUACUUUUGUCACAUGUAUAAAACUUAAAGUUGUGUUUGGUUGUUGAAAAAUAUUAAGAAAAAAAAAAUCUUUAUUUAUUUUUUUAUAUUUGAUUGUCUUAUGAAAAAUAUCAAAUAAAAUAUAAUUAAAACUAGUUAAAAACUUAUAUAUUUUUAAAUUAUUUAAUUUUUAUAUCGAUGAUUUAAAACAAAUUAAAUGAAUUUAACGUAACAAAUAAAAACAAUUUAUCAAAUUUUAAUCUAUAUUUUAUUUUUCUUCUACUUUUCUUUCUCUCUUGCAUUUUCCUUCGAAUUUUCCAUGAACCAAACGUAGUAAAAAUGAUUAAGGUUGGUAACAAAUUCUCAAACAUUUUGUUGUUUGAUUUUUUCUUUAAAAUAGAAAUUUAACUCAAAUGACAUGACCAAAAUUACCUUCCAUUUUGGUAUUCAUACCAACACAAGCCCCAGGAGUUAAUUCCUGAUUUGGUUAUGUUGGGGUGUUGUGUGAACAAGAAAAAUGAAGACUUGACGACCGGGCAAGAGAGACCAAGCAUGGAACAAUCUUCCAUGAAAACCCAAACAUCAACUUGUGUUUAAUACAUGCCCUUGCCAAAAAGUCUAUUGACCAUACGCUAAGUCAUUAAUGAAAUUAUUAUAUACCCUCCAGAAGAGGACUCCAUCUUUAAUUUUCCCAUCAUAAAUUAACUUUCAUUUCCUUUCCCCUUACAUCAUCAUCCUAAAUUUUCCUUUUCUUCCCUGUACUUUGCAUUAUACAAUUUUUCUCCUUUCAUUUUUUAAAAAUUAUUUAAGAGGACUUGGUCUUUGAAUGCAACAAAGAUGACCCACUGAUUGUAAGGAGUAAGGACUGCAACCCUUAAUUACUUGUAAAACCCUGGACUUGGGGAAAAAAAACUUUAUUUUAAAAAUUAAUUAACAUGGAAAAAAUGGGUGAGGAAGAAGGUAGAAAAAAAAGAUGGAAGUCAACAGUCAACCUGUUUGAAACAAGUUGCAGGCUGUUUGGCAAUUUUCAUCAAUUUCCCACCCAUUACAGCAAGGCUACAAGUCAGAUACACACAAGAGGAGGAAAAAAAAAAUGUAUAUAGAAUAUAAGAGAGUUGUUCCAUGACAUCCCAGUUAACCAGAGGGGCCAAACUCAAAGGCAUAGAGAAGCCAUGAGUUUCCCUUUUCCUCCUAUGCCAUACAGUACGCCGUUGAGCAGUGAUGAUGAUGAUGAUAAUGGUAGCUACACUACUUCUCACAAAAGCUCGUCUGAUCUAAACAGCAAGAUCAUGCUCACUGCAAUCGUUUCAUUAUCGGUGGUGAUCGCGCUUGUUAUCACACUUCACAUCUACGCUAGAUGUGUCCUGAGGCGGCGGGCGCGGCGGCGGUCGGCCUUGCUCAGCAUAACUCUCUCCCGAGUGCACUCCGAUGAGCCACCCAAGACCGGGCUGGAUCAAUCCGUUAUCGACUCUCUACCGAUGUUCAAGUUCAGCGAGAAUGAUACCCAGGAGGAGGGUGGGACGACCGACUGUGCGGUAUGCUUGAGUGUCCUAGAGGAAGGAGAGAUUGCCCGGCUUCUACCCAACUGCAAGCACACUUUCCAUGCAGAGUGCAUAGAUAAAUGGUUGGGCACACACUCAACGUGCCCCAUCUGCCGCACGGAGGCUGAGCCCCGCCUGCAGCCCGAGCCCCGUGAGGCUAUGGUCAUGAUCAGGACUGUUCCCCCCGCACCCGCGCCUCCUUCAGAUGGAACUAACUCAUCGUCCUUGGCAUGCUCGGAAGGGACAUCAGAGGGUGCGGCGCAAUGCUCGGCUAAGUCUGGUGCAUCGACUUCUCGGUUGAGUUCAUUCAGGAGGAUGCUUAGUAGGGGAUCAUCAAGGACAACUCAAUCCUGUGGUGCCCCAGAAGAUGGUAUAGAAGAUGUUGAGAGGCGAUGAUCAUCAUGGGGUAAAAUUAAACUUAAAAGCAUUUUGUUUGAUUAAACUACAUAUACAUGGAGUGAUUAUUUGAUUGGAUUCAGUACAUGUUCCAUAGAUGAAAAGCAUACAUGAUUAAUGGCCUUAAUCCCAAUCCAGAUGGGUUGGGGGUGAUGGGUAUGAGUUUAGCUUGUGAGACAAGUUUUGUAUAUUUUUCAAACUUCAAUUAAUAGAUCAUGUAUUAUGUAUUGUUAUUGUUAUUAUUAUUUAAAUACAAUAUUUAUUGGUCUGAAGGGUGACUUGGUAAAACUAUGGCUGCUAGCAUGAUGGGGACAUGUUUGGUGUUGUAUCACUUGUCAAGAAAAUUUCUAAUUUUAAAUUUUUCAGCCAUUGACCUUACUUUUGUAAUUAGUGUGUUUUUAACCUAAUUUUGUACAUGCUUAUCAAUGAUGUUUAUUUUUUGUUAGAAUAAAAAAAGUCAAAAUAUUUGAUUUAUAUUUUGACUUUUUUUAUUCAGCUAAAAGUAACUCAUUGACAUCAACCAAUAUAUUUAAACUAAAUUUAUUGAUAACAAAUUUACUUUACUUAUAUUGGCUAAUAUCAACAAGAUACUUUUAUUUGAAUAGAAAAAAAAUUAAAUAUUUUGAUUUUUUCUAUUUAGUUAAAAAAUAAAUACCAUCUUUAAUAAUUUUAUAAAAAAGUAUAAGGUCGUAUUUGGUUUGGGAAAAUACUAAACAAAUUAAAAAAUUGUUAAAAAAAAAUGAUUUUCUUGUGUAUGAUUUCAUUGAGAAAAAUAAAAGAAAAAAAUCAAAUAUAAUUAAAUUAAUACAUUUCCUUUUUCUUUUAUUCCCAUCUUUCUUCAAAUUUUCAGAACCAAUCAUAUCCUAAAACUAAGUUUGAUUCUCAAAAACUACCAAGGAAAGGAAAAUAAUAUGAAGAAUCCAUAUUUGAUUCUAUUAUAUAAAAUAUAAAAUCAAAUCAAAUAUAAUUAAAAUUAACAAAAAAUUUAUAUAUAUAAAAUUAUUUAAAUCUUAUAUAUAUGAAUUAAAUAAGUGAAAUAUGUUUCAAAAAUUAUAUAAAAAUAAUUUAUUAAUAUAAUAUAUAUUUUUUAUUUUCCUUCUACUUUUCUUCCUCACAUAAAACUAAUCAUAGCGUAUAACUUUAACAAUUAUAUAACAUUAAUAACAAAGAGAAUUUUUUUUUUCCUUCUUACUUUGGGCAUAAAUCAGUACAAGUAGCUGAAAAAAAUCAUGGAUGAUUCGUUAUGCAAGUGGGACAACUUAGACAUACGGCAUCAAGGAUUCCAAUUCAUUUUUAAAUGAUAAAGGCAUGUGAAAACAAGGCAAUAAUGCAGAGAAAGGUUAGGGGUUUCACAUUCUGGAUCCCACUUUUUCAGCUUUGUUCACUUCAUAGAGGAUUCAUAUAUGCUUGACAGCACUGCAGAGAGAUUGGUUGACUUGCUAGCAAGAUCUGGGUAUAUGCCAACCUAUGAAUAAGGUGGGAUUAGAAAUUGGAAAAAUUUAGGGUAAAAUAAUCAUUUAAUUCAACAAAUUGGACCAAUAUUCUAAGAGGUGCCCACUUUUUCACAGGCUUGAACAUUUCAACUGAUUGAACACACCUGCCUUGUCCAGGGCGGCCCGGGACUUUACUAGUGGGGAUUUUUUCUAGGUUGGAAGGCUGGAUCUUUUCCAAUGUGUGUUUCUUAUGUUCACACUGCAAAUUUCAUUCAAAACCUAAAUGAUAAUCCUAACUUUAGUUUGACCUUUACUUUGUGUCUUCCAAACUUCUCAUCUGCCCUUCUUUGUUGUGAUUUUAGUAUGUCUUUGGGUGGAAAUUUCACCCAACAUAGGAUUUGAGCCUUUGAAGUGACCUCAAUAAUCAAAAUAGAAAAGUAAAAGAAAGAAAUCAAAGUACAAGAAAAGAAAAUCCUUCUAAUGUUAGUAGCACAGAAAAAACACAGAGAAGGGUGUGUUUGAUUUCUCAUUUAGAAAACAGAAAUCAAAAUUCUAGUGGGGGGGGGGGGCAAUUUCUCAUUUCCAUUCUCUAUUCUAGAUUUCCAAACAUGCCCUGCCCCUUGAACUAAUCCAACUAAAAAACAAUACAAUGGGCUCAGCGGACGGAACCCCUGGUAUGGUUCUUGGGGAAGAACAGAGGGAUGCAGGGGGCUUCACAGAGCACCAAAUGGGCUAUAAAAUUCAAAUGGAAUGACUUUGUUGAAUGCUAUAGAAAGAUCAAACAGAUAUGAAUACUUGAAAAUGCUUCACCAAACCCACAUAAUUGAAAUUCAUGGAUUUUAAAUUCAUGGAUCAGAUUCUCAACAACAAAAAAUGUUUUUGCUUCAUUCAUAACUUCAUCGUGGCAGAUCCUAAACUCCUAAUACACAUCUCAGCAAAAAACUCUGUUUGCUUCACUAAAGAGCUUACAUAAAAGAAGAGGUUACAUUAAAGAGAGUAGUUGCUCUCUUUUCUUCACUGAUAACCUGAUUUAAAUAUGCUACUCUUGAGGAGCAAAAUUAAAUGCCUAACAUAUAUACUCUGAACAAAUGAAUUUUACCAUUUUCUUAGAAUAAAAGAAGGUAGCUCACUCUGUUGUCUGCUCAAAGGAUUAGUAUAACUGCAAUGAGCAAAUGAACUGUGAUUAAGGCCUGAACCCAUCUGCCAGCUAUUCGACUACAGCCGCUCAAAUCUGCACUAGCAGGUCCCAUUCCCAUUGUGUUCGUUGACCCAACAAAGCUUCCAUUGCUCACCGUAAAGCUGCAUCACCAAUUUACAAUGGUCUUAUGGUGGUGCAAAAAUAGAGUGAAAAUAAGAACAUAGAAAGAGAUGCAACUCUCAUGGUUGAAAUACCAGUAGGCUAUGCAAUUGAAGAAUUUGCAUAUGACAAUGUAAAUGUGAAGUAGACAAUUAAUUAAAUUCCUAGGAAGCCACUGUCCUCUGUUUUAGAUGAUUGAUUAUGGAUGGGAUGUUCAAUGGAAAUUGGAUCCCUCAGUGCAAAUGUCUGUGGAGAAGUCAUUACUCAUUACUCGUAUGAAAGUCCGUAUUUUUUAUGGGUGUAUCAUGGAAAAUUGAAGUUGUUGAUCUGUAACAAUGGUGAUGUCCCUUGGAUGAAAUCCCAGAACUACUACUCUGCCAUCAUUGCUCAGAUGUCCAAAAUUUUCUUAGGAGCAAACCAUCAUGAAACCGACUUAUUCAAUUUCAAUGAGAUGUCUAGCUAAUUCAACUCCCAUCUCAAAGGAUCUAGCUUUUCCAGAAUCUAAACAGUAUGGUUGCUGAGAAAAUUGAGGAAAAGAAAAGGAACUGCCUUUUUUAAUCCCAGAUCUCUAAUGAUUUGGGACCCAAAAAUGCUAAUGAGCCUAUGCAAUAUAGAGUCCCACCAGGUAAAUAAAAGCACAGAACUUUCAAUCAUUUAUUUCGUUUUCUUCAGUUUUCUCAGCAACCAAGCAGAGGGCAACCCGCAAAUCCUCAAUAGAAGAAUCUUAAACUAAUUUCAAACAAUUACCUGGAUGGGAACUUGCAAUUACCAAAACCUGAAAGAAAAAAAAAAAAAAAAAACCCACCAGAAAACCCAAAACAAAAUUAUAAAAGGAAAAUCAACGAAGAUCCGAAAAACCAAAGCAUAAUAAGAAAUGGGUAUCGGUGGUUUUGAUGAAACUGACUGGGAUUAAGAGAAGUGAGAGCGGCAGUGUUGUCAAAGCCACAGCUAUCAUCAGAGAGGCCAUGCUUCAAGUAGUAAUCAUUGAAGGCAAACGACGCCGUUUUCUGCAGAUCCUGGGAGUCAUAGCAAGGUCCACCUUGUUGGAUGGGGGAGCAGUCGGCACCGCCGGGUCCGCAGGCCCAGUCCAGAGCCGUCUGGAGAGCGGGGUUGUCGGCGUUGUUCUUGGCUACGCACCACAGCUCCAGCGUGACGACGCCGUUUUGGGCCUUGGACUGUGCCGCCAGGGAGUGGAGUGGGAGAGUGACGGUGAGAAGUAAGAAGAGGAAGAGUGAGAAUUUCAUGGUAGUAGGCUGGGGGUUUAGAUUCUAGAAAGAGAGAGGUAAAGGGACUUACGGCUCUUUAUGAUCAGCAAAUAUGACCGUUGUUGAUGCUGCGUGGCGUGUGUGGUAUUGUCUAGACUUUGGUACUUUCCGUGUCUCUGUUUUCAAUUGUUUGGGGACAGUGACUGUUAAUUUAUUCAACAUACUAGCUCGGAAAUAUUUUCCUUUAACCUUGGCAUUUUAAUAUUGUGUCUUUAACACCUUUAUGAAUAGGUCUAUAUAUGUUGAACAUUAAUUUCACUGCUCUUUCUAAUCUCCUAAGUGUAGAAGAAUUUCAUGAAAUGCGUUUGAUUUAGUUACAUUUAAUAUAUUUUCCUUUGAUUUGUUUAAUAUAUUCAACAUUACCUCAUGUGGUGCUAUUAGAUAUGACUCUUGAAAAUGUUAGAUCAUAAAUUUUAAUCAUAUACUUUCUUAACUUGUUUCAUGAAUUAAUAUUUUUAAAUAAUUUGAAGAGGUGACUAUCAUUGGUUUCUUGAGAAAUCUCUAUGAUAUUGUAAUAUUGCUGCAUGUUAAUACAUAACCAGUCUAACAUGAAUAAAGUAUCAAGGAGGAGCUUAAAAUUACAUGGUGCAAUUUCGCAUGACUGUGCGAAAUGGACCAGAAGAGGGAUUUGUAUUACAGGUUAAGGAGGAUUUCAUGUGGAAAUUUAGCGUGAAUAUGUGGAAAUUUCGCACACUGAUGUGAAAUGGUCCAGAAGGUGUUUCAACAUGCUGCCGCCGCUCACCUUAGAAUUUCGUGUGAUCAUGUGAAAUGUGAAUAUUUUAUGCGAAAUGUCUAGAUUUCAUGAGAAAUGUUCAAAUUUCAUGCGAAAUAUUAAAUUUCCAGAUUUCAUUGAAUUAAGAAGGUUUUGGAAGACCUCUUAGAUGAUGUCAAGUGUCUUGACCAUGCCUAUAAAUAGAAAUUUGAAUUUCUCAUGUAAAAACUUUUUGAUACUUUUGAUUUUAGAUUUUUCUAGAAACUCCUUCUCUUAAUAGAAUUCAAUAUUUUCUUUCAUUUUCCCUCAUUUUCUCACUAGCCAAACAUGGCUUAUGAGACCAAAUCUCAAAGCAUGAACAACUAAAUCUCAUUUUUCUCGGAUGAAGGAGGAUCUAGAGGCAAGAUCUAUGGUGAAUUAGAGAAAUGAACUUUAAUUGUAAAGGUAAUUUGAUCCAAUUGAUUGAUUACUUGAAUUUUGAAGAUUUUUCUUUUCAAAUUAUCUUGAAUGACUAUUACAUUGCAAAUUAGAUAGAUUCAUUAAAUUCUUAAAGCUAAAUUUAAUAAGAUUGAAUAGUUGCAUUGCAUGAAUCAUUGGAAGAUGAUUUGAGAUGAAUUGCAUAUAUGGUUUAAAUUGAUCUCUUGGAUUAAAUAACCUAAUUUGAAGAGAAAUUAGAUCUAAACUUAAAGCUAAAUCUAAAAUCGGUUUCGAUGAAAAUUUUAGGUUUUCAAUCUAACUUGACGAAAAAUAAAUCUCAACAACUAUUCACUAUAGAAAUUGUUUUAUAGAAAUUCCUAACUCCGAGAAUUUCUUUUCCUUAUUAAUUUUCUCCUAUUUUACAUUUUAUUCUUUUUCUCAAUUAGAAAUAAUUGUUAUUUUGAUUUUUCACUAUGAAUUGUCAAAUCAAUUUCACUUGAUCGAUCACGAUCAUUUCUUUUCCUCCCAUUUAAACCUUAAUUACUGAGAAUAAUCCAUCCCAGUGGACGACACCUAAGACCGCUAUAAUAUCGUACCUUUUACUAAAAAAUCUUUUUAAUCGGGUAAAAGUUACCUUAGCAUAGUUGAAUUAGGUUAUAAAUUUUGUUUUCAUCUGAUAAACGAUGAAAAAACAAUUGAUUAGUUCACCUCUAAAUACAUGGCAAUUACUUCCUCAACAUGUCAAGUCGUUUAGCUUUGCAGGAUGCUUAGUGAAUUGAACCAUGUACAAAAAGAUCUUAUAAAGAUUUCUGUGAUAAUAAGUUUGUUAUUGCAUUGACAGAGAAUCUGAUGCUUCUUGAUAGAAGUAAACAUAUAAGUAUCAAAUUUCAUUAUAUUAGGGAACUUGUGAAAAAUGACGAGAUCAAACUUGAGUUUUGUAUAUUAGAAGAUCAAGUUGUAGAUCUUUUACAAAGCCACUAAAGGUGGAUGCAUUCGAGCAGUUGAAAAUGAUGCUUGGUGUGAUUCACUUUACAAGUCGACUUAAGGGAGGCUAUUGAAAUUGUAAUCCGAUUUAAAAUUAAAUUAGAAGAAUUUUAGGAAUUUGAGAACCAUUAGGAAUUGUCAUUUACUUAUUUUAUUUUUUUAUAUUAAUUUGGACUUUUGGUCUAAUAUGAAUUGGAGUCGUAGUGUAGGUAUGAUUAGUUUAUUAUAAAUAAGUUUGUUAUUAUGUUGAAAAAUAUAACAUAAUGUAAUAAAAUAUCAUUUUAGUAAAAUAUUAUCAAUACCCAAUUAUGUGAGUUCCAAUCGGAGCAGUUGAGUAAGAAUAAUUUAAACUUAUAAAAAAUUGCAUUACUUUUCCUUUUUGUUUAUGCUCUUCGAGAUUCUUAAUGACAUUGCAUGAGUAUAUUGACAAAUCAUUAUAGGAUGCUAAUGCAUCCCAUAAUACUUUCAAUUUAGUGAAAUAGGUUGCAAUGGAUGUCAUCCCUUGGUGAUGUGAAGCAAUAUCCCGUUUGAUUUGGAAUAUUCUUAGGGUGUUGUUUUGUGAAAAUCUUUCCUUAAGAUCACACCAUACUUCAGUGGAAGA